GUACCCAAGGUCUCUAUGAUGCUCUGAAUGCCCCAGCUCCCCUAGCUCUAUGUUUCGAUCCCCCUCCUCGUUAAGUAGGUCUCGAAAGUACGCCUGCCACCUCUGCUUAACUUGAGACUCCCCCAUUAGAACUCUACCAUCCCUGUCUGUAUAUAUGUGUUGAAAAAAUAAAACUGCAUCUUGGGAAGUGAACAGCUGCAGCACUAGUGAACAACUUUCCUCAGGAUUGAAAGAAACAAGAUGCUUUGAACUUGGUCUGGAUCACGCGCCUUCCUCUCCCUUGCUUUAGCUAACCAGAAUAACUUACCGUCCCCGCCUUUCUCCCCUAGUUCCUCGUACAUGCAACCAAAUGCCGCGUUUCUAGCUUCCGUAAUUGCUAGGUUUGCUUCCUUCCUGGCCACGUUGUGGAUCUCCCUGUUCACUCUCCUUUCUUCCUUGCUUGUGCUCCCUGCCAACUUAGCAAACGCCGCCUUUUUUAACUCCAUUUUUCCUUGGACUACAUCGUUUCACCACCAGUCACUCUGAUGUAUGCCUGAAUAGCCCUUGGCUACCCCGAGCACAUCCCGCGCUACCUCCCUAACCAAGUUCGACGUCUCUAACCACAUUGUGUCCGCUUCCCCAGAGCUUCUCCAAUUUUUCUUAGACUAUAUCGUUCCACCACCAGUCCGCCCUGAUGUUUGCCUGAAUAGCCCUUGGCUACCCCGAGUACAUCCCGUGCUACCUCCCUAACCAAUUUUGCCGUCUCUGACCAUAUUGCGUUCGCUUCCCCAAAACUUCUCCAAGAUCCUCGAUCAACUAACCUCCUCUCCAACUCCCGGGCUUUCUCUUUAGCCAGAGCACCCCAUCUAAUCCGCGGUCGUCCCCGAGCACCCCUCCUCUUCCUCUUCCCCCAGAGACUAACAUCCAUCACUAGGAGUCUAUGAAGAGUCGAAAGGGACUCCUCAGAAAUAACCUUACAGUCCUUGCACAAACCUCUAUCGCUCCUUUUGAGAAGUAGGUAAUCAAUUUGUGUCCUCGCCGUCGAACUCUUAAAGGUGACCAAAUUCUCCUCCCUCUUUUGAAAUGUCGAGUUCGCAAUUAGAAUCUCAGAAGCCCUGGUGAAAUCAAGCUGUGAUGUGCCUCCUCCGUUUCUAACCCCAAGGCCAAAGCCACCGUGCACCUCACCAUAACCACCAGUAUCAGCCCCAAUAUGACCAUUAAAAUUUCCUCCAAUAACUAACUUCUCAUACUAAGGAAUACUACUCACCAAAUAAUCCAAUCCCUCCCAAAAGUGCCUCUUAACCUCCUCAUCAAAGCCCGCUUGCGGCUUGUAAGCGCUGAUAAUGUUGAGGAGCAAUCCCCAGUAACUAACUUAAUAGAUAUCAACCUAUCAUUCACUCGCCUAACCUCAACCACGAACUCCCUUAGAUCCCUAUCUACCAAGAUUCCCAUUCUAUUCUUACCUCUCAGGACCCCAGAAUACCACAGCUUAAACCCGUUUGCAUUCCUCAUCUUCGACCCUUUCCACCUAGUUUCUUGGACACAGGCUAUGUUGACCCUCCUCUUCUGAAGAACCUUCGACAACUCAAUGGACUUACCCAUCAAAGUGCCUACAUUCCACGACCCGAUUCUUAAUCUAUGAGCGUCUGCUACCCUGUUCCCACCUUUGCCUCCCGCCCUACCCGUAGAACCACUCCCAGCCCCCCUGCUCCCCCUACCGCCACCCNNNNNNNNNNNNNNNNNNNNNNNNNNNNNNNNNNNNNNNNNNNNNNNNNNNNNNNNNNNNNNNNNNNNNNNNNNNNNNNNNNNNNNNNNNNNNNNNNNNNNNNNNNNNNNNNNNNNNNNNNNNNNNNNNNNNNNNNNNNNNNNNNNNNNNNNNNNNNNNNNNNNNNNNNNNNNNNNNNNNNNNNNNNNNNNNNNNNNNNNNNNNNNNNNNNNNNNNNNNNNNNNNNNNNNNNNNCGCGGUCACUAUCCCUCCAACUGAUUAUGGAGAACAGUGGCGCGCACACGUACUAUAGCGAAAUACGCAAAAGAAUGCAAGCUAGGAAUCGACAGAGUAAACCACACACAUGAUGUUUAGCUAGAAAUGCAAGCAAGGAAUCGACAAAGUAAGACCAGUAAUAUACAUAAUGGAAAUUGAAAAUUAACAGAAGAAAUCUGGUGCCCUCAACGCUGGCGGUCACCUUGCUCAGCUAUGAUAACAAGUCUCUAAUCAUCAUCAAAACCCAUUACUGGGUGAACAAAUACCUGCAUCUGCACACAAGAUGCAGGGAGUAACGUGAAUACUCCAACUCAGUGAGUAAUAAAAGUAAAUAACAACUGAGCGGUAAGCAAUCACGUAAAACAUAUCGUCAUGCUGUAUAAAAGCAGAGAAAAACCCUUAAAUGGGGAAAACCAGUGAAAACUUGUGAAAAACAUUAGAAAUAUCUUGGCUCAGUUUUAAACCUCUUUUGAAAAUGAUCUUUUCAAUGGUCACCAAAUAAUGCUUUCAAAACAAUUUGCGAUGCUAUGCAAAGAAAUCCGCCCCUCAGGCAAUACCCUUGACCCUAGUCAGCCUCUUGGGCCCCAACACUCAAUGAUCACAUAAUACCAACACAUCAGAUAAAUAUCUCAAGAAAACAUCACAAAUAAUAAUUAAUGACAAAUGCAUGAAUGCAAUGCAAUUCAUAUGAUGGUACAUUUCAGUACCCACUACGGUGCGCAACCCGAGACACCCAUAAUCAUUUAACAUCGACGACGCUCACUGGAGGUGUGUGCAGACUCCGGAGGGGCUCCUACAUCCCAAGCGCAAUAUCAAGCCAUCUUGUGGCAUCAAUCAAAUCCUGGUCAUCCAUUGUUACCUGACCCAUUUACAUCAUACAGUACCACUGUUACCGUCGUUUCAAAUUACUAUUGCGGCACGCAGCCCAAGCCACCUAUAAUCAGUCCAAAAAAACAUCAUAAGCCCCUUGGGCAUUUAUAAAACAGUAGUUCUCAGCCCGAAAUAACAUAUAAAAUAUCAUUUGAGUUUUCAAAACUUAAAAAUAUGGCUGAGUUUGAAAAACAGUAUUAAAAACUUUGGGCUGAAACCAAAUGAUAUGCAAAAUAUGCUAAAACAGUAAUAUCAAUCCCCUAUGGGCUCCACAAGUCGACACAAGCCCCCAAACAAUGUCAACAAACCCAAUUCACAGUAAUAAAGUAUACGUGUCAAUUGCUAGUAUAAUAUAAAUAACACUCGGGGUGGACCAAGUCACAUCCCCAAUAAUAAACGACCCCGCACUCGUCAUAGAAUGCAUGUCACGCCUCAAUAUAGCGUUACGAUGUGAAAUUCGGGAUUUCAAACUGUAAGAAUAUCAUUUAGAAGCAUUACUCACCUCAAGACUGCCAAAAGUCUAGCUUUUUAUGCUUGCCACUCGAAUUGGCCUCCUCGUGCGACGAAUUUGCCCAAAAUCACAACGAAUAUGUCGCAUUAUGCUAAAGAGACAAUACCCAAGGGAAAGCAAUCGAAAAAAUCAAAAUUCACGUAUUUGAUAAAACUCGAGCCCCGGGCCCACAUCUUGAAACUCAGAAGUUUUUAUACCAAAACGUUCUUCGUCCUCUCACGAGUCCGUACAUAUAAAGAACACAAAAAAUGAAGCUCGUUUGACCCUUCAAAUCGACCCUAGAAAACCUCAAAACCACAAGCCCUAAAACCCCACUUUUCUAUUAAUUUUCAUGUUCUAGUUCACAUAUAGUCUUGUAUUUUACUUGGAAAUAAGUUAAAACAACUCACCUUUAAUGCUUGAUGAAAUCCCCCAUGAAAUUCCCUCUAAAAUCAUCCAAUCCAAAUGAAAGAAGUGAAAGAAAUAAGCCAAAUCCGUAUUUAAAGAAUCUGCCCGUACUUCGUCAGGUUGUACCUUGCAUUUGUGCUAUACAAGUUGUACAUCCUAUUAAAAAUUGUCCUUGUCGGACACUUUCUGUUUAAACACUCAUAACGUCUUUUAUAAAUAUCGAUAUGAAAAACGGUUUGAAGAUUUAGAAACUAGACUUGAAGAUCUUUAAUCUGAUAGGUUUUACACCAUAUAAACUCUUUUAUAUAUCCCGAUAUAUGAGCUUCUAAAGUAGGCUCCAUGAAAUUUGAAAAUUCUAGAGAAACUGCUCCACCAGUCAUUUUCAAUCGAUUAUAACUUUCACUACAGAUUUCCAAAUUACGCUUUCUUUAGCUUUUUAGAAACUAGACAUGAAGGGAUACAACUUUCGUUUUUAAAUCAUCUCAAAAUUUCUUGUAAAUCAAAAAAUAUAGGCCUCCGAAGUACGCUCCACGAUUGCUGUCCAAAGACACUGCAGAAAAUUGCAGCAGAAAUUUUCUGCAGCUUUUUCUUUUCUUUUUGGUCCGAAUUUCAUUCCGUUAACCUUCCGAAAUCCAACUGAGGCCCUCGAGACCUUAACCAAUUAUAUCAACAUAUCCCACAAUAUCAUUCAAACUUGUCCCGACCUUCUAAACACCCAAAAUAACAUCAAAACAUCAAAUCAUCAUCGGAUUUAAGCCUAUGAAUCUCAAGAACUUACAAAUUCCAUUUUUGAUCAUAGACCCAACCAAACUACGUACGAAUGACAUCAAAUUUUGCAGACAAAUCCAAAAUGACAUAAAAAAGCUAAAACAACUCUCGCAAUUCCAUUCAGACCCUCUGAUCAAAAUCUCAUCUAUCAAUCGGAAUUCGCCAAAAUUUUAUCUUUGCCAAUUCAAGCAUUCUACACCGGUCAUUACAAAAAUAUUCCGGACACACUCUUAAGUUCCAAAUCACCUAACAAAGCUAUCUGAACUAUAAAAUUCGCAUCUCGAGCCCUCUAACACACAAGUCAAUUCCAGUUGACUUUUCCAACUUAAGCUUCCUUAAAAGAGACUAAGUGUCUCAAACCUUACCAGAAUCAUUCCGGAAUGAUUUCAAAUUUUGCACACAAGUCACAUUUGACAUUGCGUACUUUCCCCAACUUUUGGAACCGCACUCCGACCCCGAUAUCAAAAUUUUCACUUUCCGGUCGAAUUUUCUCGAAAACCUUCAAAUUUCUAUAUUUAGCCAAAUGACUUCAAAAUGACCUACGGACAUCCGAAUUCACUUCCGUCGCGCUUCCAACUCCAAAAUCACCCUACGAAGCUAUUCCCAGACUCGGAAUCCCAAAUGGACAUCAAUAACACUGAAAUGCCUUCCACUCGAAAUUUAUGAAAUUCUUCUAAAAUACUAACUUCCACAAUAUACGCCAAAAUGCUCACGGGUUAUCCAAAACCAAAUCCGGACAUACGCCCAAGUCCAAAAUCAUCAUACGAACCUGCUGGAACUUUCAGAUCUUGAUUCUGAGGUCGUUUACUCAAAAUUCCAAUCUUAGCCAUUUUCUUCAACUUAAGGCUACCACAAUGAAAAUUUUCUUUCCAAUUUGACUCUGAAUUAUUCAAAAUUCAACUCUGACCAUACGCAUAAGUCAAUAUACCUGAAAUGAAGCUAUUCAUGACUUUCAACUGUUGAACGACGCGCUAGAGCUCAAAACGACCGGUCGGGUAUUACAUUCUCCCCCACUUAAAUAAACGUUCGUCGUCGAACAUUCCAAGAACUGCUCUUAUGUUAUCUGAAAUCACUGUUUAACACCUUGUGUACUUGCCCGUGCUACCACAACUCAUAUGGACACAUUAGUUUGAUCAAAUCUACAUAUAACCUCUUUUAUCCAUACAAUAAGCUCAGAACCCAAUUCCAGCACCUGAAAUUCUCUGCCAGACCUGUUCCCAAUAUAUAAACACUGUAUCAACUACCACACGAAGUACCAGAACAUGACUGCGUACCUUGGUUGAAUUAGCACCAUGCAUUGCAGAAUUCACCAUCUAACCACAAUGACACUCCGUGAACCUUAAUAGCCAAAAUUCCACGACUCUGAUGCUCCCAAUACAUAUAAUGAUAUACUUAUACAUUCUGUUAUAAUAUUGAGGAUACAACCACAGCGGAGGAGAUGUGCAGAAAUUUCUAACCAAUUGCAGAGUUAACCAAACAUUAAUUCUGUCCCUUUUGACUAAAAUCAUCACCUCAUUACUACCCAAAUACUGGUAACUGCCCUGCAAUAUACCUUACAUAAUCCCACUGCAAUGGUCCCCGAUACCAAUAGUCUCGCCUCACCUAGCACGAGCUGCUCAGAUGACCAAUCACUACAGACAAUGAUCAAUGGUCUCACAUGAUUCAAAAAUGCGCCAAUAGGCCAUAAUGCGAACAAGAUACAUAAGAAAAUGAUUCAUGAAUGGACUGCUCAACUCACACAACUAAUAUGGACUUUUCCCAGAGAAUAGGAAUUUAUCAAGCCAUUUUACAGCACACAUGGCACAAUCACAAUAUUACAUGAAUUGACGAACACGGAACAACAUAUGAUAUUCUAACACCCCUCCUUGAGGAGAGCUAUACUGAAAUGAACACAUCUGACUCACAUGAAGCCCAUAAUCGUAUUUAAAUCCAUUCACCCACUUUAGGUCGAUUCUGUUCGCACUGAACUAGGCUAAUAGCAUUUCCUAGACCUGUAAUAAGUCAUUUCUUCUCAUAACACACAAGAACUACCACCAUAGCUGGGACAACACCCCACAAUCCACAACCAAAUGAACCGAAUGACUUCAUAUAUAUCUUAGAUAUUCUUCCAACAUUUCAACUUUCUUAAGUCCCCAAAAUUUGACUAACUCCCAGAUUUUUUCAAAUAUUUUGGCAGAGUCUCCCUUGGAAUUGGGCCUAUCCACAUGUUAGAGUAACACCAAAACAACUCCUAACAACAUGUCCACAACCCAAUAAGUACCACAAGUAUAUCAAUAACACUAAUCUCCGCAUUAUUUAUCCACCUGUCACAGUAAUACCAAAGCAACUCCUAACAGCAUGUUCACAACCCAACAAGUACCACAAGUAUAUCAAUAAUACUAAUAUCCGCAUUACGAGCCCGACAUUAUCACAAUGACAUCUUGACAUGAAACACAUCAUUUGUAUGAUCAUAACCACAUUUUUGGUCUUAGUAGUUGUUCAUAAAUAAUUCCAUCAUUAUCAAUAAAUCUCAUAUUAACCACCACCUCAUUUCAAAUUUUCACAGUACUGAAAACAUAAUGCGAGGUAUGAAGACCUCAUUAUUACUUACUCGGAUUAAUGAGUCACAUUUAACGCCACCUGGGAACUCAUCUCAUAAGCUAAGACUCAAUGAUUACAGUAUAAAAAUGGCUGAAUUAGAACAUAAAAUAUACAAGAAUGAUCAAAUCAACCUAACUGGCAUCACUCUCUUUUAAUAUUAUCGUACGAAUUACACUUUACAAAGGAUAACUUUAAACUCAUAAAUAUUUACCACAAGGACCUCAUCCUUACAUAACCUCCACCGCGGCUUGCAGCCCGGUUUUAAUAUUUCACAUUGUGCCAACUACAGUUUUCAAUUUCCUUUCUUUCUUUUCUCAAUAAAUUUCAUAAAUAUUUUUAUCGCACAUAACGAACCCUCAUACCGGUAGGCAUAUAAUUCAUAAGAAAUUGGAAUCAUUAUUCCGAAACACAUUAAAUCUAUUGUAGUGAAUAAUAAACAUGACUUUAACCUUAUCCCAAAAUCCUUGGAGUCCAAUUUCUAACAUCCAGAAUUAUUUUCUAAACCCGAAUCUCACAUACACACACUAUAUAAGUUCGAACAAACUGUGUCAAGCCAUAACAAUAACUCUAGAUAUAAUUACAUAACAUACUACACAACUCGUAUACUCGCAACACCAUUCCCGAUCACCAUAACCAAUCAAACCAACCAAGUACCAAUAGGAAACCCCACAUUAAAUAGAACCUCACUCCAAAACCUUCGUACCCCAUCAAUAAUGAAGAAAUAAAUAGGAACUCACAAUACACAACACGUUCCCCAUACCGGUAUAAAGUUUAAACCAUGGUAGAAACCAUCAAGAAUACUUGGAAAUCCAUUUUCUCCUAAUCAAGCUAUCAUAACUAAAUUACUCUAAUUCAACCAGGCCACGCAGGUCAUCAAACUCAAGAAUAUUUCCAUAUUACUACAAUUAGUUCAACAAAAAUGCUUCACAAGCUUAGGUAACACAGACCUUAAAAUACCUCAAUUCCACUACUAAGAUCACCUUCAUUCUCAUGACAAUCAACUAAACUUCCUCAAUUUGAGUCAAAUUCAAAUCUCAACAUAUACAUCCUGUUAGUAGGAAAGAAAAUCUCUACUCAACAUUAUAAGGAACCCACCUACGUAGAUUAUUCCGCAUGAGAUAACCCACCUGCUUUGCCUCCAAUUAUCAUUUUUUUACACCUUCUAGCGUCAUACACAUUAUACAAUCACUUAGUCUGCCCGAGUCUAAACUCAUACUGUAAUAUAAAAUUUACUUAACUCCAAACAGGAGAAUUGAAAAGAUUCUUCUUGCUCAUAACCCGGAGCUACACCUCUAAUCACAAUGGAAAUCAUACACUUAAUAGUUCGCCUAUCAUCCAGCUGAUUUUUCUCGACACUUCCAAGUCAUAUAGAAACAUCUCGCAUUACUAACAUACCCAUCACAUUGCUACCCAGCCGUCAUUCCCACAAAUAGGGGAAAUACCGGAUAUGUAAGUUCAAAACACUUGCUCACACAACCAGCACCUCGGUGCUCAAGCCGCAAGAAAAGAUCCGGCCUCAAGUCCUUCAGACUGGCCAAACAUCAACUCAUACAGAUCACAUCUCACCCCUCAAUAAGGGAAUCACAAGCCAUCAAGGCACAUCUGAUACUGAGCGCUCAUGCACACAUGCGAACGCGUUGAUGGAAUUUCAUGAGUUACUUUUCAAACCGAAUCAAGAACGCACAAUAAGAAUUCAAGAAUGUGAAAUUUUCCUAAAGGUUCUGCAACCUCUCGAGGAUAAAUACAGACAUCUCCAUACCAAUUCGCGAGACUCUACUAAACAUGCUUAUGACUCGUGAGAUCUAAUAACCUAGGCUCUGAUACCAACUUUUCACGAUCCAAACCCCGAUCCGGUAAUGAUGGUUCCUCUCGUGAAGACAAGGCCAGCCAACCUAUUUACACAGCCUUUUUCAACAAUAUAUAAACAUGAAUUAAACAGUUUCAAGAUAAUUAGAUAACAACAUUUUGCAGAAUAUAACUCAAUUCAGCCCAAACCGGGGUGCCACAAGUCACGAGCAUCUAAACAGUCUAAACAAUAUUACAAGACCAGUAAUAUACAUAAUGGAAAUUAAAAAUUAACGGAAAAAAUUUGGUGCCGUGAACGCUGGCGGUCACCUUGCUCAGCUAUGAUAACAAGUCUCCAAUCAACAUCAGAACCCACUACUAGAUGAACAAAUACCUGCAUCUGCACACGAGGUGCACGGAGUAAAGUGAGUACCAACUCAGUGAGUAAUAAAAGUAAAUAAGAACCGAGCAGUAAGAAAUCAUGUAAAACAUAUCGUCAUGCUGUAUAGAAGCAGAUAAAAACCCUUAAAUGGGGAAAACCACUGAAAACUUGUGAAAACUUUAGAAAUAUCUUGGCUCAGUUUUAAACCUCUUUUGAAAAUGAUCUUUUCAACGGUCACCAAACAAUGCUUUCAAAACAAUUUGCGACGCUAUGGACAGAAAUACGCCCCUCAGGCAAUACCCUUUUCCCUGGUCAGCCUCUCGGUCCGCAACACUCAAUGAUCAGAUAAUACCAACACAACAGAUAAAUAUGGCCCUUAGGCAAUACCCUUGUCCCUGGUCAGCCUCUUGGGCCCCAACACUCAAUGAUCAAAUAGUACCAGCAGAAAAGAUAAAUAUCUCAAGAAAACAUCAACAAACAAAAAUUAUGAACAAAUACAUGAAUGCAAUGCAAUGCAUAUGAUGGUACAUUCCAGUACGCACUACGACGCGCAGCCCGAGCCACCUAUAAUCAUUUAACGUCGACGGCGCUCAUUAGGGGUGUGUACAGACUCCGGAGGGGCUCCUACAACCCAAGUGCAAUAUCAAGCCAUCUCGUGGCAUCAAUCAAUUCUUGGUGAGUCAUUGUUACCUGACCGGUUAGUCAUUGUUCUCUGACCAAUUUACAUCAUACAACGUCAUUGUUACCACUAUUUUCAGCCAUUGUUACCUAACCCAUUUACAUCAUACAGUACCAUUGUUACCACUGCUUCAAAUCACUGCUGCGGCGCGCAGCCCGAGCAACCCAUAAUCAGUCCAGAAAAACAUCAUAUGCCCCAUGGGCAUUUAUAAAACAGUAGUUCUCAGCUUGAAAUAACAUAUAAAAUAUCAUUUGAGUUUUCAAAACUUAGAAAUAUGGCUGAGUUUGCAAAACAGUAUUAAAAACCUUGGACUGAAACCAAAUGAUAUGCAAAAUAUGCUAAAAUAGUAAUAUCAAUCCCGAACGGGUCCACAAGUUGACACAAGGCCCCAAACAAUGGCAACAAGCCUAAUUCACAGUAAUAAAGUAUGUGUCUCAAUCACCAAUAUAAUAAAAAUAACACUCGGGGUGGACCAAGUCACAAUCCCCAAUAGUAAACAACCUCGCAAUCGUCAUAGAAUGUAUGCCACGCCUAAAUAUAGCAUUACAAUGUGAAAUCCGGGGUUCCAAACCCCCAGGAUAUCAUUUACAAGCAUUACUCACCUCAAGACUGCCAAAAGUCUAGCAUGUUAUGCCCUAGCCUCUCGAAUUAGCCUCCUCAUGCGACGAAUCUUCCCAAAAUCACAAUGAAUAUGUUGCAUUAUGCAAAAGGGACACUACCCAAUCUAAAGCAAUAAAAAAAUAUCAAAAUUCACGUAUUUGACAAAACCCGGGCCCACACCUCGAAACUUAAAAUUUUUUAUACCAAAAUACUCUUCGUCCUCUCACGAGUCCGUACAUAUAAAGAACACAAAAAUCGAAGCUCGUUUGACCCUUCCAAUCGACCCUAGAAAAUAUUGAAACCAUUAUCCCUAAAACCCCACUUUUCUACUGAUUUUCACGUUCUAAUUCACAUAUAAUCUUGUAUUUAACUUGGAAAUAAGUAGAAACAACUCACCUUUAAUGCUUGAUGAAAUCCCCGAUGAAAUUCUCUCCAAAAUCAUCCAAGCCAAAUGAAAUAAAUAAGCCAAAUCCGUAUUUAAAGAAUCCGCCCGUGCUUCAUCGAUUUGUACCUUGCAUUUGUGCUAUACAAGUUGUACAUCCUAGUAAAAACUUUUCUUGUCGGAUACCUUCUGUUUAAACACCCAUAACAUCUUUUAUGAAUAUCCAAAUGACAAACGGUUUGAAGAUUUAGAAACUAGACUUGAAGAUAUUAAAUGUGAUAGGUUGUACACCAUAUAACUCUGUAUAUAUCUCGAGAUAAAGUAGGCUCCAUUAAAUCUGAAAAUUCUGGAGAAACUGCACCACUAGUCAUGUUCAAUCGAGCAUAACUUUCACUACCGAUGUCCAACUUAUGAUUUAUUUAUCUUACUAGAAACUAGAAACAAAGGGCUACAACUUUAGUUUUUGAAUCAUCUCAAAAUUCUUUGUAGAUCAAAAUAUAUAGGCCUCCGAAGUACACUCCUCGAUUGCUGUCCAAAGACACAUUGCAGAAAAUUGCAGCAGAAAUUUUCUGCAGCUUUUCUUUUCUCUUUGGUCCGAUUUUCAUUCCGUUCACCUUCCGAAAUCUACCUGAGGCCCUCGGGACAUUAACCAAUUAUAUCAACAUGUCCCACAAUAUCAGUCAAACUUCUCUCGACCUUCGAAACACCCAAAAUAACAUCAAAACAUCAAAUCAUCAUCGGAUUCAAGCCUAUGAAUCUCAAUAACUUCCAAAUUCCAUUUCUGACAAAAAAAAAAAGCCAACCAAACCACGUCCUAAUGACCUCAAAUUUUGCAGACAAAUCCAAAAUGACAUAAUGAAGCUACAAAAACUCUAGAAAUUCCAUUCCAACCCUCAGAUCAAAAUCUCACCUAUCAACCGGAAUUCGCUAGAAUUCUAACUUUGCCAAUUCAAGUUUAAUUCUACAUCGGUCAUCACAAAAAUAUUCCGGACACACUCCUAAGUCCCAAAUCACCUAACAAAGCUAUCCGAACCAUAUAAUUUGCAUUUCGAGCCCUCUAACACAUAAUUCAAUAUCUGGUUGACUUUUCCAACUUAAGCUUCCUUAAUAUAUGUGCUGGGGAUCUCUUGGUAUCCCGAGGAUCUCCUAGUAUCCUCAAUAUAUAUACUAGGGAUCUCUUGGUAUCCCAAUGAUCUCUUUGUAUCCUCAAUAGAUGUACUAGGGAUCUCUUGGUAUCAUCAAUAGAUGUACUGGGGAUCUCUCGGUAUUCCUAGGUUCUCUUAGUAUCCUCAAUAUAUAUGCUGAGGAUCUCCUGGUAUCCGUACUACAACACAAUCAACAUAGAUGUACUCAAACAAUAGAAUAGCAAUAUCCCGACAAGGGAGUCAACAACAUUAACAAUAACGUCCCGGCAAGGGAAUCAACAACAGAAACAAUAACGUCCCGGCAAGGGAAUCAACAAUAGAAACAAUAACGUCCCGGCAAGAAAUCAACAAUAAAAACAAUAAUGUCCCGGCAAGGGAAUCAACAAUACCUAAUAAGGUCACGGAACACCAAGUAAAAACACGAUAACUUCAACGACAUAGCUACACCGAUACCACAACAGUUGGACAUAUAUAUAUUUGCACGAAGUCACAGAUGAACUUACAAUCAAGGAGUAUCCAAACAGUAAGGAUGUUAACAUGAAUCAAAUAAUUACAAUUUAAGGAAAUAUCAACUAAUCAUAAGAUAUCUAUCUUCUUUCCAAGAUUAAUUAAAUGAGAUAUAACCUUUAUGAUUUUCGAUUAAAGGCGAGCAGUUAGGACGGAUAAUAUGACUGUAGAAGGGUAAUUGUCUUUAGUUAAACACGUAAAAGUCAAUUAAACAACAAGAAUAAUCAAGAAGGGCAAACAAAUACCAAGUAAGACAUGUAGAGGGGAAACUAAUAACGGGGAACUCAAUCGUAUCAGUAUCAUCUUCACAAUCGGGGAUUUCAAGGGUCUAAGAGCCUAAAAGGGACAAUUUACCACAAAUAAAUCCGAGCACGCACUCAUCACCUCGCGUACACGGAGUACAAUCAACGGAGAAGACUCAAAUCCUAAGGGGAAGGUCCCCACACAAAGUUAGGCAAGAUACUUACCUCAAACCGGCUAAAAUCAACUAGCAAUCACGUAAUUGCCAUGAGUACUCGACUCCAAAUGGCCCAAAUCUAUUCAAUUAAAUCACACAUUGUAAAUAACAUUUCAAGAGACUGAUUCUACAAUUAAAUUUAAAGCUAAAGUGCGAAAUUAGGUAAAAUGACCAAAAUGCCCCUCAGGUCAACAUCUCAUAAUCAAAUAAUUACAUUUUCAGUACCCCCCGUAAUCUCACGAGUCUAACCAUAUAAAAAUUCUCCCAAAUCGGAGGUCAAAUGCCCACUCCAAAUGCAAUAAUUAAGUCUAAGAAGUUUCAUCCAAUUUUCCCCAAUUUUGACCUUGAAUUCGAAUUCUAAUGGUGGAUUUAACUAGAUAGUGAUAGAAAACAACUAAAUAAGGUUAAAGAUACAUUACCCACUGCUCUUCUCUUCAAAAUCCACCCAAGAUCGUCUUCUCCCAAGCUCCCAAUUGAUUUUCCAACUUUAGAAAUAAACCCUCGGAUUAUACUAUUUAAUACCAGUGAUUACCGCUUUUGCGGUCCAGAGACUGCCUCUGCGGUCCCGCUUUUGCGGAAAAACAAUCGCUUCUGCAUUUCUUUAAGUUCCCCAAUUUUCGCUUCUGCGGUUCUUUCAUCGCAAAAGUGAGUCCGCUUCUACGGAAAAUCCUUCGCUCCUGCAACUCAUUCCCAAAGGUCCUCAAUCGCUUCUGCAGCUUCCAAACCGCUUUUUUGCGGCAUUGAUUUUGCGGUUCCCAAGCCACAGAAGCGAAAAUACCAGUAGCCCUGGUGCAAUUUUCCUUCUAACUCCAAACUUUGCCCGUUAAGCAUCCGAAACACACCAAGGGCCCCCGGGACCUCAACCAAUCACACACACAAGUCAUAUAACCUAAUACAGACUCGCUCGAAGUUCCAAAUCAUAUAACACAAUAUCGAAACGACGAAUCAAACCAAAAUUCAAGUUUAUGGACUUCUAAAUCUUCAAAUAUCGAAACUCAUGCUGAAACCUAUCAAUAUAACUCGAAAUGAAGCCAAAUUUUACAAACAAGUCCAAAAUAACAUAACGGAGGUAUUCCAACUCUCAGAAUUGCAUUCCGACCCCGAUAUCCCAAAACUCAACUAUGGGUCAAACUUUAUUAUUUUCCAACUUCAACUUUUCAUUGAAAUGCCUCAAUUUACUCUACGGACCUCCGAAUCUGAAUCUGAACGUGCGCUUAAGUCCAAAAUCACCAUACAAAGCUGUUGAGAUCACCCAUUCUGGGUUCAUUUACACAAAAGUCCAAUUUUGGUCAACGUUUCACCGUUUCAACUUCCAAAAUAAGGUUUUUUAAUCUAAAUUCGACUCUAAACUAUCCGAAAGACGAAUUUCACCAUGCACGCUAGUCGAUAUUCAUACUACGAAGCGGUUCCAAAUCCGCUUUGGGGUGAAUAUCCUCCCCUGAAGUUGGCGCUAAUUGAACCCUAGAUUAUGAGCUUACCGAUUCAAAGCUCUCAUGAGAUCUCGUUGGCAUGCCCUACCAAAUGAAAAGGAAGUCGCAGGAGCAAGUUAAGAGUUAGAAUUCCCCGACUCCGUUCCUAUUUAUUAGCCUUCUUUCUACUUCAACAUCAACUUCGUUAGCUAACUAAUUGAUCCUCGCCCAUCUUUGGCUGCCUGUUAGGAGGAUUAUGUUGGACCUAUGCGAUCUCGUUACAACGUUCUUUUUUUUACAGAGAUUUCUGGUGAAAACUUCAAUCUUGAAGCAUGGGCAGGCGAACAGAAUGUCCGAGGAAGGAGAACUAGCUAAGCUUCUUCACAAGCGAAGGAAUUGCAGCCUAACCAUCUGUGAGAUCGGAGACUUCGAGAGGCUCCCCAGUCCUCUUUCAGCCUUUUCUUACUUAUUUUUGAUGAUGAGCCUUCCAUGUAAUUUUUUCCCUAUAUAUGAAUAACUCCCAAAAAUUCAAAUAAAAUAAUUUUUCCUUAUUUUUAUAAUAUUUGUGAAUUUUGUGUCAUUUUCUGGUUAUUAAUGCAUUUUAUUUGUGCAUUUUGAUUCAUGUGAAAAAUACAAAAAAAAAAAAUACAUUUUGCAUUGGCUUUAAUUUCAUAUUUUAGCAUUAAGUAGGGGUUAAUUUGUUUUAGAACAAAAUAUGAAGGAAAUAAUCAAAAUAGUUCACUUUUGCAUUUUAAUUAUUUUAAUUGUGAACUUGUCAUUAAAAUGUUUAACCAAUUUUAGGAGUCAAUUAGUCUAGCUUUGAAAUGUAUUAGGACUUUAUUUUAAUUUUUGCACUUUUAUAAAAUCAGAGAAAAUAUAAAGAGGAAAUAAAUAAUAUAAAAACAUUUAAAUAAAAGAAAUACAAAAAGAAGGCAAAUUAGAAAAGGAAAUAAAAAAGGAAACGAGUGUUGUCUUUGAUGUUGCCCGGAACUGGGCCGAUUUUUCUUUUUGCCCAGCCCAAAUCCCUUAACCCUUUCACAGGCCCAAAUAAACACCCUAACCCGGUCCAAAACCCAUUUCCCCUUAGAGACACGCAUAUAGCGUGACCCCCUCCCCUUUCUCUUAUUCGUUUUGGGGGAGAGAUAAAAACGAGAUAAAAAAACAGACCCCGGCGAUAUACAGAGAGGGACGAAUCUGACGGGAGAGACCUUCCAUUUCCUCCAUUUCUCUCCAAAACCUUUACACCAUUAACGCUGAUGCUAGCCCGCUCUCCCUCUCUCUCAUUCAUCUACAUACACACACGAAAAGGGAAAGAAACCACACUUGAAUUCUCAACUUUCAGAUCUAGAAAAAAUUGAAAAAAGGAUUUAAAGCUGUUUGAGUUUUAUACAAUUGCCGCCUAUUUCUGGGCCUUUGCAAGCUGUUUUGAGUUGAAGAAGUUGAUCGAUUUCUGCUAUUCUUCCUUCUGUUGUUGAUUGCUGUUAUUAUGUGGUUUCCGCCGAAUUCAUGGCCUAGCUCCAGUUUUUAUUUUUGUUCGUUUUGGUCCGGCAGUGAGGUAAAACAUAAAACUCUUGAUGUAUUUGAGUGUUCAAAAAAAAAAAAGAGCUUGCGAUCUAUUUGGGAUCCGUAUGAUAUUUGUUUUGCUCAGAUUUUUGUAUUAAAAUGUCUCCUUAAUACCGAAUCUGAUUAUGCCUUGGAGCUACAGCUCACAAGUGUUAAUUUGAGCUUUUAAAAUUCAAUAUGUGUUGAUUUGAUUAACAGUUAAAAUGUUGCUCUACGUUAUUCGACUUGUGUGAUAAUCUCCCUGAUUUGGUUUAAUUUAGUUUAUAUCUUGUCAAAGUUUGUCGGUUAGAAAUUAUGUCGAUUUUCGAAGUUACCGGAAAUGAUAGUUGAUGUGAAAAGCUUCGACACUAGCGUGCUUCAGUUCUUAAUUUCUAGUCCAUUCUAUGAUUCAUGUUAUGAAUGGUUGCAACAUCUCUGCCAUAGUCAUCUUAUCAAUUAAUUGUAGACAUAGAAACUCUAGAAUUGGAGUAGAACCAUACAGCUGUGCACACUAAACACCAGGUAUUAACAGGACAAGGGUGACGUGAACAAAUCUGAUGUUCUUUGGAUAAAAAUGGAAGAGGAAACAAGCAAAUUCAAUUAAAAAAAUCUGAUUAGUUUGUAAUUUGAUUUUUUUGAUGCAACGGAAACGGCUGUUAGUAUAACAUCUGGAGAGACAAAGGCAUACACUUCUAGUUCUAUGCUCUAUGCGAGUGUUAACAUGAUUAUUUGCCUGUAUGUGUGUGCUUGUUCAGUUGGUAUUCUUUUUCACUUGUGUUGGACCGAUCUAUUGGAUAUAAUUAGCUUUAGAUCUAUUUCUUUUUUUGCUUUAGAUAUUAUUUACAUAUGAGUUUGUAUCUUCCUUUUAUUUUCCAAAGUUCUAGUUGCAUAUGUUUGAUAGAAUCUAUAGCUUGAAGUUGAAACGCACACAUGUACUGUGUUAUGCAGUAAGCUGGGUAUUUAGGCACAAUAUGAAAUUCAAUGUGAAUAUUGCUAGGGAGAAGUGUUCAUUUCUCUUCAGUUUCAUGCUUACGAGUAAUGACAACUGUUAAUGUAGGGUGGUCUGUUUAAAUUGUGAAGCUAUACAAUGUUGUCCGAUAAUCUGGUAUCCAUAUCCAUAAUUCAUGGCCUCUUUGUGAUCUUAAAUUAGCUUUAGAAAAAUGGUAAUGAAUAGUCGUAGUUUGCUUUAGUUGAGUACAAUCCUUUGAAAUUAGAAUUGAUGUGUGCCAUUAGUUGAAUUUUCCAUGGCCCUCAUAAACUUGGAAGUGCGUAGUUGCUUUAGGCGCGCUAUUUAAAAAUUACCUUCUUAAAUUCGGGUGUGCAUUUCAUGCGACCCAAAUCUUAAUCCCAAAAUAUUGAAUAAAAUGUGUUUAGGAUUGCGGAUGCAUUUCAUGUGACGUGAUCCAAAGACAUGUUUUAAACGACGUUCACUUUCUCUUAAAAAUACAUAUUGAAUAAAAGCGGUUAAAGUAAAACUGCACAUAAGUUCAUCAUGCAAUAAAAUCAGAUAAAUAAGUUAAAUGCGAUAGUUGAGUGGCCGUACUAGAACCACGGAACUCGGGAAUGCCUAACACCUUCUCCCGGUAAACAGAAUUCCUUAUCUGGAUUUCUGGUUUGCGGACUGUUAAAUCGUCAUGCUUUUCCUCGGUUCGGGAUUCAACCGAUGACUUGGGACACCAUUAAUCUCCCAAGUGGAGACUCUUAAUAAAUAGCAACAAAUCCCAUUCCGAUUGUCCUUUAAUUGGAAAAACUCCUUUACGCCCUUGCGGGGUGCAAUGAAAAAGGCGGUGUGACAGCUCUGGCGACUUUGUUGGGGAUAAGAACCCAGAACGUUUUGUUCAGGGUUUAGAAUUUGAGCUUGGAAUAAUUAUUAUGUUUGGCGUUAUCUGAUUUUGUUAGUGAUCUGUGCCUAAGGUUUUAAUUGACUGCUUUUACUGCUUUGAUAGUAUGUGAAUUGUAUAUAAACUGUACCGAAACCCAUCUCCUCUCUGAGUCUUCUAAAUCAUGAUGAAGGGUGCACUUCGUGUGACUUCUUUUAUUUAUAGUGUCUAAUUCCCAAUUUAGAACAAGGUUUGGAUAAGUUGCAAAGCCUGUGAAGCUUCUGUAUUCCGGGUACACUGCCUCCUCCUCGGCUCGAGCUUUCCGCUAGGGUAAGCCAGGUUUAGAACAAACACCCAUGUUUUGAACCUAGAAUUACUCAACAUCAUGCCGGAUUCCUAGUAGGAAUGCUUAUCUGCAUCAUGUGCAUUUGACUUAAGGGAUUCAACACAGGGGCUGGGUCUGUUUAGGGCUAGCAACCUGAAAUGAAAAAGACCAUCUUGACGCAUCCUACUUUUGUUCUGUGCAUUUAUUUGUUUCGGACCCGCAUGUUGACCGGCUUUUGAAUCUCGGAACUGUUAGAAAAUUAAGAAAAAAGAGAAAGAUAGAAAAAUAGCAGUUCGAGAGUUAACUGAUUGUUUUGGAAAAAUCAAUGCCCAAGUAAUGUCGAAACUCUGCCGAAAUUUUGAAAAAAAAGAAAAAAAAGAAAAAGUUUAUUUUUAGUAGUUUGUUUCACUAAAAAGCAAAGGAAAAAUAGAAAAAAAGAGUAUUUCAUCUUUGAAAAUUGCUUGCCGAAAAAAAGAAAGGAGUCUUUAUUUUAGUUUGGGGAAAUAGGUUGUUUGUUGAAAAUGAAAAGAAAAAAAAGAGUCGUUAUUUAGUCUUGUUGUCGGAAAUGAAAAAGUGAAAAGUAGUUUGUUUUGCCAUAGAAAAUGAAAAGAAAAAGAAAAAGAGUCUUUUAUUUUUAGGCUAUUUUAUUGUUUGUUAAAGAAAAAGAAAAAGAGUCUUGUUUUUAAAAGUAGUUUUUUUAUUUGCUUAUGAAAUGCCCAAAAAUAAAAAUGAAAAGAGUCUUAUUUUCAAAAAUAGUUCGGUUAAUUUGCCGAAUUACGCAUGGUUUUAUUCUUACAGGGCGUGAGAUAUGUAGGCAAUCUUCAUCGGGUCCAACCUCCCCUUUACAAAAAAAAAUAUAGCCCAAAAAAUGUCAAAAUUUUAAAUUUUUUCAUAAAUAAACCAGGUGAUGCCGUUUCUGUCAAAAAUAGCCAAAUUUUCCAAAACGGGGCGCCUGAAGGCUGACUUUGCAUAAACAAUCACCUUUGGUCAUAUUUUGAUUUUUGACCCUCACAACUUUAAAAUCUUCGUCCCGAGGCGCUGGAAGGCCGUGUUUGCAAUACCGGGUCACUUAUUUUAAUUUGAAAAACAAGAAAAAGAGUCAGUGGUCAAGUGAAUACCAUUCGGAUUUUGGGUCAAAUUUGGAAUAUAGGGGAAGGAAUAUGUCAUUUUGUUUUUGGGUUUGUAUUUCUUUUGAUUAGAGUAUAUGGGUCGUUUGAUUUUCAAGUCUAUAUUUCAUCGUUAAGUUGGUCAGUUUUGUUGUUAUUAUGAAAAUGAAAAAUUCCAAAAAUGUUUUAUUGUUGUUUACCUUUUAUUACAAGAACUACGGUCUGAUUCAUGCGGGUCAUGAUACGUAGGCAAUCUCUAUAAGAUUCGACCACAAAAAAAUGGAAAAAAAUGAAUAAAAAAAUGGAAAAAGAUGUUGUUAAUAAUGAGGACCGACUGAAUCCAUUCUAACAUGUUUUGUUUUGAAUUGUGAAGAAAGUUGAGGUGGUUGGUUUGUGGUAAGUCUGAUUCAUGCGGGGUCAUGGUACAUAGGCAAUCUCCAUAACAUUCGACCACAACCAAAAAAACAAAACCAAAAAAACAAAAAAAAAGAAGAAAAAAAGCAAAAGAAAAAAUGGAAAAGAUGUUGUUAAUAAUGAGGACCGACUCAAUCCAUUCUAACAUUUUUUUUGAAUUGUGAAUAAUGUUGAGGUGGUCGGGUUGUGGUAAGUUGGAAACACAAGAUCUGAGGAAAAAUGAUAACCGACAUCGAAGUUGUUGCAAGUGCUCAAGAGACUCAGGGACAGAGGGUUCAACUAGAGUCUACGGGGUUUGAGAAAAAUAGAACACCGAAACAGAAAAUGAUUGAAAUACGUCAAGCAUGGGCAAAUGGUCAAGGAGAGCCUUGGUGUGAGAAUCUUGCCCGAACGGGAGUACAGGAAGAAAUAACCCAAAGAGUAAAAACAUUAGAACAACGGUUGAAAAACACGCAAGCAAUGGCAGGUCAAAAGAGUGUUGCCUUCACAGAUCUAUGGGAGAAAUGGUGGAGAACGCUCUUAAGACAGGCAGAAUUAUAAGUCAAAGAACUCUCAAAGCAGCAGCUCAGGCUGUCCAAAUUGAAUAUGGUAACACGAAUGAGAGGGAUGAAGAAAUCAUGAUUAUAUCAGGGUCGAGAAGAGGUCCCAGGAGAACAUCUCGAAAGUAUGUGUAGCCUCAUCAGGUUUUCCAUGACCCCCCUAAGCAUUAAUAUCCACCUCCGAACCCCUCAUAUUCUAUUGAUCAUUCCCAGUAUGUUGCCAAGCCAUCAAAUAACCCAAGAAAGCGAGCAUGAGUACCACAAAAUCUCUACCCGCCUCUGCAAAAUUUUCAAGUACCUUAUAACCCAUAUCUAAGCCAGGGGUAUAGAAGGGAACAAAAGCUGAAAGAUAGUUUUACACCAAUAGGAGAGUCCUAUGCAAGCUUAUUUAAGAAGUUAAAACAAUAUGACAAGAUUGCACCCAUUCCUCCAAAUUAGGUGGACCGACGUGCAAGAAGCUUUGACUCAUAUUUAAAACAACAUGACAUGAUUGCACCCAUUCCUCCAAAUCAGGUGGACCAACGUGCGAGAAUCUUUGAAUCAUCUAAAAGGUGUGAAUACCACUCCAAUGCUCUAGGGCACAAUGUGGAAAAUUGUCGGGAUUUGAAAAGACAAAUAGAAAGGAUGAUCUAGGAAAAUUUGAUUCAAGACAGUGGCACCCAGAAUAUCAUGAUGCAUCCCUUACAUAAGGAGGCACACUUGGUGGGGAUGAUGCCUGGUGACAUGGGGUAUGAGAGUGCUCUUGGGAACUUGUAGACUGAAGUUAAAGAUACUAAAGCAGAUAGUGGUCAUGGCAAUACGGAUGCGAAGCUUAGUGGCUAAGAUGUUGUUUUUGGUAAUUGGAAAGAUGCUCCAUUCCUAAGUCAGCCGGGGAGGAGCUUUAGUGGUCCAUUUUGCUGUCAUUUAUGUUGUCCGAUUUAUUGGCAGGGUUGUAAUCCGGAUAUUGUCUUGUGAUCAAACACUCCUAUCCUUUCAUUUUUGUCUAGCUUGUUUAGUCGUAGUGGUUUGUUUAGUGUUGUCCAUGUUUGUUUCAGGUUCAUUCUUGGGUUGUACUCCAGUUUGUUUGCUUGUUUUAUUAUUCGAGUUAUUUUAUCAUUGUCUAAUGCAAAUUCCGAUCUUUUGUUACUUCCAAUCAUUUUUCUUUGUUUAGUUCUUUUCGAUCCUUUUGUUUUUUCUUUUGUCUAAUGCUGAUUCUAGUGACAUGACUUGCACGUAUAAUUCUCAGUCGAAUCUUCAAAAGCUAUGUUAGUCAGGAACUCUUUUGUCUAAUGUUGGUUCUAGUGACAUGACAUGCAUGCAUAAUUCUCAGUCUGAUCUUUAAAAGCUACAAAACCAUUUUGAAGAUGAUGGGGGCACUUGAGGAAAUAAGAACAGAAUCGGACGUUUUGAGAUUGUUUGAUGCCCGAACCAUGUGAAACUGUGUUUAAUAGAACAUAAAAAUCCCCGUAAAAGCAAGUGGGCCAAAAUGACAGGGGGUUGGUCGUGGUAAUAAGAGUAAGAGUGUUUCCCUAAUGGCAAAUUAUAUUUGACAGAUGUAGAAGGAAAAUGUGUGGAAAUGGCCGUCAAUUCCGAUGCGGUUAAGAGAUGAUGUGCAUGGUUUCUUUAUUCCGAUUGUACUUGUUUUUAUUUGGCAAAUUUUAAAGUUUGAAAUGAUGAAGGUGUUUUGUUCUGCUAUCUAUGCACUUUACCCUUUUGUCACCCUCUUUGAGCCUUAUUUGUUUUCUUUUAUAUCCCUCUUUCGGAAUCAAUGGCACAAUCAAAGAAACGCAAAUGCCGGAGAUACACAAAUGGAAAAAGAAGGAAAAAGAAAAAGGAAAUAAAGGAAAAAGAAGAAGAAAAAGGAAGAAGGGAAAAGGAGAAAGAAAGGAAGAAAGGAAAAAAAAGAAAAGAAAAGAAUAGAAAGAAAGAGAAGAAAGAAAAGGAAGAAAGAAAAGGAAGAAAAAAAAUGAAGAAAAGAAAGGAAAAGGCAAGAAAAACAAAAAAAAAAGAGAAAGAAAAUCGCAACAACGUAGUUUCUAUGACGUGAACUACGUUUGACUUGAUCCCGAAAGGGUACGUAGGAAGCCUCUCUGAGGUUUAGUCAUACCAAAAUAAAAUUCCAAAAGUCCCCAAGCAAGAACCUGGGUCAGAAGUUGCGAUUGUUGAAAGAAAUAAGAUUCCGAAGGUUGUAAUUUUAACCCAUUUUCACAUUGUUUUGAGCCUUUUGUACCCUUCUUUUCUAACCCGUUCUAAAAGCCACAUUAUGGUCCAAAGAAACACUUUUCGAUUAGUCUUUGAGAAAUGCCAAGUCAAGUAGGUAAAGGCUAUUCAUGUCAAGGGCAACACUCUGGUUCAAACAAGAAAAAUGAAAAUGAAAGAAUUUUAGUGAUGAAAACCCUCAUGGGUACCACAAGGCGAUGAAAAUUGAGAGAAAAAGGAAACGAGAGAAUCUUAUUGGUGAAAACCUUCACAGGAACCUUGAGGCGACAGUAAGUUGAGAGAAAGAAUAAACUGAGAGAGGCUUGAUGGCGAAAACCCUCUGGGCGCUACAAGUCGAACUAGAAAUGUGAUUCAGAUUGGAUAAGCAGAGCAUUGAAGCCCAGUUUCACAGCAGAAAGGUACAACUAGAGCUGAACAUCAGGAUUGAUUAGCAGAAUAUCUACAGGUGCAUGUCACCACCCGGAUUUACCCACCAUCGGGAGUCGUGAUGGCGCCUACUGUCGAAGCUAGGUAAGCCAACCUUUAUAAUCACUUUCAUAAACUUAAACUAAAGCAAAUCAAAUACUAGAGUAAUUAAUUAAACAUGCGGAAGUCUUCUAAUAACAAUAAUGAAAAACAAUAUGCGGAAAGCUAACAACAUAUCUCUACCCAUUUAUCUGGUGUCACUGCCCAUGAACAACUAAAGAGUACUAAAAAUAAUAGUCUGAACAAAAUACAUAGCAUGUCUGUUUGAUACCAUUUAAUAAACUGAAUACUCACGGACAACUAAAGAGUACUAAAAAUAAUAGUCUGAACGAAAUACAUAGCAUGUCUGUUUGAUACCAUUUAAUAAACUGAAUGAAAUAGAUAGAUAGAGGAGACUCGAGGCUCGCGAAUGCCAGUGAACUACCUCAGAGCCUCUGGACUGAAGGAUCACUCCCGAUCUAAAGCUGUGGUCCGUAUAUUGGGUCCUGACCUGUGCAAAAGAAGGCACUCGAGGCUCGCGAAUGCCAGUGAACUACCUCAGAGCCUCUGGACUGAAGGAUCACUCCCGAUCUAAAGCUGCGGUCCGUAGAUUGGGUCCUGACCUGUGCAAAAGAAGGCACAAAAGCGUAGUAUCAGCACAACUGACCCCAUGUACUAGUAGGUGCCCGGCCUAACCUCGACGAGGUAGUGACGAGGCUAAACCGAACCUAUCACAACCAACCUGUACAGAUAUAUGCAAUAAUAGAAAGAGAGCAAGCAUUUAAGCAAAUAAAGUGGGAAGGCCAUGCUGGAGGAGUAGCAGUUCAAUUAUAACUUCUACAAUCAAGAGGUGAAACUGAAUAAGUAAUAAUGAAACAAGAAAGCCAAUGAAUCAACAGCUGCACGACAUCACCCUUUGUGCUUUUACUCUCAUUACUCACCAAGGAUAUCAAAUACAAGGCACGACAUCACCCUUCGUGCUUUUACUCUCAUUAAACAGUGCACGACAUCACCCUUCAUGCUUUUACUCUCAAUAAACACUGCACGGCAUCACCCGUCGUGCUUUAACUCUCAACUCCUCUCCCAAUCAAUGGUCACACCAGAACGGGACUAGGGAAAUAUAUAUAUCAAGGGAAAAUAUCCCGGCAAGGGAGAAUAAUUCAACAAAUGGUCCCAGCAAGGGAAAUACAACUCAACAAUAGGUCCCGGCAAGGGAAUACAACUCAACAAAUGGUCCCUGUUCACUUGCUUCAAAAUUUAAUAGCAAAUAUGAUAACACGGUCAUGUUUGACUCGGGCGCAUAGGUAACCGUCACCAUACCUAUAAACUGACCUACAUAGCAUAUGAAAAAUAACAACCUAAUCAUAUUCCCUCAAGCCAAAGUUCGAUCGAACACUUACCUCGAAGCCGAAAUAACAACUCAAAGCUCAACAAUCGCCUUUCCUCUAGAAUUUGACUCUGAAGCAAGGAUAUCUAACAUAAUUCGAUUCAAUAUUAUCAAUAAGAAUCCAAAAACACAAUCCCAUAGCCUAGAAAUGUUUUUUCUAGCUUACUUCCAAAAAUACAAAAAUCCGACAUCGGGCCCACGUGGUCCAAAUUCGAGGCUCGGACCAAAACCCAAUCCCCCAUAACCCCACGAGUUCAAAUAUAUAAUUAGAUUUUAAAUUCGACCUCAAAUUGAAAUUGAAAUACCCAAAAUCCCAUAAAUCCUAACUAAACACAAAACACCUAAAUUCUACUUUGAUUUCAUGUUAUAGAGCUAGGAAUUUAAUGAUUUGAUGAAGAAAUAAUGAGGAAAUAAUGUUAGGAUUACUUACCUAAGGAGUGUGAUGAAUUAGGAGCUUGAAGUUCGUCAAUGGAGGGUGUAGGAGGAGAGUUCAUGUGAGAGUUUGAAUGAAAUCCCGUAAUCAACAGUGCUGGAAUUUAUAAAAUCAUUGAAGCAUUUUGUGCUUUGCGAUCGUGACACCUGGGACGCGUUCGCGCUGAAGGAAUCUGAUAAGGCAUCGCGUUCGCAAUGGGAUCUAUGCGAACGCAAAAAAGGAAAGUAGGGGGUUCAUGGGGUAGCUCUACGCGAACGCAGAAACCGACACGCGAAUGCAGUGAAGGGAGGCUAAGUUACGCGAACGCAUGGCAUUGGACGCGAUCACGAAGGGUAAGAAGAUUUGGGCUACGUGAACGCGAGCCGAGUGCCGCAUUCAGGAAUAAGAAAAGGCUCUGCAACAUCUGUUGAAAAAUCUGGUAUUUUUCUAAGUUUCAAGACACUUCGAAACACCCCAAAAUCACCCCCGAUCCCUCGGGGCUCCCAACCAAACACACACACUAACUCAAUAUCAUCCUACGAACUUGCUCAAGCGNNNNNNNNNNNNNNNNNNNNNNNNNNNNNNNNNNNNNNNNNNNNNNNNNNNNNNNNNNNNNNNNNNNNNNNNNNNNNNNUGCUCAAGCGAUCAAAUCGCCAAAAUAACAUCAAAAUCAAAGAAUCAACCCCCAAAACUCAUGAUUUUCAUUUCUAAGUUCAAAACUUCCAAAUUUUCCAUUUUAGUCCGAAACACGUCAAACAACGUCUGUUUUUAACCAAACUUUACAGAUAGCGCUUAACGCCCAUUUAAUACUUCUAACAGGCACCGGAACCAAAAUACGAGCUCGAUACCACUAUUUUUUUUAUCAAUUUUGGUUUUCAUUUUUCCUUAAGCAUAUUCAUAAAACCAUUUCACAAAAAAGCUCCGUACGCGGGCCUGGGACCUCAUUUUUCAAUUCCGGGAAUAGGUCCGGGUCCCAAAUUUCAUUAUGGACCCUCCGGGUUAGUCACAUUACGGGUCCGGAUCCGUUUACCCAAAAAGUUGGCCAAAGUCAACCAUAGCAAUAUUGGUAUCAAAAUUCAUAGUUUUUAACACAAAAUUCAAAUAUUUUCUCAUAACAUUUUCCUGCUUCGUCUGGACUGCGCACGCAAAUCGAGGCAACCCAAAUAAGAGGUUUUCAAGGCCUCAGAAACACAAGGAAAUGAAGAAAUAGGGCUUUUUUGGUUUUGCGCCCGGACUGCACAUGCAAAUCGAGGCAACCCAAUAAGGGGUUUCCAAGGCCUCAAAAGCACAAGAAAAGAGAGAAUUACGGUGAUAACCCUUUGGGUCGUCACAUCCUCCACCUCUAAAACAACCGUUCAUCCUCGAACGGACAAAAGAAAGAAGUACCUGAGUCGGGGAAUAGAUUGGGAUAACGGCUCCGCAUAUCAGACUCGGACUCCCAGGUCCAUACCUCGGGAGGCUAACCUCUCCACUGAACACGCACUGAAGGGAAACUCCGCGACCUCAACUGUCGAACGUGCCAAUCUAAAAUAGCCACCGGCUCCUCCUCAUAUGACAGAUCCUUGUCCAAUUGGAUAGUGCUAAAAUCUAACACGUAGGUGGGAUCACCGUGAUACUUCCGAAACGUGGAUACAUGGAAAACCGAAUGCAUGGCUGAAAAGCUAGGCGGCAAUGCAAGUCUAUAAGCCACAUUCCUCACACGGUCCAGAAUCUCAAACGGGCCAAUAUACCUAGGGCUAAGCUUUCCCUUCUUCCUAUACCUCAUCACGCCCUUCAUAGGAGAUACACGGAGAAAUACUCGCUCACCAACCAUGAAAGCAAUAUCCCUGACCUUACGAUCUGCAACACUCUUCUGCUUGGACUGAGCUGACCAAAGUCUUUCCUGAAUGAUCUUCACCUUAUCCAAGGCCUCCUGUACCAAAUCAGUACCUAAUAAUCGAGCCUCUCCCGGAUCAAACCAUUCGACUGGGGACCAACACCGCCUACCAUACAACGCCUCAUACGGGGCCAUCUGAAUACUAGACUGGUAACUGUUGUUGUAGGCAAACUCCGCUAAAGGAAAGAACUGGUCCCACGAGCCUCCAGAAUCAAUAACACAUGCUCGAAGCAUAUCCUCAAGAAUCUGAAUGGUCCUUUUGGACUGACUGUCCGUCCGGGGGUAAAAUGUUGUGCUCAACUGGACAUGCCCCACGAGCCUCCAAAAUCAAUAACGCAGGCUCGGAGCAUAUCUUCAAGAAUCUGAAUGGUACUCUUGGACUGACCGUUCGUCUGGGGGUGAAAUGCUGUGCUUAACUGAACCUGGGUACCCAACUCAUGCUGCACCGCUCUCCAGAAAUGCGAGGUAAGCUGUGGACCACGAUCCUAAAUAAUAGAUAUGGGCACCCCAUGAAGGUGAAUGAUCUGCCUGAUAUAAAUCUUAGCAUACCUCUCGGAUGAAUAGGUGGUGGCAACUGGGAUGAAAUGCGCUGACUUGGUCAGCCUAUCAACAAUGACCCAUAUAGCAUCAAACUUCCNNNNNNNNNNNNNNNNNNNNNNNNNNNNNAAUAGGUGGUGGCAACUGGGAUGAAAUGCGCUGACUUAGUCAGCCUAUCAACAAUAAUCCAUAUAGCAUCAAACUUCUUCCGAGUCAUCGGAAGGCAGUAACAAAAUCCAUGGUGAUUCUCUCCCACUUUCACUCUGGAAGCUCAAUCCUCUGAAAUAGCCCACCGGGCCUCUGAUGCUCGUACUUAACCUACUAACAAUUUAGACAACGAGCCACAUAUGCAACAAUGUCUUUCUUCUUUCUACGCCAUCAAUAAUGUUGUCUCAAAUCCUGAUACAUCUUCGCGGCUUCCGAAAGAAUAGAAUACCGAGAAUUGUGGGCCUCCGCUAAGAUCGACUCUUGAAUGCCAUCGAUAUUGGGCAUGCAAACUCGCCCCUGCAACCUCAAUAUGCCAUCAUCUACCAGAGUCAUCUCUUUGUCACCUCCCAUCUGCACCGCGUCUCUCAGGACACACAAAUAGGGAUCAUCAAACUGCUGCUCCCGAAUACGCUCCAUCAAUGACGAGCGAGCAACUGUGCAAGCUAACACUCUGGUGGGCUCUGAAAUAUCCAAUCUCACAAAUGUAUUGGCUAAGGACUGAACAUCCAAGGCAAGCGGUCUCUGGCUGAUCAGAAUAUAUGCAAGACUACCCAUGCUGGCGGACUUUCUACUCAAUGCAUCGGCCACCACAUUCAAUGACGAGCGAGCAACUGUGCAAGGUAACACCCUGCUGGGCUCAAAAAUAUCCAAUCUCACAAAUCUAUUGGCCAAUGCCUGAACAUCCAAGGCAAGCAGUCUCUUCUGACCGAAAUAUAUUCAAGACUACCCAUGCUGGCGGACUUUCUACACAAUGCAUCGGCCACCACAUUGGCCUUCCCUGGGUGGUAUAAAAUGGAAACAUCGUAAUCUUUUAACAACUCCAACCACCUCCGUUGUCUCAAAUUCAACUCUUUCUGCUCUAACAAGUAUUGAUGGCUCUUGUGAUCCGUGUACACCUCACACGUCACACCAUACAAAUAAUGCCUCAAGAUCUUCACUCACAAAUCUAUUGGCCAAGGCCUGAACAUCCAAGUCAAGCGGUCUCUAGCUGAUUGGAAUAUAUGCAAGACUACCUAUGCUGUCGGACUUUCUACUCAGUGCAUCGGCCACCAUAUUGGCCUUCCGUGGGUGGUAUAAAAUAGAAACAUCAUAAUCCAACUCCAACCACCUCUGCUUCCUCGAAUUCAACUCUUUCUGCUUGAACAAGUACUGAAGGAUCUUAGGAUCCGUGUACACCUCACACGUCACACCAUACAUAUAAUGCCUCCAGAUCUUCAAGGCGUGAACAAUGGCAGCUAACUCUAAGUCAUGAACUGGAUAAUUCUUCUCGUAGAUCUUCAACUUCCUCGAAGCAUAUGCUAUGAACUUGCCAUUCUGUAUCAACACUCCGCCAAGUCUGAUGCGGGAAGCAUCACAAUAUACAGUAUAAGGCCCAGAUCCCGUGGGCAAAACCAAUACUGGUGCCGUAAUCAGAGCUGUCUUGAGCUUCUGGAAGCUCGCCUCGCACUCAUCUGACCACCUGAAUUGGUCACCCUUCUAGGUCAAUCCAUCAUCGGGGCUGAGAUGGAUGAAAACCCCUCCACAAAACAUCCGUAGUAACCAGCUAACCCCAAGAAGCUUCAAAUCUCUGUAGUUGAAGCUGGUCGAGGCCAGUUCUUGACUACCUCUAUCUUCUUCGUGUCCACCAGAAUACCCUCUGCUGAUACGGCAUGACCCAGGAAUGCGACUAAACUCAACCAAAAUUCGCACUUUGAAAACUUGGCGUACAACUGGCUACCCUUCAGAGUCUGAAGAACCACUCUGAGGUGCUGCUUAGACCACCUGAACUGGGCACUCUUCUGAGUCAAUCUAGUCAUUGGAGCUGCGAUGGAUGAAAACCCCUCCACGAAACGUCUGUAGUAACCAGCUAACCCCAAGAAGNNNNNNNNNNNNNNNNNNNNNNNNNNNNNNNNNNNNNNNNNNNNNNNNNNNNNCUCCGAAUCUCUGUAGCUAAAGCUGGUCGAGGCCAGUUCUUGACUGCCUCUAUCUUCUUCGGGUCUACCUGAAUACCCUCUGCUGAUACGACAUGACCCCGGAAUGCUACUGAACUAAACCAAAAUUUGCAGUUUGAAAAUUUGGUGUACAACUGGCUAUCUUUCAGAGUCUGAAGAACCACUCUGAGGUGCUGCUUGCUCCUCCUGACUGCGGGAGUAUACCAAGAUAUCAUCGAUGAAUACGAUCACAAAUAAAUCUAAGUAAGGCCUGAACACUCGGUUCAUCAACUCCAUGAAUGCUGCCGGGGCAUUGGUCAACCCAAACGACAUGAUCAAAAACGCAUAAUGCUCAUAGUGAGUACGAAAUGCUGUCUUAGGGGCAUCAGAUGCCCUAAUCCUCAGCUGAUGAUAAUCAGAACUCAAAUCUAUCUUCGAAAACACAUUGGCACCAUGAAGCUGGUCAAACAAAUCGUCAAUCCUCGAUAGUGGAUACUUGUUCUUUAUCGUCACCUUGUUCAAAUGCCGGUAAUCAAUGCACAUCCUCAUUGACCCGUCCUUUUUCUUCGCAAACAACACUGGCGCACCCCAAGGUGAUACACUGGGUCUAAUGAAACCCUUAUCAAAUUCUGAAGCUUUUCUUUCAACUCUGGCGGGGCCAUGCGAUAUGGCGGAAUAGAAAUAGGUUGAGUGCCAAGAGCCAUAUCAAUGCAGAAAUCUAUAUCCCUGUCGGGCGGCAUACCCGGCAGGUCUUAAGGAAAAACCUCGGGGAACUCCCGAACAAUAGCAACAGAGUUGAUGGAUGGAACCUCUGUGCUCGAGUCACGAACAUAUGCCAAAUAUGCUAAACACCCCUUCUCGACCAUGCGUCGAGCCUUGACAUACGAAAUAACACUACGGGUGGCAUGACCUGGGUUCCCUCUCCACUCAAGUCGGGGAAAAUCGGGCACGACCAAAGUCACGGUCUUGGCGUGACAAUCCAAGAUAGCAUGAUACGAGGACAACCGGUCCAUCCCCAAUAUAACAUCAAAGUCCAGCAUGUCUAAAAGCAAUAAGUCGACACGAGUGACAUUAUUUGGGGUCCCUCUCCACUCAAGUCGGGGAAAGUCUGGCAAGGCCAAAGUCACGGUCUUGGUGUGACAAUCCAAGAUAGCAUGAUACGGGGACAACCAUCCCAUUCCCAAUAUAACAUCGAAGUCCACCAUGUCGAGAAGCAAUAAAUCGUGACGGGUCUCAACACCCUCAAAUACCACUACACAAGAACGAUGCACUCGGUCGACCACUAUAGAAUCACCAACUUAUGUGUACACAUACACAGAAAUACCCUGAGCCUCACUAGGCAUAAACAAAUAGGGUGCAAAACAGGAUGACACAUAAGAAUAAGUAGAUCCCGGAUCAAAUAAUACUAAAACACCCCUAUCACAGACGAGUAUUGUACCUGUAAUCACAUUAUCAGACGACUCGGCCUCCGGUCUGGCUGGCAAUGCAUAAGAACGGGGCUAGCCCCCACCUCGCUAAACUGCGUCUCUGGGAUGAUCUGCUGCGGGCUGACCCCUACCUCUGGCUGUCCGGUCUCCACCCCUACUGUCUCUCCCUUAACCUCUAUGAUCCAUAUCCCCGCCUCUAGCUGGCUGGGCGACCUAUGGAUCACCUGCUGCCUGAAUCGUAGGGCGAGGACCCUGCUGCUGAGAACUACUCGAGGCUCGAGGGCAAAAUCUGACAACAUGACCUAUGAUACCACAACCAUAACAUGCCCUCGGCGGCUGAGACUGUUGGCCCUAUCGAUCGGUAUGUCCUCCGUUGAAGCUCUAAAGUGGCAAUGCACUGAUGGGGGCUAGUGGUGCGUUGAAAUACUGAUGAUCUGAGUAAUACUGCCAGUGUCCACCACCGCCUGGCGUACCAUGAGAAACCUGAAGUGCCGACUGGAAAGGUCUCGGGGGAUGGCCUCUGUCAUGGAAAUCUCUACCUCUAGAUGAGGUACCACUAAAUCUUCCAGAAUGUCGAGGCCACUUGUCUGAACUCUGACUACCUCUUCGAGCCAAUGCCAUCUCUACUCGGCAGGCUGCAUUGGCCGCCUCCUGAAAAGUGAUAUCACUGCCAACUCCCACAGCCAUCUGUAGGCGAAUGGGCUGAAUCAAUCCAUUAAUUAACCUCCAGACCCUGUCCCAAUCUGUAGGGAGUAUCACUACGGCAUGGCGUUCCAAGUCAACAAAUCUGGUCUCGUACUGUGUAACUGUCAUAGAGCCCUGCUGAAGAUGCUCGAACUGUCUUCGAAGUGCCUCCCGAUGAGUGACAGGGAGAAACUUCUCCAAAAAUAACUCUGCAAACUGAUCCCAUGUCAAAGCUGGAGACCCUGCUGGUCUAGAUAGACAAUAAUCUCUCCACCAAAUCUUGGCGGACCCCACAAAUCUGAAAGCGCAAAAAUCGACCCCAUUGGUCUCCACUAUCCCCAUAGACCUGAGGAUCUCAUGAAAACUAUAUAGAAAGUCCUGGGGAUCCUCCGAUGAAGCACCGUUGAAACUAGUAGUGAAAGUCUUGGAGAACCAAUCAAGUCUCCACAAAGUAUACAAAGACAUGGCCGUCCCAUCUCCGGCCGGAGCUGCCACUGCGGGCUGAACCAAGGGGACCUGAGUCUAGGGAGCUACUUGCUCCGGAGUACGUGUAGUAGGAGUCUGAAGCCCUCAUCCAGCCUGAGAAGUGGCUGGUGUUACUGGCAGCAAUCCCGCUCUGGCCACACUAUCCAUAUAGCCUGCUAUGCGGACAAAGGCAUCUUGAGAUCCGAAGAAAACAUCACUCCCCCUGGGACCUGAUCUGGGCCCACUAGAGCUGGUGGAGUUGGAACAUCCUCAUCAAAGUCAAUAUGAGGCUCCACCUCUGGAACUGCUGCCUGGGGCUGAGAUCUGCCCUUGCCACGAACUCUGGCACGGCCUCGGCCCCUGCCCCUCGUAGGAGCUGCUGCUGGGGGCUCGGGCUGCUACGCGGAAGAAGAAGACGCACAUGUCCUCACCAUCUCCAAAAGAACAGAGUAGAAUGACAAUCAAUAUUUGAGAAACAAAAUCGCACGACAAGAAUGAACAAAGUGAAACUUUUCCUAGCUCUGUAGCCUCUGGGGGAUAAAUACAGACGUCUCCGUAUCGAUCUCUCAGACUCUACCGAGCUUGUCCAUGAGUUGUGAGACCCAAGUAACCUAGUGCUCUGAUACCAACUUGUCACCACCCGGAUUUACCCACCAUCGGGAGUCGUGAUGGCGCCUACUGUCGAAGCUAGGUAAGCCAACCUUUAUAAUCACUUUCAUAAACUUAAACUAAAGCAAAUCAAAUACUAGAGUAAUUAAUUAAACAUGCGGAAGUCUUCUAAUAACAAUAAUGAAAAACAAUAUGCGGAAAGCUAACAACAUAUCUCUACCCAUUUAUCUGGUGUCACUGCCCAUGAACAACUAAAGAGUACUAAAAAUAAUAGUCUGAACAAAAUACAUAGCAUGUCUGUUUGAUACCAUUUAAUAAACUGAAUGAAAUAGAUAGAUAGAGGAGACUCGAGGCUCGCGAAUGCCAGUGAACUACCUCAGAGCCUCUGGACUGAAGGAUCACUCCCGAUCUAAAGCUGUGGUCCGUAUAUUGGGUCCUGACCUGUGCAAAAGAAGGCAGGCUCGCGAAUGCCAGUGAACUACCUCAGAGCCUCUGGACUGAAGGAUCACUCCCGAUCUAAAGCUGUGGUCCGUAUAUUGGGUCCUAACCAUUGCAAAAGAAGGCACAAAAGCGUAGUAUCAGCACAACCAACCCCAUGUGCUGGUAGGUGCCCGGCCUAACCUCGACGAGGUAGUGACGAGGCUAAACCGGACCUAUCACAACCAACCUGUACAGAUAUAUGCAAUAACAGAAAGAGAGCAAGAAUUUAAGAAAUAAAAGGGAUAGGGGAUAUGCUGGGGGAGUAGCAGUUCAAUUAUGACUUCUACGAGCAAGAGAUGGAACUGAAUAAAUAAUAAUCAAAUAGGAAAGGCAAGAAUUUAAGCAAAUAAAAGGGGAAGGGCAUGCUGGGGGAGUAGCAGUUCAAUUAUAACUUCUACAAUAAAGAGGUGAAACUGAAUAAGUAAUAAUGAAACAAGAAAGCCAAUGAAUCAACAGCCGCACGACAUCACCCUUCCUACUUUUACUCUCAUUCCUCACCAAAGAUAUCAAAUACAAGGCAUGACAUCUCCCUUCAUGGUUUUACUCUCAUUAAACAGUGCACGAAAUCACCCUUCGUGCUUUUACUCUUAAUAAACAGUGCACGUCAUCACCCUUCGUGCUUUAGCUCUCAAUUCCUUUGCCAAUCAAUGGUCACAACCAAAUGGGAACAGGGAAAUAUAUAUAUAUCAAGGCAAAAUAUUCCGGAAAGGGAGAAUAAUUAUCCAAAUGGUCCCAGCAAGGGAAAUACAACUCAACAAAUGGUCCCGGCAAGGGAAAAGUACCAAAAAUUCCUCUUUAGUUCAUUUAUUUCUCAACUUUCACUUCAUAGUUCUUGUAACAAGUAAUAAUAACAAUUGUUCACUUACUUCACAAUUUAAUAGCAAAUAUGACAUCACGAUCAUGCUUGACUCGGAAGUACAAAAAUUCCUCUUUAGUUCAUUUAAUUCUCAACUUUCACUUCAUAGUUCUUGUAACAAGUAAUUAUCACAAUUGUUCACUUACUUCGAAAUUUUAAUAGCAAAUAUGCCAUCAUGGUCAUGCUUGACUCGGCGUAUAGGUAACCGUCACCAUACCUAUACAUCGACCCCACAUAGCACAUAACAAAUAACAAUCUAAUCCUAUUCGCUCAAGCCAAAGUUAGAUCGAACACUUACCUCGAAUCCGAAAUAGCAACUCAAAUCUCAACAAUUGCCUUUCCUCUAGAAUUCGACCCCGAACCAACGAUAUCUAACAUAAUCAGGUUUAAUAUUAUCAAUAAGAAUCCAAAAACACAAUCCCAUAACCUAGAAAUGCAUUUCCUAGUGUACUUCCAAAAAUACUAAAAUCCGACACCGGGCCCACGUGGUCUUAACCCGAUGAUCAGACCAAAACUCAAUCCCUCAUAACCCCACGAGUUCAAAUAUAUAAUUAGAUUUUAAAUUCAACCUCAAAUUGAGGUUGAAAUACCCAAAAUCCCACAAACCCUAACUAAACCCAAAACCCCUAAAUUCUACUUUGAUUUCAUGUUCUAGAGCUAGGAAUUUAAUGAUUUGAUGAAGAAAUAAUGAUGAAAUAAUAUUAGGAUUACUUACCCAAGGAGUUGUGAUGAAUUAGGAGCUUGAAGUUCGUCAAUGGAGGGUGNNNNNNNNNNNNNNNNNNNNNNNNNNNNNNNNNNNNNNNNNNNNNNNNNNNNNNNNNNNNNNNNNNNNNNNNNNNNNNNNNNNNNNNNNNNNNNNNNNNNNNNNNNNNNNNNNNNNNNNNNNNNNNNNNNNNNNNNNNNNNNNNNNNNNNNNNNNNNNNNNNNNNNNNNNNNNNNNNNNNNNNNNNNNNNNNNNNNNNNNNNNNNNNNNNNNNNNNNNNNNNNNNNNNNNNNNNNNNNNNNNNNNNNNNNNNNNNNNNNNNNNNNNNNNNNNNNNNNNNNNNNNNNNNNNNNNNNNUGUUCAUGGGGUAGCUCUAUGAGAACGCGGAAGCAGACACGCGAACGCGGUGAAGGGGAGGCUAAGCUACGUGAACACGUGGCAUUGGAAGCCAUCGUGAAGGGUAAGUAGAUUUGGGCUACGCGAACGCGAGCCGAGUGCCGCAUUCGCGAAAAAGAAAAGGCUCUGCAACAGCUGUUGAAAAAUCUGGUAUUUUUCUAAGUUUCAAGACACUCCGAAGCACCCCGAAAUCACCUUGAUCCCUCGGGGCUCCCAACCAAACACACACACUAACUCGAUAUCAUCCUACGAACUUGCUCAAGCGAUCAAAUUGCCAAAAUAACAUCAAAAUCAAAGAAUCAACCCCCAAAGCUCAUGAUUUUCAUUUCUUAGUUCAAAACUUCAAAAUUUUCCAUUUUUAGUCCGAAACACGUCAAACGACAUCCAUUUUCAACCAAACUUUAUAGAUAGCGCUUAACACCCAUUUAAGACUUGUACCGGGCGUCGGAACCAAAAUACGAGCCCGAUACCACUAUUUUUGAUAAAUUUUUGUUUUCAUUUUUCCUUAAGCAUAUUCAUAAAACCAUUUCACAGAAAAGCUCUGUACUCGGGCCUGGGACUUCGAAUUUCGAUUCCGAGAAUUUUCCCGAGGAAGUUUCAUUACGGACCCUCCGGGACUAUCACGUCACGGAUCCGGGUCUGUUUAUCCAAAAUGUUAACUAGAGUCAACCAUAGCAAUAUUGGUAUUAAAAUCCAUAGUUUUUAACACCGAAUUCAAAUAUUUUCACAUAAAAUUUUCUGGCUUCAUGCCCGGACUGUGCACUUGAAUCGAGGCAACUCAAUUAGGGGUUUCCAAGGCCUCAGAAGCGCAAGGUAAGGGAGAAUUAUGGUGAUGACCCUUUGGGUCGUCACAGUGCAUGUCAUGGUCGUUAGAGUUGGUAUCCACAUUUGAUAGGUUUCUACUUCGUAGUGUCGUCUUUAGGAAUCAUCUCUUUACUUUGUCCUUCACUUCGUUCUUCUGUUGGUUCACUUCUUCUUUCUGAGUCUGUCGGUUAUAGCAAGUGAGAAAUGACUUCAAAAUUUCCACCAGCUUUCUGAAUGCACAAAUGAGGUUUAGCUAGCAUAUCAAAGUGUCACAAGGCAAGAAAAUCAACAAGAGCAUUGAGCUAGUAAUAAUCAACAUGCUUUGGGAAUCCUGGCUAACACAAAGUUUAGCAGAUGUUAGUUCAGGAAUAAUGCAAUAGAUGGAGGGUAUUGGGUUUGAACGAAGAAUAGAUAUUUUCUGUGACAAGGGUCAAGCGAACGAGCAAUAGACUUCAGGGUCAAAGGGCUAGGGGUUGUGAUUUAAGAAGCAACAACAUACUGUGGGGGCAAUAGAUGCAAUUUGGAAUUCAUGUAAGACUCAAAGGUCAAGAAAAUGCCAGUUCAUGGGUGAUGUAAAUAACAGAAGAUAUAGGGUUUGAAUGCAGAAAAGGUAUGUUUGGUGACACGGAUGACCAAGGAAGUGGUUAAUCAGUGAGCAUGCAAGAUCUUCAAGAAGAAUCAGGUGUCAUAGAAAAUAUAUGGAGUCAGAUAAGAAGGUUAGAAGUAAUAAUUGAGAGGUAGCCAUCAAGAAGGGCGGAAAUAUUUAGCCAAGUUUCAAAUAUGGUAGGAAAACACGGAGCAUGAAAAGGAGAAAAGGAAAGCCAUCCCCAGCAAGAGUACCACAACCAACCACCACACUUUAAACUGAUAGAAUUUUCUUUGAUUUGAAACAGGGGCAUGGAAAUGUUAAUGAUAGCGGAAAGAUAUGUUACAAGAGGAUUAUCAAAUUGGGGCAGAAAAUUUUCUGUUAUUUUGAAAAUUUUCUUGAAGUUGGGUACCCAUCUGAAGAACAUGAAGGUCAAUACAAGUUUUUUUUAAAAAAAAGAAGAAGAGGGAAGUAGUUUUCAGGAAAGAAACACCAAUUUUAAGAAAAAUAAUUUUCGGAGGAUUGAAACAUUGUUUUUAGGGAAAUGGUUUUUGAAGGAGGACAACACCAGUAUUUAAGGAAGCAGUUUUGGAGGAAGAUAAUUCAAGUUAGAGGGUGGAUAAAACAAGUUUCGGAGGAAAAUGGUUAAAAGAAAAAUCUUAGUUUGAUGAAUUUUUCACCUAAGAUGACGAAAUCUUAGUCUGUUGAGUCUUUCACCUAAGAUAGAAAUCUUAGUGUGAUGAAUUUUUCACCUAAGAUAAAAAUCAUAGUCUGAUGAAUCUUUCACCUAAGAUAAAGGCAGAAGUUUGAAAAAGAAAAGGAAGGCAUAAAUUGGGAAAAAAAAGGAAGGCAUAAUUGGGAAAAAAGAAAGGAAGACAAAAAAUGGGAAAAAGAAAGGAAGACAUAAUUUGGGAAAAAGAAAGGAAUACAGAAUUAGAAAAAGGAAGAAAGGAAGUUUGAAGUUAAAAGUCUUGAUUCGAAGUUUGGACCUAGUUUGAUGAUUUAUCUCCUAGGGUAAAAAUCUUAGUAUGUUGAAUCUUUCACCUAAGAUGAAAAUCUUAGUUUGAUGAACUUUUCACCUAAGAUAAAAGAUAAAAAUCUUAGUCUGUUGAAUUUUUCACCUAAGAUGAAAAUCUUAGUCUGAUGAAUUUUUCACCUAAUACGAAAGGCAAAAAUCUUAGUCUGCUGAAUCAUUCACCUAAGAUGACAAUCUUAGUCUGAUGAAUUUUUCACCUAAGAUAAAAUGUAAGAAUCUUAGUUUGUUGAAUCUUUUACCUAAGAUAAAAAUCUUAGUCUAAUGAAUUUUUCACCUAAGAUAAAUUUUAAAUUUUAAGAUACACUUCAGUCUUUAAAUUUUUAAAGUUGCAUUUCAGUCUUAUCACAAUUCAAGUUUUAGUUUUUAUUAGUAUGUGGCAGAAAUGUUUCUUAUUUAAGAACCUUAGUCUGUUGAAUUUUUCACCUAAGAUAAAAAUCUUAGUCUGGUGAAUUUUUCACCUAAGAUAAAAGAAAAAUCUUAGUCUGUUGAAUCUUUCACCUAACAUAAAAAUCGUAGUCUGAUGAAUUUUUCACCUAAGAUAAAAGAUAGUAAUCUUAGUCUGUUGAAUCUUUCACCUAAGAUAAACAAUAAAAAUCUUAGUCUGUUCAAUCUUUCACCUAUGAUGAAAAUCUUAAUCUGAUGAAUUUUUCACCUAAGAUAAAAAUCUUAGUCUGAUGAAUUUUUCACCUAAGAUAAAGGUAAAAAUUUUAGUCUGUUGAAUCUUUCACUUAAGAUAAGAAUCUUAGUCUGUUGAAUCUUUCACCUAAGAUAAAAAUCUUAGGCUGAUAAAUUUUUCACCUAAGAAAAAUUUUAAAUUUUAAAAUACAUUUCAGUCUUUAAACUUUUAAAGUUACAUUUCAGUCUUAUCACAAUUCAAGUUUUAGCUCUUAUUAGUAUGUUGUAACAAGCACCUAGUUUUCUAAAUUGGGGCAGAAAGUUUCUUUGUUUUGUCUGUUUUUGUGAAGUCAGGAGCCCGCCUAUUUAAUUUCAUGUUCAGCAAUUAGGAGCCUCCCGGAUAACAGAGGAAUACAUUCAAUUUUCAAGUCCAGCAAUCAGGAGCCCGCCUGGAUAACAAAGGAAUACAUUUAAGUUCAAGACUAUUCAAGUUCAGCAAUUUUGGAGAAAAGGAACAAUAUCGCAGUCAGCAAGUUAAAGAAACGACAAUGGAUUUCACCAAGAAAAUACAAGAUAACAAGACAACAAGGAAGUACAAGAACAAGUUUGAAAAAUUUAGGUAGGAUUUUGUAAUCCGUAGCUCGUAGCUUUUGCUAGCUUCUUUUAUUUUUGAUUGGUGUAAUAAGGAAGGUCAUCGAGCUGUAGCAGCAGCAAUCGUAGUGAAAUCACAGCUAGUGGUAGUCCCAGCUACCAGACACUCUCGAACUACACCUGACUUGAUUUCUGUUUAGCCCAAGAUAUGUAGGCAACAUCUAAAGCAGGGUGCGGUCAAAACUUUUCAAAAUGCUACACAACAGAGUAUUUGAACGGGCAAAAAUCGCUCAUAUUUGUUCACUUAUCUUUGCCCGAAAAUCUUUCAUGUUUCCGAGCAAAGAGGAGCAGUUGUGAGCACGUGAUUUUUGCCCUAUAUAUGAAUAACUCCCAAAUAUUCACACAAAAUAAUUUUUCCUUAUUUUUACAAUUUUUGUGAAUUUUGUGUCAUUUUCUGGUAAUUGUUGCAUUUUAUUUGUGCAUUUUGAUUCAUGUGAAAAAUAUAAAAAAAUACAUUUUGCAUUGGAAUUUAAUUUCAUAUUUUAGUAUUAAUUAGGUGUUAAUUUGUUUUACAACAAAAUAUGAAGGAAAUAAUCAAAAUAGUUCACUUUUGUAUUUUAAUUAUUUUAAUUGUGAACUUGUCAUUAAAUAGUUUUUAAACAAUUUUAGGAGUUAAUUAGUCUAGCUUUGAAAUGUAUUAGGACUUUAUUUUAAGUUUUGCACUUUUAUAAAAUUAAAAAAAUACAAAGAGGAAAUAAAUAAUAUAAAAGCAUUUGAAUAAAAGAAAUGCAAAAAGAAGGCAAAUUAGAAAAGGAAAUAAAAAAGGAAACAAGUGUUGUCUUUGAUCCCAGAACUGGGCCAAUUUUAUUUUUUUUGCCCCAGCCUAAAUCCCUUAACCCUUUCAGAGGCCCAAAUAAAACGCCCCAACCCAGUCCAAACCCCUUUUCCCCUUAGAGACGCGCAUAUAGCGUGACCCCUUCCCCCUUGCCUUCUUCUUUUUGGGGGAGAGAAAAACGAGAUUAAAAAAUAGACCCCGGGGAUAUACAAAAUCUGAGGGGAGUGGCCUUCCCUUUCCUUCAUUUCUCUCCAAAACCUCUACACGGUUAACGAUGAUGCUAGCCGCUCUCCCUCUCUCUCGUUCAUCUACAAACACACACGAAAAGGGAAAGAAAACACACUUGAAUUCUGAACUUUCAGAUCUGGAAAAAGUUGAAAAAAAGGAUUUAAAGCUAUUUGAGUCUCAUACAAUUGCCGCCUAUUUCGGGGCCUUUGCAAGCUGUUUUGAGUUGAAGAAGUUGAUCGAUUUCUGUUGUUCUUCCUUCUCAUGUUGAUUGUUGUUAUUCUGUGGUUUUCGCCAAAUUCAUGGCCUAGCUCCAGUAUUCAUUUUUGUUCGUUUUGGUCCGGGAGUGAGGUAAACACAUAAAACUCUUGAUUUAUUUGAGUUUUCUUCAAUAAAAUGAGUUUGUGAUCUAUUUGGGAUCCGUAUGAUAUUUGUUUUUGCUCAGAUUUUUGUAUUAAAACUGUCUCCUUAGUACUGAAUCGGAUUAUUCCUUGGAGCUACAACUCACAAGUUUUAAUUUGAGCUUUUAAAAUUCACUGUAUGUUGAUUUGAUUAACAGUUGAACUGUUUCUCUACAUUAUUCGGUUUGUGUGAUAAUCUCCCUGAUUUGGUUUAGUUUAGUUUAUAUCCUGUCAAAGUUUUCCGGUUAGAAAUUAUGUCAAAUUUUGAAGUUACCGGAAAUGAUAGUUAAUGUGAAAAGGUUCGACACUAGCGUGCUUCAGUUCUUAAUUUCUACUCCAUUCUGUGAUUCAUGUUAUGAAUGGUUGCAACAUCUCUGCCAUACUUAUCUUAUCAAAUAAAUUGUAGACAUAGAAACUCUAGAAUUGGAGUAGAACCAUACAGAUGUGCACACUAAACACCAGGUAUUAACAGGACAAGGGUGACGUGAACAAAUCUGAUAUUCUUUGGAUAAAAGAUGGAAGAGGAAACAAGCGAAUUCAAUUGUAAAAUCUGAUUAGUGUGUAAUUUGAUUUUGCCGAUGCAACGGAAAGGGCUGUUAGUAUAACAUCUGGAGAGACAAAGGCACACUCUUCUAGUUCUAUGCUCUAUGCGAGUGUUAACAUGAUUAUGUACCUGUAUGUGUGUGCUUGUUCAGUUGGUAUUCUUUUUCACUUGUGUUGGACCGAUCUAUUGGAUAUAAUUAGCUUUAGCUCUAUUUCUUUUUUGUUGUAGAUAUUAUUUACUUAUGAGUUUAUAUCUCCCUUUUAGUUUCUAAAAUUCUAAUUGUUUGACAGAAUCUAUAGCUUGAAAUGCACACAUGCACUGUGUUAUGUAGUAAGCUGGGUAUUUAGGCACAAUAUGAAAUUCAAUGUGAAUAUUGCUAGGGAGAAGUGUUCAUUUCUCUUCAGUUUCUUGCUUACGAGUAAUGACAACUGUUAGUGUAGGGUGGUCUGUUUAAAUUGAGAAGCUAUACAAUGCUGUCCAAUAAUCUGGUAUCCAUACCUCGUUCCAUAAUUCAUGGCCUCUUUGUGAUCUUUAAUUAGCUUUAGAAAAAUUGUUAUGAACAGUCGUAGUUUGCUUUAGUUGAGUACAAUCCUUUGAAAUUAGAAUCUAGGUGUGCCAUUAGUUGAAUUUUCUAUGGCCCUCACAAACUUGGAAGUGAAUAGUUGCUUUUGGCGUGCUGUUUAAAAAUUACCUUCUUAAAUUCGGGUCACCAUUUUAUGCGACUCAAAUCCAAAUCCCAAAAGAUUGAAUAAAAUGUGUUUAGGAUUGCGGGUGCAUUUUAUGUGACGUAAUCCAAAGACAUGUCUUAAACGACAUUCACUUUCUCUUAAAAAUACAUAUUGAAUAAAAGCGAUUAAAAGUAAAACUGGAACAUAGGUUCAUCAUGUAAUAAAAUCAGAUAAAUAAGUUAAAUACGACAGUUGAGAGAUUGUGCUAGAACCACGGAACCCGGGAAUGCCUAACACCUUCUCCCGGGUUAACAGAAUUCCUUAUCCGGAUUUCUGUUUUGCGGAUCAUUAACAACGUCAUAUUUUUUCUCGGUUCGGGAUUCAACCGAUGACUUGGGAAACCAUUAAUCUCCCAAGUGGAGACUAUGAAUAGAUAACAACAAAUCCCAUUUCGAUUGUCCUUUAAUUGGAAAAACUCAUUUACGCCCUUACGGGAUGUAAUGAAAAAGGAGGUGUCACAAACAGAGCUUAAUUUCUCAAAACAAUCGGUCAGGUCUUUACAUCCUCCCCCUCUUAAAACCAAUGUUCGUCCUCGAACGUGCUAAGAUUUACCUCAAAGUCCUCAAGUCAUUGAGUGCACAUUUCCAAAUAUACACCCGUGGGUGAUCCCACGUCAUCCCAAUCCACUUAAACAUGAAGACACCAUCGCAACUGAAAUUUAGCCUCUCUAGUAAUACCAAUAAACCUUCAAGCCAAAAAAUUUCACCUUCCAUCCAUUUCCAAAAGACCUGAUUCUAAAUCCAUAACCGGUAUCAGUCUCAACCUGCUAAUUAAAUACAAGCGAACACAUAUAGGGUACAUCCACACAACAUGACACACUACACAUAGGCUCACAAUAACAUUUCUGGUAGCAAUACUUGCCUGAGAUCAAAUCUGUACCGGCUAUAAAGCCUCAUAUUCAAUAGGAACUCUUUUCAAACCUCCACAACACUGGCGAUGAUACAAUAACCAUAGGCUCACAAUAACAUUUCUGGUAGCAAUACUUGCCUGAGAUCAAAUCUGUACCGGCUAUAAAGCCUCAUAUUCAAUAGGAACUCUUUUCAAACCUCCACAACACUGGCGAUGAUACAAUAACCACGAAAAUGACAUGACAAAACACCCGAUUAACCAAAUCUCAGCCAACACCAACGGGUACACACCCCACAACUAGAACUCAAGAAGCAUAGAAUGAAAAUGAAUGAAUAUGGGGAAGGAAAACACACAAGGGAACUAACAAACAAAUUAAAAUAGCGUAAUUUCUUGUAAAACACAAAUCUACAAGACAUCUAAUAAGAAAGAAUGAAAGCAUAUAAAGGACUUACAAGGAUCUUAUACUGAUAUAACUCUCACCGCGGUACACAGCCUGGUCUCAACAUAUCAAAUCACCUAAAAAAUCACGAGGGUCCCGCCCUCAACACUAGAUCACAAGUAGGGUACACAUCAACCCAUUUAGUGACUCUCACUAGAUCAAUUCUGUUUACAUAUUGCAACAAAAACUGGCUCCCACAACGGCGGAACCUAGAAAUCACAGCUCGUAACUAAGAAUACUCAGAGAUCACAUCAAACCUACCGAAACAGACAAUACGAAUUUACUACUAGCCUUGUACUCUCGACAAUGUCUAGGAACAGACGAUAGACACGGCUAUCACUCAUAAAUCCUCCUAACAUGAUAAUCAUAUAGACAUAAUACAAAUCAAGAAGCGCUCCCAUAAAUGGAACAAUAACAAGGAAACUCAUCCCGAUAAGUAGAACUGUGAUGAACUAGAUAUAUUGCCCUCUAUAACGAACUGAACUCGCACCUGAAUGACAUUAGCUGGCGUGCCGGCCUCAAACCUACUAUAUGAAACACAUCAAUGAGUCGGGCCUCCCCCUCUUAGGCACCCUCUGCCUGCCUGAAUAUCUCGUUGUGAAACAUCGGUCCGAAGUCUAGGACAAUCUCUCCCCAUGUGGCUAGUAUCCCUACAUUCAAAGCACACUCUCUGCUGAUGACACAGUGGGAAUUGUACGGUACGGGUACUCCUAGACCCCUGAACACCUGAAUCACCAUGUAUAGCCUGAAACGUGAACUGAAUUAUAUGACCCAUAAAACUCCUACCAUGACGUACCCUACCUCCAAAACAAGGACGAGUAUACCUCACCGGUCUACUCGCCUCCUCAAGUAUCUCUCCUAAUCUCGUCUACUCUUUCUCUCAUGGUCUUGACUGCCCUCUCUCUGGCAUACCUACACUUUAUCCUCCUAGCAAUGUUCACCACUCGCUGAUAUGAAAUAUCCAUUUCUAACUCACGGGCCAUACCGAACCUGAUGCCAUGAUUUAGCCCCUUAAUGAACCGGUGAACCUACUCGCGAACAGUAGAAACCAAGGCUGAGGCAUGUCUAUCCAAACUGGUGUAUCAGACAACAUACUCCGAGACGGUCAUAGCACCCUGACGUAAAUGCUCAAACUCUGCGUGCCAUGCAUCCCUAAGGCUGUGAAAAACAAACUCUCGCAUGAGCAUAUUUGAAAACUGGGCCCAAGUCAGUGAAGCUGCCUCGUCUGGGCUGUCUAACUAAUAGGUGCGCCACCAGUACUAGGCGGCUUCUCGAAGUUGGAAAGUAGUGAAAAAGGAAGCCCGCUCGAUCCAACAUACCCAUAGUACGAAGAAUGUGAUAACACUCAUAAGGAAAUUCCAGGGCAUCCGUUGAUGCUAAACUACUAAACUCAGGAGGCUUAAAACUCUUAAAUCUCUCAAGUCUCAUCUGCUCCUGCUCGGAAGCCGCUGCCAUGCCCUCGAGCUGAACUGGUGCUGCAGGCAACAUAGGAAUAAUCUCAGGGACCUUCUUUAUAUAUGCUUGCUGCUUAGGAGUGCGGGCGAUGGGAGUCUGUGUUCCUUCCCCGGCUUAGGGUGUAGCUGUAGUAAGUGGAAGUAGUCGUGCCUGAGCCAAAAUGGGGUACGUACUCAUGAACUGUGCCAAAGUCUCCUGAAGGGCUAGAGUAGUAGUAGCUGUAGGCGUGUUAGAUGCUCAGACUCCGGCUGGAUCUGCUGGUGGUACCUCGGUGGCUAUUUUUGCAGGUGCUCUUGCUGCACCAUGUGUGCGUCUUCGAACUCUAGCCCGGCCCUGACCUCCGACGCCUGCAGCAAGGGGCGCGGGUGCCUGAUCACCAUGGGCAGUACGUGUCCUCACCAUCGGUGAGAGAGUGGAAGGCAGAGGUUUAUGAUUGUGGAUGCCAAAAUCUCGCACGACAGGGAAAUCAAAUGAAGUGGAAUUUUUGCUAACAGUUACAUAGCCUCUCGCAGACAAGUACAGAUGUCUCCAUACCGAUCCACGAGACUCUAUUAAAGCGGCUCGUGAUUUGUAACUUCUAUGAGCCUAGAGCUCUGAUAGCAACUUGUCACGAUCCCAGUUUGCCCUCCGUGAACAUGUCGUGACGACACCUAGUCCCUACGAAUAGGUAAGCCUAACUAUGCGGAAUAUACACCAAUUUGCGGAAGAUAAUAAUAAAACUGAAUUAAUGUAAUAAAUCAGUGUUCAAGGUGUCGCCUGGCACAUCCAAUAAGAACUCUCAUAGCUAAUCAAAGUUCCCAAAAUCCGGAAUCUCACAAAUCACAAGCUAAGGGUGACAUAAGAGGCUCUGACUCAAGAAUAUCUAUACAAGGAGAAAUACUGGUAGAACAAUACUUAUUACAGAAAACUGAAAAGGGACUCCUUGAUCUAUGAAAGCAGUAGAUAUAUCUCGACGUCUCAUCGAUACGCCACCAUCCAAAGCUGACAUAACUGAAUGGGGGUACAUGUAUUUGCACAACAAAAGUGUGCAGAAGAGUAGCAUGAGCACACCAUAGAGGUGCCCAGUAAGUAUCAAGACUAACAUCGGUGGAGUAGUGACGAGGAACAGUCAAGAUACCUACCGGUCAAUAAACAGUAUAAUCAUAGGGAUAAUGGAAACGAUAUAUAAUUAUGUAUAGACUGCAUGAAUGACUAAAUGCUAUAACUCACAAUGAAGGAAAAGAGCAAAAAGUAACAACGAGAAUAUAAUAAAUGAUGAUGCGAAAUGACUGCCGAAUCAUAAUCCAAAUCCUAAGGUCACAACACAGCAAGGACAAACAAGUCACUUUAAUUGGUUAAUUUUUUGGGUGACGAGGAACAGUCAAGAUACCUACCGGUCAAUAAACAGUAUAAUCAUAGGAAUAAUGGAGACGAUAUAUAAUUAUGUAAAGACGGCAUGAACGACUAAAAAUUCUAUGAUUCAAAAUACCUAAAAAGGCAACCAGUAACAAUGAGAAAAUAACAAACGAUGAUACAAAUGACGGCAAAAUCCAAAUCUGAAUCCUAUGGUUACAGCACAACAAGGACAAACAAGUGACUAACUCAUUAUUUUGUAAUGAUGCUUACAUAAGGUCUUUUUAUCUCUUUCCACAAUUUUACCAAAAAUCACAUACCAGCCACAACUCAUGAAAACCCAGCAUCUGGAGUGCAACACUUGGCAUCUUGUGCCCCAUCAAUCUCACGGUCAUGUUGACAACUAACUAGUCAACUAGGGCCACUCUCACAUAUUUAAUGGGUAAAUGAUGGCGUAUCUCCAUCGCCAGCUAAUUAGGAAGAAUUCAUCUCUAAUAGGAGUGCCCAAACUACGUGUAUGCUUGUGCAAGUGUAUUUUGACAAUAAUUCUACCAACUAGUAAGUAUAAGAAAUAGAAUGACCAGCACCUGAAUUAUUCACACCCGGAUAAAAUUAAUGAAAAUAUCAGUUCAGAACACAAUGAGUUUAACGGGGGUCUCCCUGGAUAUCGUCCUAUAGUCUAAAACAUAGAUAUGUGUGUUAGGGAUCUCUUGGUAUCUGAAGGUCUCUUGGUAUCCUCAAUAGAUGUACUAGGGAUCUCUUGGUAUCCCGAGGGUCUCUUGGUAUCCUCAAUAUAUGUGAUGGGGAUCUCUUGGUAUCCCGAGGAUCUCCUGGUAUCCUCAAUAUACAUACUAGGGAUCUCUUGGUAUCCCGAGGAUCUCUUGGUAUUCUUAAUAGAUGUACUGGGGAUCUUUUGGUAUCCCAGGGAUCUCCUGGUAUCCUCAAUAUAUAUACUAGGGAUCUCUUGGUACCCUGAGGAACUCUUGGUAUCCUCAAUAGAUAUACUGGGGAUCUCUUGGUAUCCUCAUGUACUGGAGAUCUCUUGGUAUCCUGCACUACAACACAAUCAACAUAGAUGUACAUCCCAAACAAUAGAAUAGCAAUAUCCCAGCAAGGGAGUCAAUAAAAAAAAUAAUGUCCCAGUAAGGGAAUCAACAACAAAAACAAUAAUGUCCUGGCAAUGAAAUCAACAACAAAAACAGUAACAUCCCGCAAGGGAAUCAACAAUAGAAACAAUAACGUCCCUGUUGAUACCCAAUUUUUCUCUAUGUAUUUUCAUACUCAGAAUACUUUCAAAAUAACAUGUAUAUGCAUAUAUAAACAUCCCCAAAGGUUUUGGUAUUUUUUCAAAAAUUUUAAAGAUUUUUAAAACCAAUUUAUGGCAUAUUUUGCACUAUAAAAUCCAAUAGUUAUUCCCAAACUUGUCAUAUUGGUGAAUAAUUUAUUUUAUUCUGACACCCACACAAAACUAUAAUUUACACAAAUUUUAUAUAAUUUUACAAGUCCAUUUUGUAUUUUAAACUAAAAUUGCAUGAAAUUGCAAUUUUAGCCUAUUUCUCGAUUCAAUGGCAAUUUCUAUAACAAAAUCAUUCCCAAUAUUUUUCAAUUAAUACUUACAUAUUUUUAUUAAAUCAGUAUUUUUAAUUUGAUUUUUGAACAUCAUUUACUAUCUUUUUAAAUUCAAAAUUGAGAAAAUUCGCUAUUUAAAUUGUAGCCUCUUUACUUUUAAUUAUAGCCCAAAUAACCCAAAUCCCAGCCCAAUUUAUCCCCUAAUUAAAUGACCCAAUCCCAUCAAUUAUCCGACCCAAACCCAAUCAAAUAAACCCAUUUGGCCGGCCUUUUAAUCUAGGCCGUUGAUCACUUGGAUCAACGGCCAUGAUCCUCCCUUUCCUUUUUAAUUCACUAGCCCACCCCUAACCCUAAUUAUUCUAAUCAGACAGCCGCCCUUGUAUUCCCUCGUCUCUCAAAAUUCUCUUAACCACCCUCCGAAACUCUAGCCUCUUUCACCGGUCUUCGACCUUAUUUCACCGGAAACUAUUGCAUCUCAGACUCUGAGCAGCCUGUACCUAUCCCCACGUACCUCUAUGCUCCUUUUGAUCGAGGUUUCAAAGUCCAACUUCGAAGACCCCGGCUCAGAGUCUUUCCGACUCAAGUUCUAUGGCCUUUUCCGGCUUAUUUCCGGCAAGUCCUAGCCCUGUGAGUUCAUCUCUGACUCAGGACUAGCCCGUUCCAGGCCUUUCUCAUUUUGUAGGGUUUUCUCUGAAGCCCUCUCGAGGUUUUCUUUGUUUCUCUCUGAGAUCUACUUCAGAUCCGUGCUAUUUUCUAAGAUUUUAAAGUAUCUUUCACAUCUUUUUGAUUUUUUAUUUUCAAAACUAUUCAUCUUUAUAAAAUUUAGGGUUUCCGUGAUUUUUUUACUUGUUCUACUGCAAUCUCUUGUGUUUUUACUUUGCUAAGUGUUUUCACGGUAGUUUUCUGUGUAUUUUCCUAGGGUUCUAAAGAUUUCUUUUACUGUGUUUACUUUCAUGAACUGUCUGUAUUCUUUGGGUUUUCCUGAGUUUAUUUUGACUGAUCUUCUAUGCUUCGUCUUUGCAUGUAAGCUAUGGGGAAAAACCCUAAAUUUUGGGGGUUCUCAACUAUUUGUGCACGAUUGUUUGAUUAUUGUGCUGCUUCUUGUCUGAUUUCAAAAUCCUAAAUUCGACUCGUGUUUCUGAUUUGCUAAGCUUUGCAAGACCUUUAAUGUCUCGCAUGUUUAUGUUCUUCUAUUUGAUCACAUGACCACACUGUUCGUUUGAUUCUAGCCUCGCAUGUUUAACUUUAUGCACUCUUUAUAAUCAGACCUUCACUCUCAAAAUAACCCUAAUUUUUAUGGAUCGGUUUCAAAUCAUUAUUAUGUAGGCCUGAUUGAUUAUUUCCUUGUCUGAUUUGGACUUGUUUUCUGACUUAAUUCUUUAUUAAGUUCGAAUCUUUGAUUCCUGAUUUACUAUGUGAUUGAUUGAUUUUACCUUUACCUUAUUUAUCUAAUCGUGUAUUUUUUAAAAGAUUCUCCUAUGUAUUUACCCGUUAUUGCACCAUGUAUUAUUAAUUUUCUUUCCUUAAAUACAACUCUGCCCUCUACUAUUCAAAUUUAAAUUCCUUAAUUAAAGGAAUUCCCCUCUUCUAAUUGAUUCUAAUUGGUAUUGAAUUAUAUUUUGCCUUACUUACCACAUGUUUUCAAACUAUAAAUACCCUACUCCUUCUUUUCAAACUCACGAACAACUGAGUUCAAAAAAUACACACACUCAAAGCCCUCUCUUCUUUACUUGUGCUAUUGUCCUGGCUAGCCGGCUGAAAGCCAAGGCUAGACGUUGGAAUCUCUUUUGCUUUCCUCAAGUGUUUGUUGAAGGCUUUCUGGCGGUUUUACUGCUCUAUUUAUUUUUUUAUUUGGAAUUUGCAAAUGUUAGGUCUCUACAAUUUAAAUACUGUUAUCCAAAACUAUGUGUUUACUUCUCCCUUUUACAUGACCUUUCCACUACGUGUUUUCUGGUACUAAAUGACUAUACAUUAGUCUGUCAUGCCUUUCUUCAUGCUUCUGCAUCUUUAUGUGAUGUUAUGCUUGUCCUAUGUUUUCAUGUGAUCCCAUUCCCUUUAACCCCUGUUUUUAUAUGAGUAUUGGUUCUAGGUAGGGGGUAGCACCCUAUUGCUAUCCCCGACCUGGGACCAGGUUCUUUUGAACCUUUACUCAAAACAGUCCUCAUUCCCUUAACCCCCUUUAUGUGUUGAGCGUUGACUAGGGUCUAGUGGUGUCCUAUUCAUCACCCAUGCCUCUAUCUGACUUCUAAAAAGUCUGCUCUUUUAUUUGCUUAAAUCAAGUAAAGGGUUAGGGGUGUGCCAGUCUUACCCAUGGCUUGGUAUGACCACCCUUUACUUUGGUUUCCUUGUUAUGAUAUGUUUGUCCUAUUCCCCUUUUUGAUGUUUAUGCUUUCAUGUGAUCCCAUUCCUUUUAACCCCUAUUUAUAUAUGAGUAUUGGUUCUAGACUGGGGGUAGCACCCUAUUGCUAUCCCCGACCUGGUACCGGGUUCUUUUUAACCUUUACUCAAAUCAGUCCCCAUUCCCUUAACCCCCUUUAUAUGUUGAGCCUUGACUAGGGUCUGGUGGUGUCCUAAUCAUCACCCAGGCCUCUGUCUGACUUCUAAAAGUCUUCUCUUUUAUUUGCUUAAAUCAUGUAAAGGGUCAGGGGUGUGCCAGUCUUACCCAUGACUGGGUAUGACCAUCCUUUGCUUUGGUUUCCUAUAAUCCCCUCACUCUACACUCAUUCUUAGUUUAUUAAGUUCUGCCCCCUAUGGUAAGCCAUGCUGAGGGACCCUAUAGUUCCCUCUGAACUUGGAUGCCUAAGGGCUGGUAAUUCCACACAUUGCACUACUUUGUUACCACAUUCAAUCUUUAGGGCGUAAGCAUUGCUUGGGCUUCCUGAAAGCCCUUGGAACUUUGAAACACUUGAAGGCCUUAGAAUCUCGAAUUCGGAUCUGGUGAAACACAUGUUAUUGGGUAUUAAGAUUGAAUUAGUCUUCUCGGAUCUAGGUGUAGGCUGUAAUGUAUUUUGUUUAUUUUUCUUUUGGUUCUGUAACAAUCUUGUAAAAGAAUUUUGGUAAAUGUUAGUAAAAGGUAUGGGAUGGAUUUAUAUUACUUGCAUAAGUCAAUAGGUAGAAAUCAUGCUUAUAGGAAUAUUUCAAAUCAUUCAAAAGUCAUGCCUAUAGGACUCUAAUAUUGCAAAUUAUUUAGAAAUCACGUCUAUAAGGCUCUAAUAUUGCAAAUCAUUUAGAAAUCAUGCCUAUAUGACUCUAAUAUGGCAGAUCAUCUAGAAAUCAUGCCUAUUGCACUUUAAUAUUGCAUACCAUUUAGAAAUCAUGGCUAUAGGACUUUGCAUUGUAAGCACGAUAGAGGUCAUGCCCAUAGGAAACACAUAAAAGGCUAGGCAAACAGUAGGUUCCCUAAUGUUCUAAAAAGCAGUAACGAGUCAUAAGAAAAGACAUCAUGCCUAUAGGAAUUCAAACGCGCCUAAUAUGAGUGAUAAUCUGUCAGUUAGCCUCAAACGCUUUCAACAAAAAAUUUGUCCAAACAUGUCUGCUUUUGAAACCUGUCCAAGUCCGUCUGUUUGAACAUUUCUAUAAUGUCCUUAAAACCCCAACUUACAUCUUUAUUCUGAAACCAACCCCCUUAGUUUUCUGUCUAAAUUUUUACUUAAGCGCUUUGCAAAUAACGCCUCUUUACAACUUUACUUAAGCAGUUCGGCUAAUUUGCAAGCCAUCUCUAAACUUCUGCAAAUUUCAAUUUUCUGUUUCAAAACUCUUCUGUACAGGCUCUUGUCUAAAAUUAGUGCAUUCUGAAUCACUUGUUUUAAUAAUACCUUAAGUUCUGACAAUUGGAUCCAGGUUGCCUAAUGCGGACUUGUUGUCCAACUCUAUAUCUUAAGGUGAUUCGUCCGCCUCUUAACUGCUUAAUUUUAAAGACCAAACCAGUACGUGUAAGUCAUGCUAAACUAAUUAUUGUCUGAUCUACGGGGUCAUGUAUGAGCAUUUGAGUGUUUUAUUUGUAUACCAGUAUUUGUUAUUUGUUUUGAUUGACGUCUUAGUAUUUUGUCCUUUCAAACUCCAUAUAUGCCCCAUCCCUUUCUCCCAUCUAGGAUUAGAAGUAUAAAUACCCCAGGACUGAUAGGUUGGGACGGGUAUUAGCAUGCAAUAGGUAAACGAGACUAAUCGCGCUUAAAUACAUUAAUGGAGUGGGAAGGGUUGAAUAUGUGAUGAUGGUGCGCUAAUAUCUCGUGUGAGAAUGAUUGCUGGGUAUUGCACCGAAUGAUCUAUAUUCUAGUUAAACCUAGGACCAUCUCUCUUUAUUUAAAUGUUUUCUUCUAACUGAAACUCUCUUUUGCUUGUGCCAUUCUUCUUUCAAAAAUUGUCGACUUGCUUGUACUUCUAAUGUGAAAACUUUGCUUGUCUACUCCUACUCUUCUUAUAGUCACAACUAAGCAAGGCCGGGAAACACAUUAGUAGAUCUUGAGGGGUGCCUAACACCUUACCCUCGAGAUAAUCUCAAGCCCUUACCCAAACUUUGAUUUUCUUUCAAAUCCUUCUUCUUUUCUCUAAAAGUGUCCUAAUGCACUAUAAUCAUUAAGUGGAGACUCUUCAAAUUCCAUAGCAAAAUUCCCCCAAAAGGGGAUAAAAGAGUCAUUACACCCAUAAUAUCGUAAACUCGAUUUCUCUCUCCCUGGGAGGAAAAAGGGGGCGUCGAAAGCAUGGCGAUUCUGUUGGGGAUUUUCUUUAGGCUUUUACCAUUACAUACUACUUGUGACUUUAUUGUCUCUUUAAUUGCAUUUACUUACCGUCUUUAUUUCCUCUACUACGAAACUGACUUGGCUCUUCAUGUUUUCUUUUCCAUUAAAUUUCCGCUUUUACUACCUUAUUAUUUCAAUUCUGUUGUAAUUUUCGAGCAUUUAUUAUAAUCUUUAUUUUUAUGAACGUGAAAAUACAUGCAACUUGCUUCAUUAUUGUAACUGCAUUUCUCCUUUAGUUCUUUAUUAUUUUAAUACUGUUGUAAUUUCUAGCAUUUAUUGUAAUCAUUUAUCUUAUGUACGUUAAAAUACAUGUCAAUUUGUUUCAUUCUUGUAAUUUCAUUUUCGACAUCAUACCCCACUCGUGCCAAAACAAAUACUAUAAAAAUGUUUACAAUAAGUGGUUGCACACUUCCAAUACUAUUACAACCUAAAUUUGGCAAAGGCAUAUUUGCGGUAAAACCAAACGAUCAACGGUGUAGUCGACUGUUUCGCGCCUUUCCCUCUUGAGUUAUCCGCUCAAGGGUACCUUGUCUCGCACUUCAAAGUAGAAACCUUAUUCCAUUAAAGUGUUCAUGCAUCAUGGUCAAGCCUAGCCGAGUCAGUUAUGUUGUCCGCAUAAUGACUCAUUAAGAUAGCCUAAACCAAAUUCCACCGGGUUUCCUCAAAGCCCAAACGGACGCCUCCACGUAUGCAUUUAUUUGGAGAACUAAAUGCCUUUUGCUAAUUAUUGAUUUAAACGGUCGAGUCUGGUGGGGUUAAGGGCCUAACACUUUGUUUUGCAAAAAAUGAGGCACGAAGUCCCCAGAUUCGGUAUGGUAUCCAACAUUCACCCGAGGUUGCUAAGUUGGUGGGAAGAUUUUCAUGCUAGCGAUUAUAUGCUAUUAGGAAUGCGCGAGCUGAUGCAGGUGUAUGAGGGAGGCAAUAGUACCGAAUCUGGGGAAGGUCCUUAUGGGACCAAGUAUUUAGGAUUUUUACUUUCUAGCUUUCUUAAUGUAAUAAGGCCACUGGCCAUUAGUGAUGUCUUUAUCAUUUAGUUGUUUUUAGACUCCUUUUGUUUUUAACAAUAAAAUGAGGCAUUUACUAUUAUAAGUUCUCCAAAUUUAACUUGUCGCUAGGCCUACCUCGGGCACAAUGAGGCACCCAAAUUAGGAAGCGAUUUAUAUNNNNNNNNNNNNNNNNNNNNNNNNNNNNNNNNNNNNNNNGAGCUUAAGAAGCCAACAGUUACUCUCAAUUUUAUAUUCUCGAACAAUGUGUUUAAAUAUUGCAAUAUUAUUUAUCACAAUCCGCACUAACUUUUUACCUUUUUGUUUUUCUUUUAUUUUUACUCCCCUCCCCAAAGGUUAGUUCGUCCAUUCUCGCACCAUCAGCGUAGUCCACAAGAUCCAAAGGUCCUCCACCUCAUCCUCCAAGUCCUACCAAAAACAGGAACAAAGGCAAAAUGGGAGAUACAAGCGCUAGAAAGGAACUUGAAGAAACUUCUCAGAAUGCUGCAAUCACCAAAGAGACUGCUGCUCAUCUGGAGCAAACUUUGUUAAGAUUCAGAGAGGAAUUGGACCAAGUUAGAAACUUGGCAAGCAUGUCAAUAACCCUUGCCGCUCGCGAUGUUAACACUCAGAACCCAGCACCACCACAAAACAUCCCACAACCUCCAAUGCAACCCACUCAUAACACUCCACUGCACAUCCCUGAACCACGAAACACCACAAAAGACCAUAACACCCCAAUAUUUUUGGACACUAUGUUGCAUUACAGUCAGUCAAUCACCAGUGCAGUCGAGUCAGAUGACAAGAGCUCCCUCAUUCAGAAUUUGGGUGCUGAGAUCAAGAAGUUGACUAGCCGAGUCCAAGGUUUCGAAGGUAUCAAAGGUGUUGAAGGGUUGAAUUGCAAAGAUCUCUGUGUUUAGCCAGAUGUUGAGCACCCGGAGGGGUACAAACCUCCCAAGUUCGAAAUGUUCGAUAGCAUAGGUGACUCCAGGGUCCACUUGAGAAUGUAUAGUGACAAGUUAGUAGGAGUCGGAGGGGACGAGAAGAUCCGCAUGAAGCUGUUCAUGAGGAGUUUGAAGGGUGAUGCUUUAUCUUGGUAUAUUAGCCAGGAUGUGAAGAAAUGGACUAGUUUGGUGAACAUAGCAUCUAACUUUAUGGAUCGGUUCAGGUUCAACACUGAGAACGCACUAGAUAUGUUCUAUAUCCAGAAUCUCAAGAAGAAGCCCAUAGAGACCUUUCACGAGUAUGCUACUCGUUGGAGGUCAGAAGCUGCUAAGGUUAGACCGGCCUAGGAGGAAGAACAAAUGAACAGGUUCUUCGUCCGUGAUCAGGAUCCGCAGUACUACGAGAGGCUGAUGCUAAUAGAGGGCCAAAAGUUCUCCGAUAUCAUCAAGUUAGGAGAAAGGAUUUAAGAAGGCAUCAAAAAUGGUAUGGUCACUGACCUCGAGACAUUGCAAGCUACCAACAAGGCUUUACAGUCUGGUGGCUCAUCGAAGAAAAAGGAUGUGAAUUCUGUAAUGGCUGCGCAAAGGAAGAACUCCCAUAUGAAGUACCAAACCUAUCCCUUUAGCUCCACUCUCAUAUCAACCUACCCUAAGCUACCAAGCACCAUUACCCGCUUACCAAAUUCCACCACCUGCAUACCAAUCACCUCCACCACCCACAUAUCAGCCCACCUCACAUAGAUAUUCCCAACCCGCACCUGUAUACCAAGCAUAUAACUCCCAACCUUCUCACUACACAUCACCUCUCACCCGCCAGGACUUCCCUCGACCUAGACCAAACUUCGACCACAAACCUAACCACUAUAAUUGAGCUAAUUGAACAAUUAUAUGAAAAACUCAAAGCAGCUGGUUACGUUACCCCUAUCCAAGCCGUAACUCCAGAAAACCCUUCCUAGUGGAUCAACCUAAACAAGACUUGCACAUACCAUUUUGGGAUGAAAGGCCAUACCAUCGACGAGUGUCGCUCGUUGAAAGACAAGAUUCAAAAUCUGAUNNNNNNNNNNNNNNNNNNNNNNNNNNNNNNNNNNNNNNNNNNNNNNNNNNNNNNNNNNNNNNNNNNNNNNNNNNNNNNNNNNNNNNNNNNNNNNNNNNNNNNNNNNNNNNNNNNNNNNNNNNNNNNNNNNNNNNNNNNNNNNNNNNNNNNNNNNNNUCCGCUCCUAAUGUCCACAACAACCCUCUGCCUGACCACAAGAGUGGAGGCAUCCACAUGAUCCAGAUCGAAGAUGAUUGGGACCCCAAGGGGUCAAUCUGUUUGAUAGCUGAAGGAGACGAGCUUAAGAAGCCAACAGUUACUCUCAAUCCUAUUGUUGUCCAGAUUCAGCCCCCUGAGGGAGAUGUGGUAAAUGUGUCCGUACCACUUGAGUUUGAAGCACCUUCUGCAAAAGCGCCAAAACCAAUUGAGGUUGAGUUCGAGGUUCCAAAGGCGCCUACAGCGUUUGAAGUUACUUUGUUACCUUGGCACCAAUUUCAGUCUCCAUGAUAAACGUAACCCCGUUUAAGACAAACGCUAUACCUUGGGAUUACACUGCUGAGGCUAGAAGGAAGGGAAAGACAUAUACUAGGGAAGCAAUUUCCACACAGAGCAUGACCAGGACAGGUAGGGUGUACACCCCGAAACACUUGGCUGAGUCCAGCAAGCAGGCCUCCGGGCAGGCUGUUGAAACUGGACCCAAUGAUAUUUGGAGGAAGGUACAGGACAAAGAGUACUCAAUCCUCGAGCAACUGAACACAACGCCAGCACAGAUUUCUAUUCUGGCUCUUCUGCAAAGCUCUAAGGCACAUAAAAAUGCCUUAAUGAAAAUAUUGAGUGAAGCUUAUGUUCCCAGCNNNNNNNNNNNNNNNNNNNNNNNNNNNNNNNNNNNNNNNNNNNNNNNNNNNNNNNNNNNNNNNNNNNNNNNNNAAUAUUGAGUGAAGCUUAUGUUCCCAGCAACAUAACAGGAGGCGAAAUGGCCAAUAUGGUGGGGCAGGUACUGGAAAGCCAUAAGAUCACCUUCUACGAGGACGAAUUAUCACCAGAAGAACUUGGUCACAACAAGGCGUUGCACAUCACUGCGCAAUGCGAGGAUUAUUUUAUCACCAGGAUUUUAGUCGACGGGGGAUCCAGCCUCAACAUUUGUCUAUUAAUAACUCUCAGGACAUUAGAAAAAGGACUGCAUGAGAUCAAAUACGAAGCUAUUGGUGUCAAAGCUUUUGAUGGAUCUCAGAGAUCCACUAUUGGAGAAAUUAGCCUAUGCCUAUAGAUGGGACCCACCUGGUUUGAUGUUGAGUUCCAAGUCAUUGACGUACCAGCAUCCUAUAAUUUGUUGCUUGGACAACCUUGGAUCCACGCUGUUGGGGCUGUGGCUUCAACUUUGCAUCGGACUGUAAAAUUUGAAUGGAAUCAUCAGGAAGUAAUCAUCCAUGGAGACGGUAGAAACCCUAUAUAUAGCCGCCAGGCCAUACCGACGAUCGGAGGUAGAAGGAAAAUCGGUGGAGAAACAUACCAUCACAUCGAGCGAGUCAACGCCAUAGACAAAGACAAGUGGUGGGAUAACAAAAUUGAAAGAAUUCUGAAUUGGAGUGGAUACGAGCCCGGAAAGGGCUUGGCAAGAAUAUCCAGGGCAUCACCAAGCCUAUCCAGUUGGAGAAGCAUGGAACUACUUUUGGCCUAGGUUAUGAAUACACUUGGGAGGAGUUCAACGACUGGUCGAAACCAUGGUGCGGUCCCUACUACCCACUGGAGCACCCUCUACCUCAAUUAGAGUAGACUUUUCAGCCACCGGAUGUAAUAUACGGAUCAGAGGUGCGGACCAUACUACCCGCUGGAGCACCCUCUACCUCAGUGGGAGCAGACUUUUCAGCCGGAUGAUGUCAUAUAUGGAUCAGAGGAAGACGAGACACUGGCAGCAAUGAAGCAUCUGUUUCUAGAGGAUAAUAUGGAUUGCUGUGUUAUCUUCGAGGAGGAACGAGAGGAAGGCCCUUCCAUUCAAGCUGUGAACCGAGGAGAACACCUCACCAAUUGGUCAAUAAGGACCACCAGUGCCCGAAGAGCCUCGGGGUGGCAAGGCUAAGUGACGCAUAUGCAUUACACUUUACUUUUAGUUGUUUUUACUUUUCCGUAUUGUCUUUACUUUUGAAAAGAGCUCCAAUGUUUCAGACAAUUAUGACUUUAAUCAAAAUCAUUUUUCAAGCUUAUCUUUGUAUUUCGCUCUCAUUUACUUUCUCUACCAUUUACUUUAUUUUACACAUCAUUACUAUUACAUAUCUUGAUGAUGAACCAACGGGUGUAACUUGCAACGAGACAAUACGACAAACAGACAUAGAUUCAGAAGAGGACGAAAUACUAGAAGAGAUUGUCAGGGAGGUCGAGAAUUUUGAGAACAGGCCUAAGUCUAACUUAGAUGAAACUGAGGUCAUUAGUUUGGGAGAUGCAGAAAAUGUCAAGAAAACACAUAUCAACGUACACUUGUCACCAUCAGAAAAGAAAGAGUAUACAGAGCUUUUAAUAGAAUAUGAGGGUAUAUUUGCCUAUUCGUAUGAUGACAUGACCGGUCUUAGCACAUCCAUUAUGGCUCACAAGCUGCUGACAGAUCCGGCGUUCCCACCGGUCAAACAGAAACUCAAAAAGUUCAAGCCAGAUGUGAGUUUGAAAAUCAAAGAAGAGGUUACCAAGCAGGUCAAAGCCAGGGUGGUAGAGUAUCCAACAUGGUUAUCCAACAUUGUGCCGGUACCAAAGAAGGAUGGGAAGGUUAGAGUCUGUGUCGACUACCGGGAUCGAGGUUACCAAGCAGGUCAAAGCAAGGAUUCUCAGAGUGGUAGAGUAUCUAAGAAAGGAUGGGUAGGUUAGAGUAUGUGUCGACUACCGAGAUCUCAACCGGUCUAGUCCUAAUGAUGAUUUCCCUUUGCCAAAUAUACACAUAUUGAUCGAUAACUGCGCUAAACAUGAGCUGCAGUCAUUCCUUGAUUGUUUUGCUGAAUACCACCAGAUAUGGAUGGAUGAAGAAGAUGUAGAGAAAACGGCAUUCAUCACGCCGUGGGGAAUGUACUGUUACAGAAUGAUGCCGUUUGGUUUAAAGAAUGCCAGUGCUACCUACAUGAGGGCCAUGACCGCUAUCUUUCAUGACAUGAUACAUAAAGAAAUCGAGGUGUAUGUGGACGACGUCAUCAUCAAAUCCAAGAAAGCUGCAGAUCACAUGGGAGAUUUGAGAAAAUUCUUCAACAGACUGAGGAGAUACAACUUGAAACUGAAUCCUGCCAAGUGUGCAUUCUGGGUUCCACUGGAAAAUUAUUGGGUUUCAUUGUGAGACGUUGGGGAAUAAAACUGGACCCAUCAAAGGUCAAAGCCAUUCAAGAGUUGCCACCACCAAAGAGCAAGAAGGACGUGAUGAGUCUUCUGGGGAGACUCAACUAUAUCAGCCGAUUCAUAGCCAGUCCACUGUCAUUUGUGAACCCAUCUUCAAGAUGCUAAAGAAGGAUGCCGCCACUAAACGGACUGAGGACUGACAAAACGCUUGUGAUAGAAUAAAGGAAUACUUGUCCACUCCGCCGGUCUUGGUUCCACCCGAGCCAGGGAGACCUCUAUUGCUUUAUCUUGCAGUAUUGGAUGGGGCAUUUGGUUGUGUUUUGGGAUAACAUGAUGAAACAGGAAAAUGAAGCAAGCCAUCUACCACCUCAGCAAGAAGUUUACCCCGUACGAGGCUCGGUAUUCCUUAUUAGAGCGCACUUGCUGUGCUCUAACUUGGGCAGCGCAGAAAUUGAGGCACUAUUUUUGUGCUUACACCACUUAUAUCAUAUCCAGGAUGGAUCCAUUGAAGUAUAUCUUCAGAAGCCCAUGCCUACCAACAAGUUCGCCAAGUGGCAAGUACUGUUAAGAGAAUUUGAUGUUACCUAGAAGGAAGUCAAAUGACAAGCCUUGGCAGGUCACCUCGCCGAGAAUCUUGUAGGAGGAGAAUACGAACCUCAGAAGAUGUAUUUUCCUGAUGAAGAGAUAGCCUUCAUAGGAGAAGACAUUGCAGAACCCUAUGACGGUUGGAGGAUGUUUUUCGACAGAGCCGCAAAUUUCAAAGGGGUUGGUAUAGGAGCGGUCUUGGUAUCAGAAAUCGGUCAGCAUUACCCAGUAUCUGCCAAGCUCAGAUUCCCGUACACCAACAACAUGGACGAGUACAAAUCCUGCAUCCUAGGGCUCAAGCUGGCAAUUGACAUGAACAUUCAGGAACUAUUAGUGAUCGGAAACUUGGACCUACUCAUACAACUGGUUCGAGAAGAAUGGGCAACCAAUAACUCCAAAAUACUCCCCUAUUUGCAUCAUGUACAGGAGUUGAGGAAAAGAUUCAGAAAGGCAAAAUUUCAGCAUGUUCCCAGAAUACAGAAUGAGUUCGCCGAUGCCUUAGCCACUUUAUCGUCUAUGAUCCAGCAUCCUGAUACAAACUUUAUUGACCCCAUCCAGGUCAAGAUUCACGACCAGCCAGCUUAUUAUGCUCACGUCGAGGAAGAAGGCGACGGGAAACCUUGGUUCCACGAUAUGAGAAAAUACCUGACAACAGGAGAGUAUCCAGAGCUUGCCAAUGCUACUCAGAAACAAACACUUCGGAGAUUGUCCAACAACUUCUUUCACAACGGAGGAAUCCUAUAUAGAAGGACUCCUGAUUUGGGAUUCUUAAAAUGUGUCGAGGCAAGAGAAGCGACCAGACUAUUGCGGGAAGUGCACGCGGGAACCUGCGGACCACAUAUGAAUGGUUUUGUGUUGGCGAAGAAGAUUCUUCAAGCAGGAUAAUUUUGGAUGACUAUGGAAACGAACUGCAUCCAGUAUGUCCGAAAAUGCCACCGUUGUCAAAUACAUGCAGAUAUGAUAAAGGUACCUCCAAAUGAGCUUACUGCAACAAGCGCGCCAUGGCUAUUCGUCGCUUGGGGAAUGGAUGUCAUUGGACCAAUUGAACCAGCUGCGUUAAAUGGGCACAUGUUCAUCCUAGUGGCAAUUGAUUACUUCACCAAAUGGGUUGAGGCAGCAUCAUACAAGGCAGUCACCAAGAAGGUAGUAAUAGAUUUCGUCCGUGAUCGUAUGGUCUACCAGUUCGGGGUUCCGGAAUCAAUCAUCACCGACAAUGGUUCUAAUCUCAGUAGCGACGUGAUGAAGGCAAUGUGUGAAAAAUUCAAGAUUAAACACAAGAACUCUACGACUUACGGACCUCAGAUGAAUGGAGUUGUAGAAGCAGCCAAUAAGAACAUCAAGAAGAUACUAAGGAAGAUGAUCGAAAAUCACAAGCAGCGGCAUGUGAAGUUGUCGUUCACCUUAUUGGGAUAUCGUACCACUAUUCAAACAUCAACUAGAGCCACUCCCUACAUGGUGGUUCAUGUUACAGAGGCAAUCAUCCCCGUGGAGGUAGAAACUCCUUCCCUGAGGGUCAUACAAGAAGUAGAGUUAGAGGAUGCAGAAUGGGUCAAGAGUCGCUACGAGCAGUUAGCCCUCAUAGACGGGAAGAGAAUGAAUGCCGUCUGUCAUGGUCAAUUAUAUCUGAAUAGAAUGUCCAGAGCCUUCAACAAGAGAGUCAAGCCAAGGAAGUUCACGCCAGGACAGUUGCUAUUAAAAAAAAUAUUUCUGCAUCAAGAUGAAGCCAAAGGGAAAUUCUGUCCCAAUUGGCAGGGUCCAUACAUGGUUCAUCAGGUUCUAACUGAAGGAGCCCUUAUUCUCGCAGAAAUGGACAGAGAAGUCCAGCCGAAGCCUAUCAACUCAUACGCAGUGAAAAGAUACUACAUUUGAUCAUAUGCUUUUCUUUCAUGAUGUAUUUUGAACUACGCCUGACCUGAUUCUCGUUUAAGAGGGGAUACGUAUACAACCCUAUGGGUUCGGUCACAUCUUAAUAAAAAAAUUCCAUCUUUCCCCCGCAAUUAAAACUGGGGUAGAAUUUUGAGAAGGACCCUCAAAAUUUCGAAGUAAGUUUUUAGUCUUUUCAUCAGCACCGACACAGUAAACUGGGGAAAAAUUUUAAGGGGGGCCCUCAAAAUUCUGGGAUUGUUCCGCGUUCAGUUAUCCAGCAUAGCCGUUGGCAGUGCUAACCCAAUAAACUGGGGCAGAAUUUUGAGGAGGACCCUCAAAAUUCUGGAGCAAGCAAUGUCGCCGCGUCUUGAACCACGUUGCAGUCGUUGGUUCAUCCAAAAUAAAAUCAUUAUAUAUAUAUAUAUGUACUUGCAUUAUAUUUACUAAGUCAUGUAUAAGCAUCAUUUGCAUCACAAUCGUUUAGCAACGCUACCCCUUAUACGCGAUGCUAAGAGCUGGAGGAUACGAACUAACCUCCCCUUUGCAAAACUCACAAUUUUUCUUUGGAUGCAGGAAUUCAGGCCACGAAUCAAAGUACAUUCGCUCUUCAGAAUCGAAACCCUCCAAAGGGUCACUAUCCACACCCAAGACUCCCCAGCAGUCCUAAUAUCGUAAAUCAUCUAUCAGCUAAGAAAACUUACUACUAUUCGUUCUUUUACAUUCUUGCAUUGCAUGAGGCUAUCCUCUGCCUUUCGAGGUUAAGCUCUACCUCCAUAUAACCGAAAGCCUCAAAAGGGGUCACUAUCCGAACUCAAAACUCCCCAGCAGUACCGUCUACCAGCUAAGAAAACUUACUAAUAUUUGCUCUUUUACAUUCCCUCAUUGCAUAAAGCUACUAUCUGCCUUUCGGGACUAAGCUAUGUCCCCAUUUGCAUUUUGCGUAAGGCUAUUCUCUACCUUCCAAGGUAAAUCUCUACCUCCAAAUUGCAUAAGGCUACUCUCUGCCUUUCGAGACUAAGCUCUGUCUCCAUCUACGUUUUUGCAUUAGGCUAUUCUCUACCUUCCGAGGUUAAGUUCUACCUCCAUAUUGCAUAAGGCUACUAUCUGCCUUUCGAGGCUAAGAUUUGUCUCCAUCUGCAUAAGGUUAUUCUCUGCCUUUCGAGGUUAAGCUCUACCUCCAUAUUGCCUGAGGCUCCUAUCUGCCUUUCGAGACUAAGCAUUGUCUCCGCCCUGCAUGGCCGAAAUAUCGCCGUAUUAUUUUAUUGACUAAUUGAAACAUCGCCAUCUGUAUUUCAAAUUCUCAUUCGGCUGAAAUAUCGCCACCUGCUUUUUAAUUUGUCGCUCUGGUUGAAUGAUUGCCAUCCUUUGCAUUCAUCUAGCUGAAAGAUCGCCACCCUUUGCAUUCAUCUGGCUAAAAGAUUGCCACCUUCUCAUGGGCAGAAAGAUCGCCAACUCGUUAAAAGGCGUCGUAGUUCGAAGGCACCACCUGCAUAACCUGAGAACAUCAUUUCAUAGCCUGCGAACCCUUACUUUUGCGCUCGUCAUGGACCAAGACAUCAUAGUCUGAGGAUAUCAUCCUAAUCGUCUGAAGACAAACAUUCAUGGUCCAAUGGGAACUUGCAUCACGUUUAAAUUACGCAAUAUAUACGCACAUCACCCAUUUACAGGUACUCCAGCUGGCUCACAUCCGUCUCAGUGGGAGCGAUCCCUCUCCAGUUCUCCACAGCCUGUCCGAUUCCAAGCACCCUCUCAGGUCUAAUCAUCGCAUUAGUCUUUUUGAAUUUUCAUCGGCAUAUUUCGUCAACGGAUCCUGAACAACAUAUGGCCUGAUUCCUGUAAAACCAGGGAUAUGUAGGAAGCUCAGAAUCCAGAGCAUAGUCAAAUCCGUUUACAAUCGCCGUCUCCGGUCAAAAUUGGCCAUCUCAUCUUUACCCGAUAACUCUUUUAUCCUCCUCGGGUAAAGAGGGGCAACUGUUGAUACCCAAUUUUUCUCUAUGUACUUUUAUACUCAAAUUAAUUUUAAAAUAACAUGUAUAUGCAUAUAUAAGUAUCCCAAAGGUUUUGGUAUUUUGUCCAAAUUUUUAAAACUAAUUUAUGGCCUAUUUUGCACUAUAAAAUCAAAUAAUUAUUCCGUGAAUAACUUAUUUCAUUCUCACAUCACAUUAAAAUAUAAUUUACAUGAUUUUUAUAUAAUUUUACAAGUUGAUUUGGUAUUAUAAAGUAAAAUUGCAUGAAAUUACAAUUUUAGCCUAUUUCUCGAUUUAAUGGCAUUUUCAAUCACAAAAUCAUUCCCAAUAUUUUUAACUUAAUACUUACGUAUUAUUUAUUAGAUAAAUAUUUUUAAUUUGAUUUUUAACGUCAUUUACUAUUUUUGUAAAUUCAAAAGGGGAAAAAUUGGCUAUUUAAAUUGUAGCCUCUUUACUUUCAAUUAUAGCCCAAAUUAAACCCAAAUCCCAGCCCAAUUUAACCCCUCAUUAAAUGAACCAAUCCCACGAGUUACCCGACCCAUACCCGAUCAAAUAAACACACCUGGUCGGCCUUUUAAUCUAGGCCGUUGAUCACUUGGAUCAACGACCAUGAUCCUCCCUUUCCUUUUUAAUUCACCAGCCCACCCCUAACCCUAUUCAUUCUAAUCAAACAACCGCCCUUGUAUCCCCUCAUCUCUCAAAAUUCUCUCAACCACCCUCCGAAGCCCUAGCCCCUUUCACCGGGCUCCGAUAUUAUUUCACCGGAAACUAUGGCUUCUCAGACCCUGAGCAGCCUGUACCUACCUCCACGUACCUCUAUGAUCCUUUUGCUCGAGGUUUCAGAGUCCGACUUUGAAGACCCCGGCUAAGAGUCUUUCCGAUUCAAGUUCUAUGGCCUUUUCCGGCUCAUCUCCGGCAAAUUCUAGCCCUGUGAGUUCAUCUCUGACUCAGGACUAGCCGGUUCCAGGCCUUUCUCAUUUUCUAGGGUUUUAUCUUAAACCUUGAGCCCUCGAGGUUUUCUUUGUUUCUCUCUAAGAUCUUCUUCAGAUCCGUGCUAUUUUCUAAGAUUUUAAAGUAUCUUCCAGAUCUUUUCGAUUUUUUGUUUUCAAAACUAUUCAUCUUCUUAAAACUUAGGGUUUCCCUGGUUUUUUACUUGUUCUACAGCUAUCUCUUGUAUUUUUACUUUGCUAAGUGUUUUCACUAUGGUUUUCUGUGUAUUUUCCUAGGGUUUCUAAAUAUUUUUUUUACUGUGUUUGCUUCCAUGAACUGUCUGUGUUCUUUGGGUUUUCCUGAGUUUAUUUUGACUGAUCUUCUAUGCUUCAUCUUUGCAUGUAUGCUGUGGGGAAAAACCCUAAAUUUUGGGGGUUUUCAACCAUUUGUGCACGAUUAUUUGAUUCUUGUGCUGCUUCUUGUCUGAUUUCAAAAUCCUAAAUCGACUCGUGUUUCUGAUUCUUGCUAAGCUUUGUAAGACCUCUUGAUUUCUCGCAUGUCUAUGUUCUUCUAUUUGAUCACAUGACCACACUGUUCGUUUGAUUCUAGCCUCGCAUGUUUAAAUUUAUGCACUCUUUAUAAUCAGACGUUCACUCUCAAAAUAACCCUAAUUUUUAGGGGUUCAUUUCAAACCUUUAUUAUGUAGGCCUGAUUGAUUAUUUCCCUGUCUGAUUUGGACUUGUUUUCUGACUUAAUUCAAUAUUAAGUUUGAUUCUUGAUUUACUAUGUGAUUGAUUGAUUUUAUCCUUACCUUAUUUAUAUAACCGUGUAUUUUUAAAAGCUUCUCCGAUGUAUCCUUUUAUUGCACCAUGUGUUAUUGAUUUUCUUUCCUUAAAUACAACUCUGCCCUCUCCUGUUCAAAUUCGAAUUCCUUAAUUAAAGGAAUCCCCCUCUUCUAAUUGAUUCUGAUUGGUAUUGAAUUAUAUUUUGCCUUACUUACCACCUGUUUUCAAACUAUAAAUACCCUACUCUUCUCUUCAAACUCACGAACAACUGCAUUAAAAAACACACACACACACUCAAAGCUCUCUCUUCUUUACUUGUGCUAUUGUCCUGACUAGCCGGCUGAAAGCCAAGGCUAGACUUUGGAAUCACUUUUGCUUUCCUCAAGUGUUUGCUGAAGGGUUUCUGGCUGUUUUACUGCUCUAUUUAUUUGUUAUUUGGAAUUUGCAACUAGUAGUUCUUUAUAAUUAGAUAUUGUUCUCCAAAACUAUAUUUUUAAUUUUCCCUUUUACAUGACCUCUCAACUACGUGUUUUGUGGUACUAAAUGACCAUACAUUAGUCUGUCAUGCCUUUCUUCAUGCUUCUGGAUCUUUAAGUGCUGUUAUGCUUGUCCUAUUCCCCCUUUUGAUGUUUAUUCUUUCACGUGAUCCCAUUUCUUUUAACCCCUGUUUAUAUAUGAGUAUUGGUUCUAGGUUGGUGGUACCACCCUAUUGUUAUCCCUGACCUGGGACCAGGUUCUUUUGAACCUUUACUCAAAUCAGUCUCUAUUCCCUUAACCCCAUUUAUGUUUUGAGCCUUGACUAGGGUUUGGUGGUGUCCUCAUCAUCACUCAGGCCUCUGUCUGGCUUUUAAAAGUCUGCUCUUUUAUUUGCUUAAAUCAAGUAAUGGGUCAGGGGUGUGCCAGUCUUACCCAUGACUGGGUAUGACCAUCCUUUGCUUUGGUUUCCUCUAAUCCCCUCACUCUACACUCAUUCUUAGUUCUUUAAGUUCUACCCCCUAUGGUAAGCCAUGAUGAGGGACCCUAGAGUUCCCUAUGAACUUGGAUGCCUAAGGGCUGUUAAUUCCACACAUUGCACUACUCGAUUACCACAUUCAAUAUUUAGGGCGUAAGCAUUGCCUGGGCUUCCUUAAAGCCCUUGGAACUUUGAAACACUCUAAGAGAAGGACUAGGAAUCUGGAAUCGGGAUAUGGUGAAACACAUGUUAUUGGGUAUUAAGAUUGAAUUAUGUUUCUCGGAUCUAGCUGUAGGCUGUAAUGUCUUUUGUUUAUUUUUCUUUUGGUGUGUAACAACCUUGUAAAAGAAUUUGGGGAAUAUUAGUAAAGGGUGUGGGAUGAGUUUAUAUUACUUUCAUAAGUCAAUGGUUAGAAUUCAUGCCUAUAGGACUCUAAUAUUGCAAAUCGUUUAGAAAUCAUGUUUAUAGGACUCUAAUAUUGCAAAUCAUUUAGAAAUCGUGCCUAUAGGACUUCGAUAUGGCAGAUCAUAUAGAAAUCAUGCCUAUAGAACUUUAAUAUUGCAUACCAUUUAUAAAUCAUGUCUAUAGGACUUUGGAUUGCAAGCCAUCUCUGAACUUCUGCAAAUUUCAAUUUUUUGUUUCAAAACGCUUCUGUACAGGCUCUUGUCUAAAAUUAGUGCUUUCUGAAUCACUUGUUUUAAAAAUACCUUAAGUUCUGACAACUGGAUCCGGGUUGCCUAAUGCGGACUUGUUAUCCAUUUCUAUGUGUUAAGCUGAUCCAUCCACCUCUUAAUUGCUUAAUUUUAAAGACCAAACUAGUACGUGUAAGUCAUGCUAAACUAAUUGUUGUGUGAUCUACGGGGUCUUGUAUGAGCCUUUGAGUGUUUGAUUUGUAUACCAUUAUUUGUUAUUUGUUUUGAUUACGCCUUAGUAUUUUGUCCUUUUAAACUCCAUAUAUGCCCCAUCCCUUUCUCCCCUUUAGUAUUAGAAGUCUAAAUACCCCGGGAUUGAUAGGUUGGGAUGGGUACUAGCAUGCAAUAGGUAAACGAGACUAAUCGCGCUUAAAUACCUUAACUGAGCGGGAAGGGUAGAAUAUGGAGAUCAUGAUAGUGCGCUAAUAUCUCGUGUGAGAAUGAUUUCUGGGUAUUGCACCGAAUGAUCCAUAUUGUAGUUAAACCUAGGACCCUCUUUCUUUAUUUAAAUGUUUUCUUCCAACUAAAACUCUUUUUACUUGUUCCAUUCUUCUUUCAAAAAUUGUCGACUUGUUUGUAUAUCUUAUGUGCAAACUUUGCUUGUCUACUCCUACUCUUCUUAAAGUCACAACUAAGUAAGGCCAGAAACACACUAGUGGAUCUUGAGGGGUGCCUAACACCUUCCCCCCCGAGAUAAUCUCAAGCCCUUACCCAAACCCUGGUUUUCUUUCAAAUCCUUCUUCUUUUCUCUAAAAGUGUUCUAAUGCACUAUAAUCAUUAGGUGGCGAAUCUUCAAACUUCAUAGCCCAAAUUCCCCCAAAAGCGGAUAAAAGAGUCAUUCCACCCAUGAUGUCGUAAACCUGGUUUCUCUCUCCCUAGGAGGAAAAAAGGGGGCGUCGACAGUCCCGACAAGGGAAUCAACAAUACCAAAUAAGGUCAUGGAACACCAAGGAAAAACACGAUAACCUCAACGACAUAACAAGACAUAAUAAGUGCUUAAUAGCUACACUAAUACCAUAGCACUUGGACAUAUCUAUAUUUGCACGAAGUCACAGAUGAACUUACAAUCAUGGAGUAUCCAAACAGUAAGGAAGUUAACAUGAAUUAAAUAAUUACAAUUUAAGGAAAUAUAAAUUAAUCAUAAGAUAUCUAUGUUUAUUACAAUUAAGACCGAUUAAUCACAUGAGCUAUAACAUUUAUGAUUUUCAAUUAACGGCGAGCAGUUAGGACGGAUAAUAUGACUAUAUAAGGGUAAUACUCUUCAGUUAAACACGUAAAAGUCAAUUAAACAGUAAGAAUAAUCAAGAUGGGCAAACAAAUACCAAGUAAGACAUGUAGAGGGAAAACUAAUAACAGGGAACUCAAUUGUAUCAAUAUCAUCAUCACACUCGGAGAUUUCAAGCGUCUAAGAGCCUAAAAGGGACAAUUUACAAUAAAUAAAUCCGAGCACGCACUCGUCACCUUGAGUACACGGAAUACAAUCAACGGAGAAGACUCAAAUCCUAAGGGAAAAUCCCCUCCCCCCCCCCACAAAGUUAGGUAAGAUACUUACCUCAAACCGGCUCAAAUCAACUAGCAACCACGUUCUUGCCAUGUGUACUCGACUUCAAAUGGCCCAAAUCUAUUCAAAUAAAUAACACAUUGUAAAUAACAUCUCAAGUGACUGAUUCUACAAUUAAAUUCUGAGCUAAUGUGUGAAAUAAGGUAAAAUGACCAAAAUGUCCCUUAGAAAAACAUCUCAGAAUCGAAUAAUUUUCACAUUUUUAGAACUGUCGUACUUUCACAAGUCUAACCAUAUAAAAUCUGCCAAAUCGGAGGUCAAAUUCCCACUCAAAACACAAUAAUUAAGUGUAAGAAGUUUUAUCUUAUUUUCCCCAAUUUUGACCUUGAAUUCGAAUUCUAAUGGUGGAUUUAACUAGAUAUUGAUAGAAAACAACUAAAUGAGGUUAAAGAAACAUUAUCCACUGAUCUUCUCUUCAAAAUCCACCCAAGAUCGCCUUCUCCCGAGCUCCUAAUUGAUUUUACAACUUUUGAAAUAAACCCUCGGAUUAUAGUAUUUCAUACAAGUGAUUUCCGCUUUUGCGGUCCAGAGACCGCUUCUGCGGUCCCGCUUUUGCGGAAAAACAAUUGCUUCUGCAUUUUCUUUAAGUUCCCCAAUUUCUACUUCUGCAGUUCUUUCAUCGCAGAAGCGAGUCCGCUUCUGCGGAAAACCUUUCGCUCCUGCGGCUCCUGACCAAAGGUCCUCCAUCGUUUCUACAACUGCCAAGCCACUUUUGUGGCUCCGCUUCUGCGGUUCCUAAGCCGCAGAAGCGAAAAUACAAGUACCCCUGCUGCAAUUUUCCUUCUAACUCCAAACUUUGCCCAUUGAGCAUCUCAAACACACCCUAGGCCCCCGAGACCGCAACCAAUCACAGACACAAGUCAUAUAACCUAACACGGACUCGCUCGAAGUUCCAAAUCAUAUAACAUGACAUCGAAACGACGAAUCAAACCAAAAAUCAAGUUUAUGAACUUCGAAAUUUUCAAAUAUCGAAACCCAAGCCGAAACCUAUCAAUUCAAAUCAAAAUGACGCUAAAUUUUACAUACAAGUCCAAAAUAACAUAACGGAGCUAUUCCAACUUUCAAAAUUGCAUUCCGACCCUGAUAUCCCAAAAGUCAACUGUGGGCCAAAAUUUUUCAUUUUCCAACUUCAAAUUUUCGUCGAAAUGCUUCAAUUUACUCUAUGGACCUCUAAAUCUGAAUCCAGACGCGCGCCUAAGUCCAAAAUAACCAUACGAAGCUGUUGAGAUCAUUCACGACUCUUUACGGGGUCGUUUACACAAAAGUCCAAUUCCAGUCAACUUUUUACUGUUUCAACUUCCAAAACAAGGUUUCUUCUCUAAAUUUGACUCUAAACCAUCCGGAAGCCAAAUUCCACCAUACACGCUAGUCGAUACUCAUAUUACAAAGUGGUUCCAGACCUUAUGCUGCUGAGCGGAGUUUAAUUUCUCAAAAUGACCGGUCGGGUCGUUAUAUCUUGGCUGUAAAGGAAUUAGGCCACGUGUAGUUAAGAAGUGAGUAAAAUGAUGGAGUAUACCGAGGCAGAGAACCGAUUGAAGUGUUGUCGAGGUUUCGGUCCGUCGUCCUAUUAUUACAUCAAAAUCAAGAAAUGAAAAAGACCAACUAGGCCUAUCAACUUUGAGUUACAAGAUUCAUGUCUAUAAGUCUUUUGAAGCUUGAUGUGGUGUCUUGAAUGGUUCUUCAUGCAGACUUUAGAUUUGAACCUUGACACUUGCUAGUUGCAGGUGCUAGUUCAUUAUUCUUCAACUUUUCGGAUCAAGACCGGAUAUAACUUCAACCACGUCUUGAGCAUUGGUCGCCUCAGACUGUUGACUCGCGUUCUUGCCAUGAGCUUCUGCUACUUCUAACUUGAAUUGAAUUUUUAAAUGACUUCCCUCGUUCUAUAGGUGGGUUUCAGCUAUUGACUUGUAACUUGAAACAAUUGCGAAACGAAUUCCAUCAUUCUCCAGGUGGGUGCCUGCAAUCAAAAGAACAAACAUAAACAAAAUUUUCUGCACCAGUUUGCACUAUGAAAAUUUGUGAGUUAUUAGUAAAACUAUAAAUCACCUAAGCUAUUGAUGCAAUGAUGAGAGUAAGACUAAAGACUUGACUGGGAUGUGCAUCUCCUGUGAGUAAAACCAAGAACAUUUGACAAGCAAAUUCAUCAGACUAGGUCUUCUAUCUUAGGAGAAAGAUUCAUUAGACUAAGAUUUUGAUCCUAGGAGAAAAUUCAAGAGACUAGGUUUUUUAUGUUAGGAGAACAAUUCAUCAAACUAAGAUUUUGAUCCUAGGAGAAAAUUCAUCGAACUAGGUCUUCUAUCUUAGGAGAAAAAUUCAUCAGACUAAGAUUUUGAUCCUAGAAGAAAAUUUAUCAAACUAGGUCCCUUUUUGUUAUCUUAGGAGAAAGAUUCGUCAGACUAAAAUUUCGUUCCUAGGAGAAAAUUCAUCAAACUAGGUCGUCUAUCUUAGGAGAAAGAUUCAUCCUACUAUGAUUUUGAUCCUAAGAGAAAAUUCAUCAGACUAGGUGCCUCUUUUUUUUGUUAUCUUAGGAGAAAGAACAUUAGACUUCCCUUUUUGUUAACUUAGGAUAAAGAUUCAGACUAAGAUUUUGAUCCUAGGAGUAAAUUCAUCAGACUAGAUCUUCUAUCUUAGGAGAAAGAUUCAUCAUUCUAAGAUUUUGAUCCAAGGAGAAAAUUUACCAGACUAGGUCUUCUAUCUUAGGAGAAAGAUUCAUCAAACUAAGAUUUGAUCCUAGGAGAAAGUUCACCAGACUAGGUCUCUUUUUUUCUUUUGUGGUAUCUUAGGAGAAAGAUUCCUCAGACUAAGAUUUUGAUCCUAGAAGAAAACUCAUCAGACUAUGUCUCGUAUCUUAGGAGAAAGAUUAAUCAGACUAAGAUUUUGAUCCUAGGAAAAAAUUCAUCAGACUAGGUCUUCUAUCUUAGGAGAANNNNNNNNNNNNNNNNNNNNNNNNNNNNNNNNNNNNNNNNNNNNNNNNNNNNNNNNNNNNNNNNNNNNNNNNNNNNNNNNNNNNNNNNNNAAUUCGUCAGACUAAGAUUUUGAUCCUAGGAGAAAAUUCAUCAGACUAGGUCUCUUAUUUAGGAGAAAGAUUCAUCAAGCUAAGGUUUGGAUCCUAGGAGAAAAUUCAUCAGAUUAGGCCUUCUAUCUUAGGAGAAAAAUUCAUCAUACUAAGUCUUCUAUAUUAGGAGAAAAAUUCAUCAGACUAAAUGUUGAAUUUAGUCUCACUUAAAUGUUCAUUAGGGUAACUGUUGGCUUCUUAGGCUCGCCUCCUUCAACUAUCAAACCGAUUGACCCCUUGGGGUCCCAAUCAUCUUUGAUCUCGAUCAUGUGGAUGCUUCCACCCUUGUGGUCAGGAAAAGGGUUGAUGCGGAUAUUAGGAGCGGGCUCCUUUGCUAUAAUGAUCUUUUUGACAAUCAAAUUUUGAAUCUUGUCUUUCCAUAAGUGACACUCGUCGAUGCUAUGGCCUUUCAUCCCGGAAUGGUAUGCGCAAGUCUUGUUUGGGUUGAUUCACUGGGAAGGGUUUUUUGGAGUUACGGCUGGGAUAGGGAUAACGUAUCCAGCUGGUUUGAGUUUUUCAUAUAAUUGGUCAAUUGGCUCGGCUAUGGUGGUAUAUUGUCUAGGAGGUUUGCGGUCGAAGUUUUGUCUAGGUCGAGGGAAGUUCUGGCGGUCGGAAGGUGAUGGGUAGUGAGAAGGUUGUGAAUUAUAUGCUUGGUAUACAUGUGCGAGUUGGGAAUAUCAAGGAGAGGUGGACUGAUAUGUGGGUGGUGGAGGUGAUUGGUAAGCAGGUGGUGGAAUUUGGUAUGUGGGUGAUGGUGCCUGGUAGCUUAGGGUUGGUUGAUAUGUAAGUGGAGCUAAGGGAUAGGUUUGGUACUUCAUAUGGGAGUUGUUCUUUUGCGCAGCCAUUACAGAAUUCACAUCCUUUUUCUUCGACGAGCCACUAGACUGUAAAGCCUUAUUGGUAGCUUGCAAUGCCUCGAGGUUAGUGACCAUACCAUUUUUGAUGCCUUCUUAGAUCCUUUCUCCCAACUUGAUGGAGCCAUUACAGAAUUCACAUCCUUUUUCUUCGACGAGCCACUAGACUGUAAAGCCUUAUUGGUAGCUUGCAAUGCCUCGAGGUUAGUGACCAUACCAUUUUUGAUGCCUUCUUUGAUCCUUUAUCCCAACUUGAUGAUGUCGGAGAACUUUUGGCCCUCUAUUAGCAUUAGCCUCUCGUAGUACUGUGGAUCCUGAGCACGGACGAAGAACCUGUUCAUUUGUUCUUCCUCGAAGGCCGAUUUGACCUUAGCAGCUUCUGACCUCCAACGAGUAGCAUACUCGCGAAAGGUCUUUGUGGGCUUCUUUUUGAGAUUCUGGUUAUAGAAUACAUCUGGUGCGUUCUUAGUGUUGAACCUGAACCGAUCCAUAAAGUCAGAUGCCAUGUUCACCCAAAUAGUUCAUUUCUUCGCAUCCUGGCUAAUAUACCAGGAUAAAGUAUCACCCUUCAAACUCCUCAUGAACAGCUUCAUGCGGAUCUUCUCGUCCCUUCCGACUCCUACCAACUAGUCAUAAUAAAUUCUCAAGUGGACCCUGGGUUCACCUGUGCCAUCGAACAUUUUGAACUCUGGAGGUUUGUACCCCUCGGGGAGCUCAACAUCUGGCUGAACACAGAGAUAUUCAUAACUUAACCCUUCAACACCUUUGUUACCUUCAAAACCUUGGACCCGACUAGUCAACUUCUUGAUCUCAGUGGCCAAAUUCUGAAUGAGGGAGCUCUUGUCAUUUGCCUCGACUACACUGGUGAUUGGCUGACUGUAAUGCGACAUAGUGUCCACAAAGAUUGGAGUGUUAUGGUCUUUUGUGGUGUUUUGUGGUUUAGGGAUGUGCAGUAGAGUGUUAUGUGUGGGUUGCAUUAGAGGUUGUGGGAUGUUUUGUGGUGGUGCGGGGUUCUGAAUGUUAACAUCGGGAGCGGUAAGAGUGAUUGAGAGGCUUGCUAUGUUUCUAACUUGGUCCAAUUCCUCUCGGAAUCUUAGCAAAGUUUUCUCCAUAUGAGCAACGGUCUCUUUGGUUAUUGCAGCAUUCUGAGAAGUUUCUUCAAGUUCCUUUCUAGCGCUUGUAUCUCCCAUUUUGCCUNNNNNNNNNNNNNNNNNNNNNNNNNNNNNNNNNNNNNNNNNNNNNNNNNNNNNNNNNNNNNNNNNNNNNNNNNNNNNNNNNNNNNNNNNNNNNNNNNNNNNNNNNNNNNNNNNNNNNNNNNNNNNNNNNNNNNNNNNNNNNNNNNNNNNNNNNNNNNNNNNNNNNNNNNNNNNNNNNNNNNNNNNNNNNNNNNNNNNNNNNNNNNNNNNNNNNNNNNNNNNNNNNNNNNNNNNNUGCACGAACUAACCUUUGGGGAGGGGAAUAAAAAUAAAAGAAAAACAAAAAAGGUAAAAAGUUAGUGCGGAUUCUGAUAAAUAAUAUUGCAAUAUUUAAGCAAAUUGUGCGGGAAUAGAAAUUGCUUCCUAAUUUGGGUGCUUCGUUGCGCCUGAGGUAGGUCUAGCGAAUAAAUUUGGAGAACUUAUAAUGCUAAAUGCCUUAUUUUAUUGAUAAAACAAGAUGAGCCUUAAAACAACUGGAUGAUAAAAGAUAUUACUAAUGGCCAGUGGCCUUAUUACAUUAAGAGAGUAUGAAAUAAAAGAUCAUAACAAUUUGGUCCCAGAAGGACCUUCCCCAGAUUCGGUACUCUUGCCUCCCUCAUACAGGUGCAUCAACUCACACAUCCCUAACAGCAGAUAAGUUCGAGCUAGAUGUCCGCCUGCACUUCCUUCAGCAUUCUGGCAGUCUUCAAUUCUUUUUAUGAACUUCUCUUCCAACUCCACUAGACCUCGCUCCAGAUACCUCAAACGGUUAUUGGCGUUGACAGCCAUAUCCUUCCACUCGUUGAUCAUCUUCUCACAUUCUCUCAUCCUCUUGCGCAAUUGAUUGUAUUUGACUUGCACUUCAGUUGUCUCAUCAAUAAUCCUAUGACUGUGGAUGAAUCCUGGACGACCCAAAUCAAUGUGAUCAUCUUCCAACCAACCUGUGUAGUGCGGAACACACCCGACAAGAUACCUGUCUGGUUCGAUAGACUCCCUCCCCAAGACUAACUUGCAGUGCCACAUAUACUGAGUGUGACACCUAUGUGGGCUAUCAUCAUCUUGAAAGUCAUCCCUGAAAUGAAUCAUUUUCUCUAUCCUCUCUUCUUUUAGAUUCUCGAACAACUCUACACAUCCUUUGGCGUCCUCUGGCUGAGCGAACAUGUUGGUCAUGAAGUUCAUUCGGUUUGGGUGAUGAAAAGCGAUAUGGUCAUCCCAAUCCUUGCGUAUGAUUUCUUGUCUGUAGUCGCCUUUCUGAAGGUGUUCUAUGAGCCAAAGUUGAAGUAGUAGAUUACAACCCUCGAAAUGUGGAGCCCCUUGUUGACACUUCCCCAAGGCUUGAUAGAUUUCUGCGAGGAUCAUAGGUACUAUGCUGAAUGAUGGCCCCUUGUUGACACUUUCCCAUUGCUCGGUAGAUUUCAGCGAUGAUCAUGGGCACUAUGCUGAAAGACUUCCCAUCGAUUCCUUCCACUAAGGUCUUGGUUACCAUGGCUAGUCUGGUGUGAAUCCUAGCCUUCUUCAUAGAGAAAAUUAUCAUCCCAAGAAGCAAAACAUGAACGCAAACACCUUUCUAUGUAUAUGUCCCAAAGAAUUGAGGGCUAAUUCGUCUAUGUAGGUGCGAUAAGACUUGCUGUGGCCAUAUCUCUCAUAUAAGAAGUCGAAUGGUAUGUAGGAGUCCUUCAAGCAAGAAAGGUCGGGAUUUUUCUUGAGUCACAUCAUCUUAAGAAAGCCUAUAAUUUUGUGAUUCUCCGACAUAUGCAAAUCCAGAGUCUCCCUAGGGAUACCAGCUAGGCUCCCUAUCUCUUCUAGCAAAAGGGUCAUUUCCAAGUCUCCAAAACGGAACACUGAUCGAUCACUAUCCCAAAAUAGAGUGGCAGCCUAGAUGAUCUUGUUGUUGGGUUGAAUUUCUAGAAGUGAGGGUAAUUUCCCUAAGUACUUGUGGACGAGAGUUUGAUUGCUGCCAUGAAGAUCUUCCCACCAGCUUAGCAACCUUGGGUGGAUGUUGGAUACCAUACCGAACUUGUGGACGAGAGUUUGAUUGCUGCCAUGAAGAUCUUCCCACCAGCUUAGCAUCCUUGGGUGGAUGUUGGAUACCAUACCGAAUCAGGGGACCUCGUGCCUCAUUUUCUGCAAAACAAAGUGUUAGGCCCUUAACCCCACCAGACUCGGCUAUUUAAAUCAAUAAUUAGCAAAAGGCAUUUAGUUCUCCAAAUAAAUGCACAUAAUGUGAAGGUGUCCAUUUGGGUUUCAGGAAACCCGAUGGACUUUGGGUUAGGUUGUUUUAAUGAGUCAUUAUGCGGACAAUAUAACUGACUCGGUUAGGCUUGACCGUGAUGCAUGCACAGUUUAAUGGAAUAAAGUUUCUACUUUUGAAGUGCUAGACAAGGUACCCUUGAGCGGACAACUCAAGAGGGAAAGACGCGGAACCGUCAACUACACCAUUGAUCGACUGGUUUUACGCAAAUAUGCCUUUGCCACAUUUAGGGGGUUUAUAAUAUCGGAAGGGCGCAACCACUCAUCAUAAGUGUUGCUAUAGGAUUUGUUUUGGCAAGAAUGGAAUAUGAUGCUGAGAGAUGCAAUUACAAUAAUAAAACAAAUUACAUGUAUUUUCACGUUCAAAAGAUAAAUGAUUACAAUGCUUGCUCGAAAUUACAACAAUAUCGAAAUAAAGCAAUAAAGAAGGCAAUUAAAGGAAAGAAAAGACAUGAAGAGUCAAGUUAGUAAUUGUGAUGACAUAAUCAAGGACAUGAAAUAAAUUAGAUUAAGUAAGCAAUAAAGUCACAAAAGCAAAUAGUGGUAAAAGCCUAAAAGAAUCCCUAUAGGCAUGAUAUCCCCAAAACAUAUGCAUUAAUAUUACAUACCUUGAUGAUGAACCAAUGGCUGUAACUUCCAACGAGACAGUGCAAAAACAGACAUAGAUUCAGAAGAGGACAAAAUAUCAGAAGAGGUUGUCAGGGAGGUCGAGAAUUUUGAGAACAGGCCUAAGUCUAACUUAGACGAAAUUGAGGUCAUUAAUUUGGGAGACGCAGAAAAUGUCAAGGAAACACGUAUCAGCGUACAUUUGUCAUCAUCAGAAAAGAAAGAGUACAUAGAGUUUUUAAAGAAUAUGAGGAUAUAUUCGCCUGGUCGUAUGAUGAUAUGACCGGUCUCAGAACAUCCAUUGUGUCUCACAAGCUACCGACAGAUCCGGCAUGCCCACUGGUAAAACAAAAACUCAGAAAGUUCAAGCCAGACAUGAGUUUGAAAAUCAAAGAAGAGGAUACCAAGCAAGUCAAAGCCAGGGUUCUCAGAGUAGUAGAGUGUCCAACAUGGUUAUCCAACAUUGUGAUGGUACCAAAGAAGGAUGGGAAGGUUAGAGUCUGUGUCGACUACCGGGAUCUCAAUCGGUCCAGUCCUAAGGACAGUUUCCCUUUGCCAAUUAUACACAUACUGACUGAUAACUGCGCCAAAUGAGCUGCAGAUGUUUGUCAAUUAUUUUGCUGGAUACCACCAGAAUAUGGAGAUAAUGAUGAUGCGCUAAUAUCAUAAAGCGACCCCUCUUUGGGGAAUAUGUGCGGGAUAUUGCAUCGAAUGAUCCAAAUUGUAGUUAAACCUAGGACCCUCAUUUUUACUUUUCCUUUAUUUAAAUGUUUUCUUCAAACUAAAACUCUCUUUUACUUGUGUCAUUCUUCUUUUCAAAAUUGUCAACUUGCUUGUAUUUCGUAUAUGCAAACUUUUCUUAUCUACUUCUACUCUUCUUAAAGCCACAACUAAGUAAGGCCGGGAACCACACUAGUGGAUCUUGAGGGGUUCCUAACACCUUCCCCUCGAGAUAUUCUCAAGCCCUUACCCAAACUCUGGUUUUCUUUCAAAUCCUUCUUCUUUUCUCUAAAAGUGUCCUAAUGCACUAUAAUCAUUAGGUGGAGACUCUUCAAACUCCAUAGACCAAAUUCCCCCGAAAGAGGAUAAAAGAGUCAUACCACCCGUAAUGUCAUAAACCCGACUCAUGCACUAUAAUCCUUAGGUGGAGACUCUUCAAACUCCAUAGCCAAAAUUCCCCCAAAAGGGGAUAAAAGAGUCAUUCCACCCAUAAUAUCGUAAACCCGAUUUCUCUCUGCCUGAGAGGAAAAAGGGGAGCGUGGACAACAUGCAUCAUGGUCAAGCCUAGCCGAGUCAAGGGUACCUUGUAUAGCACUUCAAAAGUUGAAACUUUAUUCCGUUAAACUGUGCAUGCAUCAUGGUCAAGCCUAGCCGAGUCAGUUAUGUUGUCCGCGUAAUGGCUCAUUAAGACAGCCUAAACCAAAGUCCAUCAGGUUUCCUCAAACUCAAACGGACACAUUCACGUUAUGUGCAUUUUUUUGGAGAACUAAAUGAUUUUGCUAAUUAUUGAUUUAAAUAGUCGAGUCUGGUGGGGUUAAGGGCCUAACACUUUUUUUUGCAGAAAAUGAGGCACGAGGUCCUCAGAUUCGGUAUGGUAUCCAACGUCCACCCAAGGUUUCCAUGCUGUCAAUGCUCCCCCCCCUUUUCCUCCCAGGGAGAGAAAAAUUGGGUUUACGACAUUAUGGGUGGAAUGGCUCCUUUAUCCCUUUUUGGGGGAAUUUGGGCUAUCGAGUUUGAAGAGUCACCACCUAAUGAUUAUAGUGAAUUAGGACUCUUUUAGAGAAAUGAAGAAGGAUUUGAAAGAAAACCAGAGUUUGGGUAAGGGCUUGAGAUUUUCUCGAGGGGAAGGUGUUAGGAACCCCUCAAGAUUCACUAGUGUGGUUCCCGACCUUGCUUAGUUGUGACUUUUAGAAGAGUAGAAGUAAACAAGCAAAGUUUGCAUAUAAGAAAUACAAGCAAAUUGAAUAUUUUGAAGGAAGAAUGGAACAAGUAAAAGAGAGUUUUAGUUUCAAGAAUACAUUUAAAUAAAGGAAAAGUAAAGAAAGAUGGUCCUAGAUUUAACUACAAUAUGGAUCAUUCGAUGCAAUAUCCCACACAUAUUCCCUAAAGAGGGGUUGCCUUAUGAUAUUAGUGCAUCAUCAUCAUCUCCAUAUGCUACCCUUUCCACCCCGUUAAGGUAUUUAUGCGCGAUUAGUCUCGUUUACCUUAUUGCAUGCUAGUACUCGUCCCAACCUAUCAGUCCCAGGAUAUUUAGACUUCUAAUCCUAGAGGAGAGAAAGGGAUGGGGCAUGUAUGGAGUUUAACAGGACAAAAUACUAAGGCGUCAAUCAAAACAAAUAACAAAUAAUGGUAUACAAAUCAAACAAUCAAAGGCUUAUACGAAACCCCGUAGAUCACACAAAAAUUAGUUUAGCAUGACUUACAUGUACUGGUUUGGUCUUUAAGGCGGACGAAUCAGCUUAACACAUAGAGUUGGAUAACAAGUCCGCAUUAGGCAACCCGGAUCCAGUUGUCAGAACUUAAGGUGUUUUAAAACAAGUGGUUCAGAAAGCACUAAUUUUAGACAAGAGCCUCUACAGAAGAGUUUUGAAACAGAAAAUUAAAAUUUGCAGAAGUUCAGAGAUGGCUUGCAAAUUAGCCGAACUGCUUAAGUAAAGUUGUAAAGAGGCAUUUUUCGAAAAGCGUUGAAGUAAAAAUUUAGACAGAAAACUAAGGGGGUUGGUUUCAGAAUAAAGAUGUAAGUUGGAAUUUUAAGGACACUAUAGAAAUGUUAAAACAGACGAACUUGGACAGGUUUCAAAAGCAGACAAGUUUGGACAAAUUUUUUUUUCUGAAAGCGUUUGAGUCUAACUGAUAGAUUAUCACUCAUAUUAGGCGCGUUUGAAUUCCUAUAGGCAUGAUAACUAUUCAUCUGACUCGUUACUGAUUUUUAGAACAUUAGGGAACCUACUGUUUGCCUAGCGUUUGAUGCGUUACCUAUAGGCAUGAUCUCUAUCGUGCUUACAAUGCAAAGUCCUAUAAACAUGAUUUCUAAAUGGUAUGCAACAUUAAAGUCCUAUAGGUAUGAUUUCUGAAUGGUAUGCAAUAUUAGAGUCCUAUAGGCAUGAUUUCUAAAUGAUUUGCCAUAUUACAGUCUUAUAGGCAUGAUUUCUAAACGAUUUGCAAUAUUAGAGUCCUUUAGGCAUGAUUUCUAAAUGAUUUGCAAUAAUAGAGGCCUAUAGGCAUGAUUUCUACCCAUUGACUUAUGCAAGUAAUAUAAACCCAUCCCACAACCUUUACUAAUAUUUCCCAAAUUCUUUUGCAAGAUUGUUAUAGAACCAAAAGAAAAAUAAACAAAAUACAUUACAGCCUACAACUAGAUCCGAGAAUCCUAACUCAAUCUUAAUACCCAAUAACAUGUAUUUCACCAGAUUCCAAUUCUAGAAUCCAAGGUCUUCUCUUAGAGUGUUUCAAAAUUCCAAGGGCUUUUAUAGGUCCCAGGCAAUGCUUACACACUAAAGAUUGAAUGUGGUAACAGAGUAGUGCAAUAUGUGAAACCACCCCUUAGGCAUCUAAGUUCAGAGGGAACUUUAGGGUCCCUAAGCAUGGCUUACCAUAGGGGGGAAGAACUUAAAGAACUAAGAAUGAGUGUAGAGUUAGGUGAUUAGAGGAAACCAAAGCAAAGGAUGGUCAAACCCAGACAUGGGUAAGACUGGCACACCCCUGACCCUUUACUUGAUUCAAGAAAAUAAAAGAGCAGACUUUUAGAAGUCAGACAGGGGUCUGGGUGAUGAUUAGGACACCACUAGACCCUAGUCAAGACUCAACACAUAAAGGGGGUUGAGGGAAUGGGACUGAUGUGAGUAAAGGUUCAAGAAAACUUGGUCCCAAGUCAGGGAUAGCAAUAGGGUAUUAUCUCGGCCUGGGGUCAAUACUCAUACAUAAGAGGGGGUUAAAGGGAAUGAGAUCACAUGAAAACAUUCACAUAAACAUAAAGGAAGGAUAAGAAAAGCAUGACAACACUUUAAAGAUACAGAAGCAUGAAGAAAGGCUUAACAGACUAAUGAAUAGUCACACAAUGCCAGAAAACAUGCAGUGAGAGUUUCGUAAAGAGAGAAGUAAACACAUAGUUUUGGAGAGUACUAUUUAAAUUAUAUAAACCUACCAGUUGCAAGUUCCAAAUAAUAGAAUUAAUAGAGAGCAGUGAAACAGCCAGAAACCCUUCAGCAAAUACUUUAGGAAAGCAAAAGAGAUUCCAAAGUCUAGCCUUGGCUUUCAUCCGGCUAGUCAGAACAAUAGACAAGUAAUAGUAGAGAAGAGAGAGAGCUUGAGAGUGUGUGUGUUUUUGAACUCAAUUGUUCGCGAUUUUGAAGAGAAGGAGUAGGGUAUUAAUAGUUUGAAAAUAGUGGUAAGUAAGGCAAAAAAAUAUAAUUCAAUACCAAUCAGAAUCAAUUAGAAGAGGGGAACUCCUUUAAUUAAGGAAUUUGAAUUUGAAUUGGAGAGGGCAGAGUUGUAUUUAAGGAAAGAAAAUCAAUAACACAUGGUGCAAUAAAUGGUUAAUACAUAGAAGAAGCUUUUAAAAAUACACGGUUAGAUAAAUAAGGUAAGGGUAAAAUCAAUCAAUCACAUAGUAUAUCAGGAAUCAAAGAUUCGAACUUAAUAAAGAAUUAAGUCAGAAAACAAGUCCAAAUCAGAUAAGGAAAUAAUCAAUCAGGCCUACAUAAUAAUGGUUUGAAAUCGAUCCCUAAAAAUUAGGGUUAUUUUGAGAGUAAAGGUCUGAUUAUAAAGAGUGAAAAAAUGUAAACAUGCGAGGCUAGAAUUAAACAAACAAUGUGGUCAUAGGAUCAAAUAGAAGAACAUAGACAUGCGAGGAAUCAAGAGGUCUGGCAAAGCUAAGCAAGAAUCAGAAACAUGAGUCGAAUUUAGGGUUUUGAAAUCAGACAAGAAGCAGCACAAUAAUCAAUCAAUCGUGCACAAAUGGUUGAAAACCCCCCAAAAUUUAGGGUUUUCCCCCGCAGCUUACAUGCAAAGACGAAGCAUAGAAGAUCAGUCAAAACAAACUCAGGAAAACCCAAAGAGCACAGACAGUUCAUGGAAGCAAAUACAGUAUAAGAAAUCUUUAGAAUCCCUAGGAAAAUAUAGUAAAGAAAAUACACAGAAAAACAUAGUGAAAACACUUAUCAAAGUAAAAAUACAAGAGAUAGCAGUAGAACAAGUAAAAAAUUACUGAAACCCUACAUUUUAAGAAGAUGAACAGUUUUGAAAACAAAAAAUCGAAAAGAUGUGGAAAAUACUUUAAAAUUUUAGAAAAUAGCACGAAUAUGAAGUAGAUCUUAGAGAAAAACAAAGAAAACCUUAAGGGCUUAGGGUUUCAGAGAAAACCCUAGAAAAUGAGAAAGGCCUGGUCCUAAGUCGGAGAUGGACUCACAGGGCUAGGACUUGCCGGAGAUGAGCCGGAAAGGGCCAUAGAACUUGAAUCGGAAAGACUCUGAGCCGUGGUCUUCAAAGUCAGGCUCUGAAACCUCGAGCAAAAGGAGAAUAGGGGUAUGUGGGGGUAGGUACAGGCUGCUCAGUGCCUGAGAGGCCAUGAUUUCCGGUGGAAUAAGGUAGAGACCGGUGAAAUAGGGCUAGGGUUUCGGAGAGGCUUGAGAGUAUUUGAGAGAUGAAGGGUAUCUUAGGGAAGCUGUCUGAUUAGAGUGAUUAGGGUUAGGGGUGGGCUGGUGAAUUAAAAAGGAAAGGGAGGAUCAUGGUCGUUGAUCACAGUGAUCAACGGCCUAGAUUAAAAGGCCGGCCGGGUGGAUUUAUUUGAUUGGGUAUGGGUCGGGUAAUUGAUGGGAUUGGGUCGUUUAAUUUUGGGGUAAAUUGGGCUGGGAUUUGGGUUUAAUUUGGGUUAUAAUUGAAAGUAAAGAGGCUACAAUUUAAAUAGCCAAUUUUUCCCAUUUUGAAUUUAUAAAAAUAGUAAAUGAUGUUCAAAAAUCAAAUUAAAAAUAAUAAUUUAAUAAAAAAAUAUGUAAAUAUUAAUUUAAAAAUAUUGGGAAUGAUUUUCUGAUUGAAAAUGCCAUUAAAUCGAGAAAUAGGCUAAAAUUGCAAUUUCAUGCAAUUUUAGUUUAAAAAUACGAAAUGGACUUGUAAAAAUUAUAUAAAAAUCACGUAAAUUAUGUUUUUAUGCAAAUGUGAGAAUAAAAUAAAUUAUUCACCAAAAUAAUAAGUUUUUGGGAACAAUUAUUGGAUUGUAUAGUGCAAUUUUGUCGGGUAAAGAUGAGAUGACCAAUUUUGACCGGAGAUGGUGAUUGUAAACAGAUUUUGACUGCGCUCUAGCUUCUGAGCUGCCUACAUAUCCCUGUUUUUACAGGAAUCACGCCAUAUGUAGAUUAGGAACCAAUGACGGAAUAUGCCAAUGGAAAUUCGAAAAGACGGAUGCGAUGGUUAGACCUGAGAGAGUGCUUGGAAUCAGAUAGGCUGCGGAGAACUGGAGCGGGAUCGCUCCUGCUGAGACGGCCAUGAGCCAGCCAGAGUACCUGUAAAUGGGUUAUGUGCGUAUAUAUUGCGUAAUUUAAACGUGAUGCAAGUUUCCAUUGGACCAUGAAUAUUUGUCUUCGGACGAUUAUAAUGACGUCCUCAGACUCUGAUGUCUUGGGCCAAGAAGAGCAUAAAAGUAAGGGUCCUUUUAUUUUAUCUUAGGAGAAAGAUUCAUCAAACUAAGACGUCGAUCCAAGGAGAAAUUUCAUCAGACUAGGUCUUCUAUCUUAGGAGAAAAAUUCAUCAGACUAAGAUUUUUUAUCUUAGGAGAAAGAUUCAUCAGACUAAGAUUUGUAUGGGAGGAAGAUCCAUCAGACUAGGACUUUUUAUCCUAAGAGAAAAAAUGUGAAGAGUAGUGGCAACAUUUAUGCACACUAACAAGAGAGAUAAAGGCAAAUAUUUGAGAAUUUUCCCUUUGUCGGCUCUUCUUCUCCUUUUUUUUCUUUUCAUUUCUUUCAUUUUUUUUCUUUCUCAUUUUGGAACCAACUUUAUUGUGUUGCUUUGUUCCUGUUUCAAACAAAGAAAACGUGUGAGUAUAGAUGUAGUGGUUAGUCUAUUGCCUUAACCUUGAAGGCAACUGCUCCUGCACUUGCCAAGAUAACUUUGAUUUCAACUUGGAAGACCUUUCUUGUUAUCGACUACCCAUUUUCUUUCAACCCGUAUCAUAGAAAACACCUCUACUCCAUUCGAUCCCAAUACCCUUUAUCUGUUGCAUUUUGCUCAGGAAUCGACAUUUACCGAACCCUUGCAUUUCGCAUGAAUCACAAAGCAUGUUGAUUGUUACCAACUGAAUGCGCAUACCACUUUUCCCUGACUUAUACCACUUUGAUGUGCUAGCCAAAUUAGUUUUGUGCAAUUGGAAAGCUGGUAGCAGAUUUUGAAGUCAUUUCUCACUUGUUCUGUCCAAACAGACUCAAGAAGUGACUCAAACAAAACAAGAGGAACAAAAUAAGGGACAAGUGAAAGAGAUGAAACCUAGCAAGAGAAUUACAAAGUAGAAACUUAUCAGAUGAGGAUACCAACACUAAUGGCCAUGACAUGCACCUUUGGAUUAAGUGACCUGAUCUUUUAAGCAAGUCUAAUAUUCAACUCUUGUUGUACCUCUUCACUGUGAAACUGGGCUUCAACGCUUCAAUUGUCUUAUUUGAUCCAAAAUCCUGAAAUCACUUGUGGUGACCUGAAGGGUUUUCACCAUCAAGCCUCUCUCAUUUUGCUUUUUCUCAACUCACUGUCGCCUUACAGUGCCCAUGAGGAUUUUCACCGAUAAGACUCUCUCAUUUGAUCAUUUUCUCUCAUCAUGCUCAGAACAAAAGUAUUACCCUUUAUGCAGGAAGAUCAUACUUUCACCACAAACUUGCUUUGGUAUCCUCAAAGAUUGGUCGGAAGGUCUUUCUUUGGACCGUAAUGUAAGCUUUUGGACAGGGUUAGAAAGAAAAGGUGGCAUGAAGGCUCAAAAUAAUUUAAGAUAAAAUGGUUUGAAACUACAACUUUUGGAAUCAAGCCUUUUGGAAAAACUAAAACUUCUGUCCCAGUUUCUUGUAGUUUGGAGAAUUUUUUUUUGGAUUUUUUUAUGGAAUUUCUAAAAAAAUCUGCCCUGCUCUUGACUUCGGGGACUAUGAAACAUUUAAUUUUGUGUGAUUGAACUAUAAGACUGCCUACGUAUCUUGAGGUGAGAAGAAUCAGGUCGAACGUGGUUCAAAAGACAAAGUUGUUUGUUUUGUUUUGUUUUCUUUUCCUUUAUCUUUUUUCUUUUCUCCUCUUUUUUUCUCCUUUUUUCGUUUUUUCUCUUUUUAUUUUCCUUUUCUAGUUCCUAACUCUAUUUAUAUUCUAAAAUAGGGGUAUCAAACAAAAAAAUAGGUCUCAAAAUGGGUAGCAAAGGAUAAAGUAUUUGGGUAGCAGAAUAAAAUGUCUUCGUCAUACCAAACUUAAAAAUGACAAGUACAAGCAUGCAAUUGAAGAUAAACAAACAAAUCACACAUAGUAUCUAUUGAUGGCAUCAACACACACAAAAAGUGCCAAUGUGCAAUACCUUUGUCCCAAUGAAUGACCCUUGCCAGUUCGAAGCAGACUUGACUCAACCUUAUCUUGAUGUGGAAGAAUACAUUUAAGCACUAACUGAUUUACCUCGAGCUGCUUGAGAGACAUUUCCUUGUUGUAUGCUCUCACCAACCCCCUUGAUUUUCCAGACUUACUGCUCAGUUUCGCUCAAUUCAACGCUUCCUGUUAUCUCAGAAUGCUUGAAUCUCUACUAGUUUCCUCAAAUGCCUCUUUUAUUAUGUUAAAAAAUGUGUCAUUGCUUCAUGAUUAGACUUACUUUCAAGACCAGACAGAGAAUUAUGCGUGCAUGUCAUGUCACUAGAGUCAGGCUAAAAAGAACUAUAAAAAGAAAAUGACCUAAACAAAACUGACUAGAACUAACAGAAAAUAGGAGAUUGCACUAGAUGGAUGAUGAGAAGGGUUUGAACAAAACAAGAAAAAUAGACAUGGAUUACAACAUUGGAAAAAUCCUAAAUAAUACUAGAUGAGUUACUAAAACUAAACGAACUUGACAAAAUGAGAAGAAGAAGAAGAAGAAAAGUUUGAGCCACAAGACAAUAUCCAAAUUACAACCCUGAAAUAACCCGAACAAACAGAAAUGACAACAAAAUAAACUACCACAACUCCUCCCUGGCUAGCCAAGAAGGGAUUGUCUGUCCAAUCACCAAGCUCGACAUCUUAGCCACUGAGUUCCUCAUCAAUAUUACCAGAACCUCCACAAAUCUCCAACACGUUGACCUUAGCAAAUAAAUUUGGGGUCCCUUUUGCCAACUCGUUCUAUAAUCAACCUUUAGAACCGAGACUGGUAGCGUUGAGAACUUUGCCGUAGGUGGCCUUCUAAGGGAUUUACAAGAGUUCUCAUAUUUCUUUUCAUACAAAUCAUUCCCACCAUAUGUGUCUCAUUAGGAACAUGUAAUGGACUUUGGCUAGUAUCUGCUGCAUUUGGAUUUUGCACGGUAAUGUCACGUGCAUCAAUAAGCUUUCGUACUGCUCUUUUCAUAUGCCAACACUUUUCAAUUUUCUAUAUCGUUCCCCAGAGAAUUAGAGCAAUAUGCGCAUCUUUGAGAAUAAUCAAAAUUCUUUGAAAAGUGUUUCGACAUUUUUAUCUGAAUCGGCUUCAACAUGUCUGAUUGCCUUAGCCUUUGGAACAGACUGGCAUAUGAUUCUCCAAUAGGAGUGAAAGACUUUUCUCUUUGCUACCGCCUUCUCAUUUUGUACUCUGGCCUUGGUUGGAACCUAUUUUGGGUAGGGGGUUGAUAUGCUUGUAGAGGUGGGUAAGACAUUUGUGGAGGCGGUGCAAGCCGUUGCGGGUUUUGUGAAUGUGGAGCAUAUGGUGGUGCAUUGUGGAUAGAGUACUGGGGAGGUGAGGUAUGACUUUGGGGAUUUUGUGGAGGAAAGUAGCAUUGGGGAUAUUCAUGGGGUCGGCAAUGAGAUUGAAAGCAUCUAGUAGGAAUGCCCAUUGGAUCUUGUCAUUGACUGGGCUCGAUAACAUCUUUUCUAUCAAUCGGAGGACUGAUCCCAACAACUUGUUCCUUCCAUCUGAACCAAAACACCCUAAAACUUUCCUUGGGUCUCUUUCCUUGGGCAUCGGGAGCUUCGAACAUAGUCUCGCUAAAGGAUAGAGGAAGAGUAGCUGGUGGAGGAGCUACAAAAAUAGGAGCAGAUAUCGGAUCAAGGUAUGAGGCAGUUUUGGCUGGUGGAGCAUGAAAAAUUUGGGAGGAAGUGCCAGGGUAAUAUUGGUAAGGGGUAAAUCCUGGUGCAUGUUGAGGAGAAAUAUCAACGGUAGUGGGCAUCUGGGCUUGGGACAGUGGUGGAAUGGAGGCAUGGUUUUCUGUAUAGUUGGUAGGGAAUGAAGGUGGAUGAUGUCCCUUAAUCCAAGCCUGAUACAUUUCCACCAUCUGAUGUUUCAACCUUCGGACCUCCUCUUUCAGUUUCAAUUCCGACUCUACAAUCUUCCUCGAUGGGUCUACAACUCCUGUGUCCAAGUCUUUGCUGGACAUGUUUACCUUGCUCUUUGACCUUAUGUUGUACAGAUGACUCGCCAAAAUGCCACAAACUAACCACCCUUUGUUAUGAUAACAAUAAAAGUAACAAAUAGGAACGAAACAAGGCUAACAUGUUAGCAUUAGAGCAUAUAUCAAAUAGAAAUAUCACAUUGAAUGCAAUGCCCCCUAAUUACAGUUAACGGUUCUAGAAUGGCUUCGAGGGUACGAAGGCCAUAUGGCAUCAUCCCAAUUUUACUCUUCUUGCCCUAUUUCCUUUUUCAUUUUCCUUUCUAACACCGCUUGGUUUUCAUUUCUUUCCCCCUUUUUUUUCUGAUUAUCGCUCUUUUAUUUCUUCCCAUUUCUUACAUCCCACAACUUCGUUCUUUUUUUUUUCUUCUUUUUUUUUUGUUUUUUUAUAAAGAUGAUCAACCCUAUGUAGGUUGCCUACGUAUUAUGUCCCUCAUGAAUCAGAUCAAGCGUAGUUCUGAAAAGUAAUGGGAAAAAUAAACUAAAAGACUCAAAAUUUAACUAGACUGACAGACUCGACACUACUGUACAAGACAAAAUUUAAUGACAACAUAAGAUAGACUAAAAAAUAAAAAGUUUCCUCAAGCAGCUCGUGCAUGCAACGGUCUUGACUAGAAUGGUCCUGGGGUAUUUGUCAUGCUCAAACUCUAGCAAAUUGCUCUAUACCUGAAUGGAAAAAAUAAUAUCAUGAGUUAGUGACUCAAGACACUACGGGAGACCACACCUCCUCUAUUGGACACAUGCAAGACAUGAUGAAGGCUAUUUUUUGCAAAAUGACCUACGUGGCCAAGAUGUGGCUAUUAGCGAAAACUCAACAAAGAUGACCUCAAAGACAUGGAAAUACCUCCCUAAGGAUUAUAUGGAUUCAAACUCCCAAUAAUCAAGGCCCAAAAUUAAUUUGUAAAAAUGACCCAUUUUGCAAAAACGACCGAUAUGACCAGAAGUGGCUAAAGAUGCAAACUCAAAAGGACGAAUCUUAAAGUAAUAUGACACCUAUUUGUGGACUCAAAAUUCUAAGACAUGGGUAAUUGAACCACUUUUGCGCAAAUGACCUCAUUUUGCAAGAAUGGCUGAUGUGGCCAAAAGUGGCUAAAGAUGCAAACUCAAUAAGGACAUGCCACAAGUAAUAUGACUCUUAAUUGUGGACUCAAGAUCCUAAAACAUGGGUAAUGGAAUCACUUUUGCAAAAAUAAUUCCAUUUUACAAGAAUGGCCGAUGUGGCCAAAAGUGGCUAGAGAGGCAAGAUUUGGCUAAGACCCCACAAAGCCAAGAACCUAAUACUCACUAGGAAGAACGGAACCUAUGUGGGUUGCCUACGUCUCCCUCCUCGAGAGACAAGAAUCAGGUGCGUAGUUCGGGAAGAUUGGACAUGGAAGAAAGCCUUUAAAAAAUGCGACUAAUUUGAGAAAAAUCAUAUUUUUGUCUUUUUGAAAAAAUGAUGAAAAAUAUAAAAAAAAAUUGGAUUUUCUUUUUCUCCUUUUUGAAUUUUUGGAAAUGAAGGAAAAUGUAAAAUCUUUUUGGAUUUUCUUUUUCAUUUUUUUUGAAUUUUGGAAAAUAAUGGAAAAGCGUAAAAUUAUUUUGAAUUUUGUUUUUCAUUUUAUUUUGAAUUUUUGGAAAAUAAUGGGAAAGUGUAAAAUAUUUUUGAAUUUUUUUCUCCUUUUUCUUGAAUUUUUUGAAAAAUAAUGGUAAAGUGUAAAAUCUUUUUUGGAUUUUCUAUUUCUUUUUUUUUUCAAUUUUUGGAAUAUGAAAGAAAAUGCAAGUGGGCCCUUUGCUUUAUUUUCACCCUUCUUUCCCAAGCAUCGAUCCUCCAAAUGACCUUUUUACCCUCAAAGAUGCAACAUGUAUCACAUAGGGAUGAUUGAAUGUCUUUUUGGGCCACGUGCCCAUUUUUGACAAAAUUUGAUUAUGCUUCCUACAAAGGGACACGCUGCCUGGGACUGAUCCCUACUAGGUCCAAAUGACAUGAUGCAAAUAAAAAUGGCCUAAAAGUUUACCUAAGUAGGGGUUCACUAACAAGGCAAUUCGGGGGAGCGUAUGGUCGAUGGUGACUGCUCACGCUUUCCACCCACUCCAUAAGUCCAAUAGCCCCCCUCCUAAAUUAAGGGUGACUCAACAAAGAGUUCUUGCAUGCGACACAUACUCCGAGACUUAUGCAGAAAUAAUUGACCGGGUAAUGCAUAUGAUGACAGUUAUAAAGCAAUAAACACAACAACAACAACAACAACUACCCGGUAUACUCCCACCAGGUGGGGUUUGGGAGGGUAAUAUGUAGACGAGCCUUACCCCUACCCGAAAAGGCAGAGAGGCUGUUUCCAAUCGACCCUCGGCGCAUAGGAUAAAAGGAAAAGCAGCUGUAAAACAAAAACAAAGACAAAAACAAAAACAAUAACAAUAGAGCACUAGUAACUCCCGCAGAAAUAGCGUAAAUAAUUAUCUAAACAUAAGAAACAUAAAUACAAUUGCAUGCAAUAAUAACAUACAGUAACUAUCAUAACUAACAACCAUAGGGGGGACAUAAGCUAAAACACAAAUCAUCUAUGGGUAACCCUGCUGACCCACACCCAACCCCGGAUGAGGCGUACGAAGANNNNNNNNNNNNNNNNNNNNNNNNNNNNNNNNNNNNNNNNNNNNNNNNNNNNNNNNNNNNNNNNNNNNNNNNNNNNNNNNNNNNNNNNNNNNNNNNNNNNNNNNNNNNNNNNNNNNNNNNNNNNNNNNNNNNNNNNNNNNNNNNNNNNNNNNNNNNNNNNNNNNNNNNNNCCAAUGCUUCUUAGGCCUCCCUCUGCCUCGCCGACCGCCAACAAUCUCCAGCCGCUCACAGCUCCUCACCGGGGCAUCGGGACCCCUCCUCCAAACAUGCCUGAACCACCUCAGCCUCGCUUCUCGCAUCUUCUCAUCCACCGGGGCCACCCCUACNNNNNNNNNNNNNNNNNNNNNNNNNNNNNNNNNNNNNNNNNNNNNNNNNNNNNNNNNNNNNNNNNNNNNNNNNNNNNNNNNNNNNNNNNNNNNNNNNNNNNNNNNNNNNNNNNNNNNNNNNNNNNNNNNNNNNNNNNNNNNNNNNNNNNNNNNNNNNNNNNNNNNNNNNNNNNNNNNNNNNNNNNNNNNNNNNNNNNNNNNNNNNNNNNNNNNNNNNNNNNNNNNNNNNNNNNNNNNNNNNNNNNNNNNNNNNNNNNNNNNNNNNNNNNNNNNNNNNNNNNNNNNNNNNNNNNNNNNNNNNNNNNNNNNNNNNNNNNNNNNNNNNNNNNNNNNNNNNNNNNNNNNNNNNNNNNNNNNNNNNNNNNNNNNNNNNNNNNNNNNNNNNNNNNNNNNNNNNNNNNNNNNNNNNNNNNNNNNNNNNNNNNNNNNNNNNNNNNNNNNNNNNNNNNNNNNNNNNNNNNNNNNNNNNNNNNNNNNNNNNNNNNNNNNNNNNNNNNNNNNNNNNNNNNNNNNNNNNNNNNNNNNNNNNNNNNNNNNNNNNNNNNNNNNNNNNNNNNNNNNNNNNNNNNNNNNNNNNNNNNNNNNNNNNNNNNNNNNNNNNNNNNNNNNNNNNNNNNNNNNNNNNNNNNNNNNNNNNNNNNNNNNNNNNNNNNNNNNNNNNNNNNNNNNNNNNNNNNNNNNNNNNNNNNNNNNNNNNNNNNNNNNNNNNNNNNNNNNNNNNNNNNNNNNNNNNNNNNNNNNNNNNNNNNNNNNNNNNNNNNNNNNNNNNNNNNNNNNNNNNNNNNNNNNNNNNNNNNNNNNNNNNNNNNNNNNNNNNNNNNNNNNNNNNNNNNNNNNNNNNNNNNNNNNNNNNNNNNNNNNNNNNNNNNNNNNNNNNNNNNNNNNNNNNNNNNNNNNNNNNNNNNNNNNNNNNNNNNNNNNNNNNNNNNNNNNNNNNNNNNNNNNNNNNNNNNNNNNNNNNNNNNNNNNNNNNNNNNNNNNNNNNNNNNNNNNNNNNNNNNNNNNNNNNNNNNNNNNNNNNNNNNNNNNNNNNNNNNNNNNNNNNNNNNNNNNNNNNNNNNNNNNNNNNNNNNNNNNNNNNNNNNNNNNNNNNNNNNNNNNNNNNNNNNNNNNNNNNNNNNNNNNNNNNNNNNNNNNNNNNNNNNNNNNNNNNNNNNNNNNNNNNNNNNNNNNNNNNNNNNNNNNNNNNNNNNNNNNNNNNNNNNNNNNNNNNNNNNNNNNNNNNNNNNNNNNNNNNNNNNNNNNNNNNNNNNNNCCUGACUUACCCAUGCACUUCCAGAACUCCACCGGGAUCUCGUCAGGCCCGGUCGCUCGACCCCUACUCAUCCUACACAAAGCCCCCAUCACCUCCUCCACCCUAAUGCGCUGCAGUACCCAAGGUCUUUAUGCUGCUCUGAAUGCCCCAACUCCCCUAGCUCAAUGUUAAGAUCCCCCUCCUCGUUAAGUAGGUCCCGAAAGUACGCCUGCCACCUCUGUUUGAUUUGAGAUUCCCCCAUCAGAACUCUACAAUCCUCGCCCUUGAUACACCUAACUUGGUCUAGAUCAUGUGCCUUCCUUUCCCUUGCUUUAGCUAACCGGAAUAACUUCUUAACCCCGCCUCUCUCCCCUAGUUCCUCAUACAUGCGACCGAAUGCCGCGUUUUUAGCUUCCGUGACUGCCAUCUUUGCUUCUUUUCUCGCCUCCUUGUAGAUCACCCUAUUCACUCUCCGUUCCUCCUCACUUGUGCUCCCUGCCAACCUAGCGACCGCCGCCUUCUUCAUAAAGCAAUAAACACAUAAAGCAAAAAACUAUAAACACAUAAACAACUAGCAAAUAAUAAAAAAAAAUAUAAAAACAUAAUAAAAAUCAAGUAAAUCUAAUGAAAAAGCAUAAAACCUCAACCAAAUAUUCUAAAAGCUAACAAGAUCAUAGUAUCAGCUCA
rnacentral:lncRNA from 1 species